GACAUAAUCAAUGACAUAAGUUGAACCUUCCUCAUAUAGUUCAUAGGCAAUGAGGUUACGAAAGAGACGCUCGGUAUCGUCGUCAACCACAAAGGUUGGAAUCUUCAUUGUCGCGUCUCUAAAGCUUAUAUCAAACAAACUGUUCACACCGCUCUCUUCGGUACUAUUUAUGAAUUGGAUUCCUGCUUCUUUCAGCUCUGUUGCACAACGUAAGGAUUGCCAUUCCAAUAGGCCUUUUCUUAAAUUUUCCUUUUCUCUUGCACAGCAUGUGAUAGUCACACCGCUCUCUACGUCGCCUUGGAAUUUUUUUUCUUUUGGCUUUUCUACGGCACAGAGUGUGAAUUUCCAUUUUUUUUCUAGGCCACCUUUUUUUCUUGCUUCUUCUCCUGCCUUUGCUUUUUCAUCUUUUGUUCUAUAGUAAUCCUGAUGGCGCCUUAUUCCUUGAGGAGAAGGACACCAAUUAUCAUGUAGUAAGCUGAGUAGGUCCUUGAUAUUGUCGGUAUCGUUGAUGGUAGGAGGAUUUUCUUUCCAUGUCUCUGGGCCUGGCAAGAAAUCAGAAAGAACAGAAAAAGCCUGGCAAGCGAAAUCUUUUCCAUCUGUUGGAUCCUUGAUCACGUGAUACAAGCCCACUAACACAAAGAAAGGAAGUUGAUUUUCGAAUAGCAACAAGUCACCAAGCAAGGCAUUUUGGACCCACUUUUUUUGGAAAAUAGGAUCAUCAUAUUCACCUGUUUCCAUCUGCCUCAAUAGCUCAACAAUAAAGCAACCAUCAUCUAGCAUUAUUGCAUCAAAUUUAGCUUCAAUAUCUUUCGGUAAGGAUGGGGAAUACCAUUUGCGAGCUCGUACAAAGUCGAUGGCGUCCCGAAAUCUAUGGUCGUUUUGCUCAUCGUUUCUCUCAAGAAUCCUUUGUAAACAACGUUUUUUGUAGACUUCCAUCUCAAUCAAGUGCUGCUUACCAUGGUGAUAAGGACCAAUUGAAAUUAGUUGUGGUUCAUAGGCACUUUCAUUUACCUGCCUUAGUUGAUGAGGCACUUUCGAAAGAUAGGCCUCUUCGUCAAGCCCUAGAGAGGCAGAACUCGGAGAUUUUGGUAUCACCUAUGCAAAAAUAUAUAAGAUACUUUGUUGGAAAAGGAGACACAUUUUGACAUAUGAUUUUUACUGUACUGCACGUCUUUGUUAAUAAUGGAAUGGGGGAUCUUUUUUCUCUGGGGAUUAAUAUAUUCAUACUUUGCCUUCUUAAAAAAAGAUAACCUUAAAUUUAACUACUAAAUAACUUUUAACAGGCCAUUCAACAAAAAAAAAAAAAAGAACUUUUAACAGAUAAAAUUUCACUGAAAUCUAAAAUUGAUUCUCAAAUAGAGUUGGAGUCAUAUAUGAUAAGUUGAUAUUUAAGACACUGAGCAGCUGCUUUUGUUAAAAAUUAAUAGCCCAUAAUUAUCCAACGUUGCUGCUUAAAACACUAAGGGCUUGUUUGGCAUUCCCCAUCUUGAAGUGACAUCUAUUCUUUUGUUUGGUUUGUCUUUAUAGUAUAAAAUAGUCACUCGGAAGAAUGGUUAUUCUUUAAAAACACAUAACAAAUAUUAUUGGCACCUUUGGUAUUUAACCAUUCCAUCCCCUGCGGAAUAGAGUCAAAAAAAUUCUUGCUCAUUUUAAGAAUUUACGAAACCUACCGUAUAAAAAGUUUUUUUUCUCUCAUUUUUCUCUUUUUCUUUCUCUCUUUUUUGAUCUGCCUCUUUUUUCUCUGCCUAAAUUUCCUCCACCACUAAAGAGCAGUAGACGAUGGCAGUGGCAAUGGGGGCACUAGUGCAUCCACAGCCAAAUGGGACUGAGGAAGCAUCAAAUCUUGCAUUUUUGCCAAUCUGGCGAUGUAGUAACUAGAUCCAAUCACGAAAAGCACUAGAUCGGCAGUCCAUUACGCUGUCCACAUUUCUGGUGGUUGACAGACAGAGAAAAAAGAAUAGAAAAACCAAAAUAGAUAUAAAGUAACAAAAUUUAUAGUUUUAAUUAUAAAUUAUUAAAAAUUAAUACUUUAAUAAAUUAAAACUCUAAUUAUAAAAUUUUUAAUAUUUUAAUAUUUUAAAAAUAAAAAACAAAGAAUAAAAUAAAAUAAUCAUAUAUUAGUUUAAAUUAUAAAUUAUUAUUAUUUAAAAUAAAUAAAUAAAUAAAUGUUCCAUUCUCUUAUAUUUCAUUUCGUAAACUAAACAUGUUGUAAGCAUUUUGCUUGUAUGGUUGCCAAAAUUCUUGGACAGGGUGAUGCUAACGACUCAAAGUAGAUUCUUCUGUCCCAGGCCAAUGUUCUUUCUUUCUUCUUUUACUUUUGUCUUUUUUUUUUCUUGAAGUUUUCAGCCAGAUGGCCAAGGCAACAGGUUGAGGAUUUUUUUUUUUUAAUUUUCUUAUACGCAUAAGAGGUUGUUUCCUCCAUUUUCCAGUCAAAAUAUUAGCUUUUGCACCUCAUAUACAAGAUAAUAGUCGUAGAAAUUAAGAAAAUCAGCUUAACUCCAACAAACCAAACCCAUCAGAAAAGCAUUAAAAACUAUAAAAAUAUGAAAAAUGAACCAAAAAAAAAAGAAAAGAAAAGAGAGCAUGGCGUAAAUCUUAAUAUAAUAGGAUAAAAAGUAUAGCUAUCACUCCUUUUGUUUAUGAGGGGCGAGAAAGAAGAAACUUUAAUAUCUCCAUUCUGCGUCGAACAGAUGAUGCAAAGUAUAAUAUAAAGUUUUAGUUAAGAAACUUACAGAUUGAUGCAAAGUAUGAUCUCCCUCCUCUUCUGCUGGAUUUGGAGAAGAAUGGUUUCCAUUGUAUUCCUUCUGCUCCAUCGUUUCACUAUGGAAGCGAAGAAUUAAGAAGAAAACCUUUUAUUCUUUUGGUGGGUAUGUACUAUAUGCAUAUAUAUAGUCGUUGAGUGAAAGAGUUCUUCCAUUUCACUGCUCUCCUUAAUUUAAUUACUAUACUAAUAAACUUUUUUUUUAUAAUUUCAUAGAAAGUGAGGUCAAAAACUCUGAGUAAAAUUGAUUUAUCAAAAAGUAAUUUAUGUUUUAAUAUUUAAAUAUAACAAGGAAAAGAUAAAAAAAAUUGUCUUCUAUAAUUUAAGACUUUAUUAAAAAAGUCAACUUAAACUACUCUUUCUAUCAAAAAAUUCAAAUCGUUCCCCUUUUCCUUCCUUGACUGUGGUUUUCACUCUCUCAAAACAACUUAUCUAGGUUUUAGUUGUAAGUAAUUUUCAACCCAAAUCAAGUUUUUAAAUACUUCAUGUCUAAAUAUUUUUUAAUUAUUUUAAUAAUUUGAGUCCAUAAUUAUAAUCUAACUAAUAGAAAAUAGUAUUGCGUGUCAGAUAAUAUCUUGAAAUUAUGAGUCUUUCUCUUUUUUUUUUUGAUUUGAUUAUUUGAUUUUUGUGUUUAACUUUAUAUGGUUUAUGAUGAUUAUAUUUAGUUUUAAUCGAUGAAUAGAAAAUUGUCAUAUUAUUAGUUAUUGAACCUGAUAAUUUGUAAUGUAAGAUCAUAUUUUAUUUAAUUUUAAUAUUUUAAUUUAUGCUAAUGAGUAGUAAUUUUAACAAAUUUUAUAAUUUUAGAUAAACAAACCUUAAAAAGAUAUUUUAAAAGAAAAAAUUUUGUUUCACAGGACUCAAGUCCCAAACACCAACAAUAAAAUUGUUAGGCAACUAGAGUCUUUCUUUAAUGAGGUUUUUGUCAACUAAUUUCUCUUUCUCCAUCAGGGUAAUAACUUAAAACAUGGCCGCCCAAUCCUCUAUUAAUUUAAGCACAAACUUGACCUGUUACUAUAAUUAGACUCCAUUUUUUUUUAUUUACUCGGAAGAAGACAUUGACUUAUUGACUUAAUUACUUUAGCAUAUGAUACCAAUUUAGUCUUUGUUUAUAGAAAUUAAUUUCAAAUUGCUUUCAUAUACUAUUGGUGACUAGGAUGUCUUAAUUUCUUUAUGCGUGCCUGAUCAUGUGUUAAUUGGUAGACACUUUCUCUUUCCUAACGAGUCACUUUUAACCUAAUCAUUUUUUACUUUCUCAAAGGAAGGAUUAAAGUUUAAGAUUCAUCCCCUUAUCCUUCUUGAUGUUCAAUUAUUAAAAGAACAAAAGCUAAACAGCUAGCCCUUAAUUUAAUUCACACUAUUGCCUGCCAAUUAAAUAUCAUGCAUCUAAUAAUAAAUUUAAUCCAAAGUCAGGUACCUUAUUAGAGGGAAGAGGGGGAGGGAGGGGGAUGAGAUAAGAUGAGACAUAAAAUUUAGAUUUAAUUCCAGUAGGUAGAAGGUUCAUGCAAUAAGGUAGCUUUUGCUCAAGUUUUUAUAUUAAUACAAAUAAAACAUGUGUUUAAAUUCAUUAAUAAUAACUCUCAAAUUCAGUAAUGCUAAAUGCAACACUCAUUUCCAGUAUAGAAGCAAUACCUAAGAAUUCCGUAAUCCUUACAUAAUUAAAGAAAAUAAUUUUAAUUGAUUGGGAAACAAAAUAAUUAUUUGGUUGAUAAAAAUCAAAAUAAAGAAUCUCACAUUUUUUUAUUUCUUAUUAAUCAUAUAUAUACCAGAAAAAUUUUCACCAAAACUUUAAUUUUUAAGUCAUUGAAUUGAAUGUUUUUUUGUCUUAGUAACUGUUCAUAUUUAUUCCCUCAACCUUGUUGAAAGUUUUAUAUAUGUUUAUUCCUGUCCUAUACCAUUUCAUGGAAUAAUUAUUCCAUUCCGCAAAUCAAAUGUGCCAUAAACAUUUAGAUCAACUACUAAAUUAAGUCAUAUACAUAUAUUUGAGUCUUAAAUAUAUGGGGGUUCGGGUAUUUACCAUUUUCUUCAACUUCAAUCCUCCUAAUUUAUAAUAGAAAUAGGCCCUUAACCAAACCCUGUAAAUUGAUUAAAAGCUUAAAAGAGAGGUCACUUAAUUGAUUUUAUCUAUUUUUGUGCAAGAAUAAAACCAUACAUAUGGUCCAGUUCCUCAACACUUAUAGAUGAAUUUUCGAAGUCUUUAAAUUGUACUGUAGUAGCUAUAAGUCAGUGUUUUACAAUUUUUGUUAUUCAAUAGAAAAAACUAUAUAUUUAAGAUGCGAGAUAGGGAAAAUUAAUUAGUGAUUUUAAACAUAAGUGGUAAUUUUAAAUUUUACAAACAAGAUUAGAAUAUUGUUCUGGCGGCCACUGCCCAUGAAUGGGUUUGCGUCGAGGGCUGUUUCAAAUUUAAGAUAAGAUUUAUAAUUGACAAUGGUGGUUGUUGGGGGAAGCGAGCUCGUCUAUCAACUUGUAUAUGGCUGAUGAGGGCUUCCUUGAAUUAUGCUUGGCUUUCUGCAAGAGGGGCACAAGAGCUGACAACACUAAGGGAGGGGGGAGGGGGCGCAAAUUGUUGCUAAGAUUAACACUUCUGUUUGUUAGGGUCAGUUGUUGAGUGGUGUUUUUUUUGUUCCAAAUUAAAAAGUAGUCGACAUUCGUGACCACGUCAACAAAUGUCAAUGUCUCACAAUAAUAAAAGACGAAUGCAAAAUUGAGCCCAAAUCCAACCUGCCCUAGGUCGUGAUUAUAUUUAGAUUUUAUUAUUAAAGUAAUAAAAAAUAUUUAAUAAUUUUACUAUGGGGACAAGUGAAGGGGUAGGUAGUUACAGACACAAGUUUCCUGUGGGUCUGCAAACCGCUAGUGCUCUUUACUUUACCAUUAAUCUGUUCUUUCUGAUGCUCUUUUUUAAGCCUACUUAGUUUCUUCAACAAAUUUGCUGUAUGCUAUUUUGCAGUAGAAAAGCUUAGGCUUAUAUGUGUAUGGAGGACAUAGCAGAGAGUAGGUGCUGUCAACUACCUUGUAAUUGUAGAGAAUUCUCAAACUUCAAAGCUAGUCUUUAAGGACUUACUUGACAUCAAGGGCGGAGCUAGCCAAUUUUUAUUGGGAGGCAAAGGUUAAAAAGAAUAAAAAUUAAAAAUUUUUAAUAUUAAUAUAUUGAACUUAACCAUUAAUAAUAAAAAGAUUUAUAAUAAAAAAUAAUUUGAUAUAACAUGUAAAGCAAAAGAAAGAAAAAGAAAAAAAACUUAUAAUAGUACUCUAGGAAAAUUUUUUUCGAUGAUGGCAAUAUCUUUUUUAAUAUAAACAACUAAAUUAUUUGUAAGAAAUUUAUUAUCUAUUUUGUUUUGAAGUCUUAUCUUUAUCAAUAUAAAUGACUAAAAAAUUAAUGUAGUCAAUAUCCAAUAUAUUUUUUUUAUUAUAUUUAAGUUUAUAAUACUAAAUAUUAAACUAUAAUGCACAAAAUAUAAAUAGUUCAAUAUGAUAUACAAAAUUAAUAAUUUCUUCUUAUACUCAAGAUAAUUUUCUUUCAACUAAAUAUAAAACGUAAAGCACAUUAAAAACAUACACUCAAGAUAAUUUUUUCUUAUAUAAUAAGGAUUAAUAAAAAAUAAUAUAUUGGUGAAAUUUUAAAUAAUAACCAAUAAUGCAAUACUAGAACUUAUAUUUGAGAACUAGAUAUACAAUAAAUUUUUAAUUUUUAAAAAUUAAAAUCAUUAAAAAUAAAAUUCACAUAAUAGAAAAAAAAACCAUGAUAAGUAGGAGAUAUAAUCUAUAUAACAAAAAAAAAAGAAUAUGGUUAAUGAUUCGUAGAAAUUUAAAAAAAUCUAUAGAAACUUAAAAUAUAUGAGAAAAUAGAACAGAAUUGAAAAAAAUAAAUAAAUAAAAUUAAUAAUAAUAAUAUAAAUAGAAAAAAAUAAAUAAAAACUUUACCUCUUAUUAAUAUCAUAAUACAAGGACAGAAAAGAGAAGAGGGAAAGAUGGGUGGAGAAACUUAAAAAAUUAAAAAAAUUUAAAUUUUGAGCAAAAUUGAAUAGAGCUUGUAAGGUCGUUUAAUUAUUUUUUAAUUAUAUUAAUUAUUCAAUAAAAAUUAUUUUGAAAAAUCCUUAAAAAAUAUAUCAUAUAUAAAAAAUUUCAAAAAUUUUGGGGAGGCCAUUACAAAGAGACGCUUCGCCCCUGUAUGACAUACUAACUUUUGAAAUUUUUAAAAAAUACUGUUUUUCAAAAAAAUUAUAAAAUUUUUGUCUGAUUCAUUUGCCCAAAGCUAAUUCAUUAAAUUUGUUUAUGGUUAAAAUUUCAUAUUUAAACAAUUUACUUCCACUUUUUUUCUAUUACUUUUCCAUUUUUGAAAAAUAAGUAAAGAUUAUACUACCAAUUUUAUUAAUUACAUUUUAUUUUUUUAUAGCUUUGUCUUCUUUUUUCUUUUAUGUAAAUUUCCGUUAUACCCCAUUGUUUCCUUGCUUUUCCUUUUCAUUUUUACUAAAGUAAUUAUAUUAUAUAAAUUCCCAAGGGAGUAGUAGAGCAAUUAGAUAAAAAUACAAAGAACAUUCCUAUGGAAUGGGUCAUCAUUAAAAGUAAAGAUACAUUUCGUUAAUUGGGAGUCGAUUUGCAUCUAUAGAGACUAUGGUGUACUUGGAGUGAUUGAUUUAAGCAUUAACAGUUAAACUUUGCUUACAAAAUAAAUAUGGAGACAUGGUAAUUAAAAAAAGUAGUCUUUGGAGAACCAUUACAGUGGAGAAAAGUGAUGCCAAUAUUUCAAACUUAUUGUCAACCUUGAAAGGGUGGCUUGAGGGUAUCAACCCUAUGGCUUAACAUGAUUAGUCCUCUUUUCUCGAAAGAAUGAUUAGGAUGCAUAGUGGGGAAUGGAAGGAGCAUAUCCUUUUGUACCAAUGAAUGGAUCAAAAGAAUGCUCCUUAGAUAAGAGUGCCCUAUAAUUUUUGCACUUAUAGUCAAUAAUAUAGGGAAAAGAAAUGAAUUGGAACCUAGAGGAGAACAAUAAUUGGAAAUGAACGAUUGAUCUAAGAAGAAACCUCUUUAAUUGGGAGAUUGAUCAAUGGAACCGCCUGCACCAUGUUACAUAAGAGUUCCAUCUUCAUAUGGAUAUGGAAGACAAAAUGGUUUAAAAAGGCUCGAUAAGUGGUAGCUACUUUGUAAAAUGUUUUAGUAGAAUUGUCUUGACAUGUAAUAGUGUGAAAGCAAACUAUUGGGAGAAGAUUUGGAUGGGUUUUGCACCUCAUAAAGUGGAGGUGUUAGUUUUGCAAGUGCCAAUGGGUUAAGUGGCUGUAAGGCAGAAAUUAGUAAAGCGAUAAGCGCUAAGUAGACGUUUCGCAUUAUGUCUUCUGUGCAACAAGGAACCGAAAAAUACCAGACAUCUCUUCUUUACUUGUAGUCAGUCUGUGAAACCCAACCUUUGAGAAUUUGUAACUUAGCUUGGUGAACAUAUAAAAAAAAUUGAUUUCCAAAUGAUGUUUUUGAGCAUUUCAAACCUAGAAAAGGGUGUUUUAGUUUCUGAAUGAGUUUUAUCUAAAAGUUGGGACAUAUAAAGGCUCAAAUGUUUUGGUUUUGGUCUUGAAAACUAUAUUCUAGGACAAAAGUAUCGAUACUUGUUUAUAAGGUAUCAAUAAUUGAAGCCUAGAAGUGCAUCUUAUGAAUGAAGUAUCAAGACUGGAUGAACAAGUCUCGAUACCUUUAAACCCAUAUUAAAAGCAUUAAUACUUACUCCAAAAGUAUCUAUACCUUUAACGUAGAUUGAAAAAAAUAAGGGUGAAAUAGACUUUUCCCCAAUAUUUUAAGCCCUAAAAACCUUUAGCUUUGCCCCAAAUGGAUAAAAAAUGUUUUCUCUCUAUUUACUAACCUUUCUUUUUUCUCUCUCCUUUUUUUCUCUUCCUCCUUAUUUCAACGGAUUCAAGCAUUUUAAAAGCAUACCCAAGUUCAGAUUUUAAUUUCAAAGACUUCUAGAGGUAAGGUUUCCUUAUCAAAAAUAUCUAAACUUAUGGUUUUGAUUUGCAUAAAUUAUGGAUCAUUGAAAUUCAUUUUGCUCUAUAAAACUUACGUUUUGGAGUGGUUUUGGUACUCUCAAGCUCACCAUGGUAAAGUUGCUAAAACCCCUAAAUAAUUGUAGAAUAACAAUCAUAGUUAGGUUGGAUUUUAGAUGCUGAGUUAGGGUUUUCAGAUGGAAAGGAGAAGUUGGUAAAAGGAUUUAUGGUUAUUUAUGAAAGUUAUACCUAAAGAACAAGGUAUUAACAAUGGAUUAAUCUUGGAUAGGUGUUGUUUGAAAAGUUGGCUUUUAAAGAAGUCGAGUGUUCGUCGAAAGGUGCUAGAGGAAAAGGUACGCAUUUGUCCAGGUGAGUGGUUAUAACAUUUUCAAAGUAUUUUGAUAUAUAAAUACAUAAGCAUGUUUAGAAUAGCAUUGAGAAUGUUUUUGGUGUUUGGAAUAGCAUUGGGAAUGCUUUUGAUAAAAAUCCAAAUUUUGUGGAUUGAAUGAUGAUUGUCACCAUGUUUUGAAUAUGGUUUUGAAAUGCGUAUAUGCUAUGUAAAUGUACUUAUAUAUGUAUAAAAAUGGCUUUGUGGCAGACAAACUUUUCAAUGGUUUUACUCUUUCAAAUAUGAAUUGAGUUUGGAUUGUGGAUGAUGUUCGAACUACAUGACUUAGCAUGUUUUGAGAAUAUAAUGAAUGAGAUCAUGUGUUGUUAGCAUGUUUUGUUAUGAUGAAUGUUUGGCUUGCAAGCUAGAUUAUGAUUUACAUGGAUUGUAAUUUGAAUCACAUACAUUUUUAUGUUUUGAAUGGCUAUCUUGUGGCUUGAAUGUUUAGCAUAUCAUGAGUGCAUCAUCAUCAUCAUCAUAACUCACAUGUUCAUAACAUGUUUUAAAUAUCAGCAUCAUUAUGGGUCACAUGUCCAUAACAUGUUUGGUUAUGCGCCAUGUCAUGUUUUGAUGGGUUACACAUCCCUAACAUUUUUUGAACCUAUGUGGCUCAUCACAUUUUGAAACCACAUGCUUUGCCACAUUUUGAACCUAUGUUCCUCAUCAUGUUUUGUACAUGCAUUGCAUGCUUUAGAUCACAUUUUAAAAAUAUGUUUUGAAAACAUCAUUAAAGAAGCAUGUACAUAUUGCAUAAUUCAUCAGGGCAUGACAUGUAAAUAUUACAAUCUUAUUGUACAAUAUGGAUUAUUUGGAUGAGGAUACAUAUGUUGUGAAAACGAUCUAAGGAUCUAGUGUUUGAACAUAUAUUUUGGGUUGAAUGCUGUUUGGAAAUUGACUUGGGAAGUCAAGGGUGGAAUUCCUUUUGGGAUUUUGCUUAAGAGAAGCUAGAAAAUUGGUUACAAGGGGCAAAGUAUCGAUACUUGCCAAGAAAGUAUCAAUACUUGUUCAACAGAAUGCUUUAGGAAGCAUUUUGGAUGAGUGGUAUCAAUAUCUUUACCCAAGGUAUUGUGACCUUGAAAGCAAAAAGCAUUCUACUUGAAAAUUAUCGAUUCAUUGGGUACAAGUAUUGAUACUUAGUUGCUAACUUGAUGAUUUCCACCUUACUGGAAAGGUUUUGUGCUCCAUUAUGAUUGGAUUAUCUGUCCUAACACCUGAGAGGUUUUGUUGGACUGUAUAGUGUCCUAAUGUGUAAAACGUGUGAAUGAUUGAGCAUUGGUUGAAGGAAUGAGCAUAUUUAUUUUAAAUGAUAUUUGCAAAGGCUUCUUUAUUUCUUUUGUUCCCCUUCCUCGUUUCUGCUCACUAAGAUUUUAUAUCUCACAACAUGUAAAUUCUAUUUUGCUUCAUAUUAGUAAACCUUGAUGGCCAUCGUUGGAAAGUUGUCUUUCCAUCCUUCUUUGGUAGGUGGUCAUCGAGGUUCCCAUUUGGUUAAAGUUUUCCACCCUAUGUAAAUCCGUUGGGUGAGUGUUCCAUUGUCAAAUGUUUAUACUUAAUUCUGUAGCUAUGGUAUAAUAGAUAAUGUUGCUUAGCUUACACCUUUAUGUUGUUAAUGGUUGUAUUGUUGUUGUCGAGUGUUGCAUUGAGCUCUUGUUUAGUGCUAGGGUGUGCUGUUGUAUUGGGCAGAGAUUAUAUUUCUUUUAUAUGCCAACCCACUCCCUCAAGAUAGUGAAGUCACCUGCUACACCCACCUUGGAUCUUAAGAGAAGAAAUCUUUGUCGAGAGAGAGGCUUUGUUAGACCAUUAGCUAAUUGAUAAUGAGUGGAAAUGUAAGAGACUUUGUAGACACUUGAAUUGACAUGUUCUCAAACAAAGUGAUAGUCUAAGUUAAAGUGUUUCAUUCAAGAGUGAAAGAUAAGGUUUUCACUUAGAUAGGUUGCCUUAAUGUUAUCACAGUGAAGGAUAGGUGUAGAAGAGAGUGAAAUUUUGAGUUCAGACAAAAGAUGCUUGAACGGAACUAAUUUAGAGGUUGCAUUGGCAAUGGCUUUGUAUUCAACCUCAGUUCAUGAUCUAGCAACAAUUAUUUGUUUAUAAGACUUCUAAGAGAUAGGACUACCACCAAGGUAAAUUACAUAAGCAAAGACUAAGCUAUCCAACUUCCCAACGCAAUUUGUAUCACUGAAUGUUGCCAGUUGAAGAGAGGAUGAUUACUUCAAAAAUAGAUUACCUUUAAGAUUUUUUAGAACUCCAAGACUAGACUAGUUAGCUAAGGUAAUACAUGAAUUGAGACAACUUGUUCAUUGAAUGUGCUAUGUUAGACCUAGUGAGAAAGAGAUAUAUAUUCUAAUGAAUCAAAGAGUUGUCUAUUAAGUGUUGACUUAAUAGGUCUUGAGCCAUCUUUAAGUUAAAGCUUAAUAGUGGUGGCCAUUUGUGUUGUAACUGGUUUAGCAUUGGACAAGUCAAACAUCUCUAGGAGAUAUCGAAUGCAUAUUUGUUGAGAAGAAUAAUCCUUUGGAAGUUUGAAUCCCUUUAAUGGCAAGAAAGUAGUUGAGAUUGCCAAGGUCCUUCAAGGAAAAUCUGCUAGCAAGCUAUUGGAAGAAGGUAGCGAUGGCUGUAGUGUUGUUCCUUGUAAUAAGAAAAUCAUCUACGUAUACUUAGAAUUAAAUUGAGGACAGACUUUUUGUAGUAAAUGAAGAGAAAGGCAUCAAAUAUUGAUUUUUGAAAAUCAUAUGAAUUAAGGAAGGACUUUUCUUGAUAGCAUGCUAUAAGGGCCUAUUUUAAUCCAUAAAUGGCCUUUUUUAGUUUGUAGAUCUGAGAAGGCUUGUCCUCUCCCACAAAUCAAGAAGGUUGAGCCUUCAUCAAGUAAUGUCCAUUGAAGAAAGGCAUUAUUUACAUCAAGUUAUUUUAUUUUCCAACCAAUAGCCAGUGCAAUACAAAGGAUUGUCUUAAUAGUUGUAAGCUUGAUAAUUGGACCGAAUGUUUCCAAAUAAUCAAUUCCAGGCCUCUAAUAAGCUCUUAGCUACUAGCCAAGCCUUGUACCUGCCAGUGGAACCAUAUGACCUCCUUUUUACCCUAAAAACUCACUUCCGGCUCAUUAUGUGAUUAUUGGAGAUAAAUGGUACGAGUGUCCAUCUAUUAUUUUUAAUAGGAGCAUUAAACUCAGCAACCAUUGCAUUUCUCUAGUAAGCAUCAUUCAAGGCUUGUUUGACAAUGGUAUGGACAAAGGUUGUGUUUGGUUGUGGAUAAUGCUUUCUUGGGUUUAAAGAUGUUAUUUUUGAUCUUGUGAUCAUGGAGGAGUUCGUUGAGCUGGGGUUUUAACGUGUGGUGGUGAAAUUGAAAUAGGGACAGCAGGUUCAAAAGAGUUACCUGACAAAGAAGAUGAGAAGGUGACAGAAGGCUGACUAGUUGAGUUGCACUUGAACACACUAGGACAUUUGAUCGAUGAAACUUCUGAAGUUAAGAAUGAUGAUGGUUGUAGGGCUUCAAUGUUAGCAUCUUGGGCAGAAGGCACAAUUGUUGUGGUUUUGACAGAUGCAAAAGGAAAUGAAUUCUCAUUAAUGGUUUUGGCAACUUUGUUGUAUAAGCUUCAAUCCUUAAUAUUUUGCUACUUGUACAUUUGAUUAGGAUAGAGUCAUUUGAUUCAAUUUGUAGCUGCUAAGAGGAUGUGCUACCGCUUUUUAGUGUUACUGUCCUGUUGCUAUCUUAUGAUGAUUUGUUGUACUAAUAGUAACUGCUUGAGCUUGUUUGUAAUUCUGCACCUAUAGUUUAAUAGCUUUUGUAGCUUAGGUUACGUCUUGAGGCUGUCAAUGGCUGUAUUGUUGGUGUCAAAUGUUGCAUUGAGGUCUUGCUUAGUGCUAGGAUGUGCUGCAGUAUUGGAUUGAGAUUGCAUUGCCUUUAUACUUAAUUAAUAGAAUAUUUCUAUUGAAAAAAUAUUAAAACGUUGAGCAAUUAAAACAAAUAUAGUACUGUGCCUUAAGUCAAAUUUCUUCCAAUGUCAUUUUCUUCUUAAUACUUCGUAGAUAUGAAAUCUAUAUCUAUUUUACAAAAAAGAAAUGAAUAAAAAUCAGUUCAACAUAAAUGGAUUUUUAAAAGCAUGCAAAACAUAUUUUCAAAGGAUAAAUUAAAUAUUUAAAAAUUGUAGCACUAAUUUUCCAAUCCAUCAAACAACACCUAAAACACCACCUCAAGUUCUUUCAACUCAAUUGAUGCCUCGUGAUUUUUGUUUGGUUAAUUAUAAUACACAUGAUUACGAGGGAUAUUUGUACCAUAAACGACUACAUUUAUAAAAAUUUGACAUGUUGAUCUUGGAUAUUAGUAAUAAGUUAUAUUUAGUGGAUAAGAUACCAUUUCAAUAAGUAUGAAACGUCUUAGGUAGGUAAGAACAGUUGUUCCUUUUCUACCAAACGGACGCUAGGCAGAAGUCAAUUCUCCUAAUCUAAACACAUGAAAGCCUACUAACUUAUAUUAUGGACUGAUUAAGAUAUGAUUGGAAAGUGAUGUUUUGUUUUUCUUCUUGACACCUUUUUGAGAAAUAGGACAAUCUAGAAAAGCGGGAUGAGGAACACGAGGAGUAGUGUGUCGACUAAAACAACGUGAAAUUAAAGAGAAAGAAUAAAUAAUUGUAUAUAUAAAUAUUCACAUAGUUGGUUGAAUUCUUUUGUAUUUUUUAAAAUGUUUGACCUUAUGUUUCUAAGAGGGUAGGGGAAUUGUCAUUAUCAUGCACGUCGUUUUUGAUGAUAUUUUUUGUAGUAUAAAUAACAAAAUUAAUCUGGAGGCUGUUAAUUAACAAUAUUGUGCAACGAUAAUAAGUAUGAAAUUUAUCAAGCUAUAUAUAACUGGCAGGAUCCAAUGUUUUCCCUUUAAGCUUAGCAUGGAAUAUAAUAGACUAAAUAUGUUAGAAGGCUCACGUAUUAACUCAAAUUUAUUUAUAAACAGAUAUUCUAAAUUUUAUUGAUAAAAAAGUAAUAUUUUACAAAAAUCUUCAUGAAUUCUAAUUACAUGAAGAAACAAAAAAUAAAUGUAUUACAAGUUUUGUGUAAAUAUUCGGAUAACAAGCAUAAGCUAAGUAGUUCCAAAGUACAACAUCAAACACAUCUACAAGAUAGAAUGAGAACAGCUACAAUAUAAACUAUAUUAAAUUAAUUUAUAUAAAUGUAAAUUUGAAACAAAACAAAACAAUAAAAGACAUUACCUUGAAAUGCAGACUGGAACCCUAAAACUCGAAAUACAAAGGGCAAAACAAAGGCACAAAAUAAUCAUAAUAAGACAAAAAGCUUAAAAUAGGAUUUGAUUAGACAAUGCAAUUACAGAUGACAUUAAUGUUCAGUGAGAGUUGAUCAUACAUCAAAUACAAAUAAAACACAGCGAAAAUAAAAUUAAAAAUUAAAUUACACCUCACCCCUUUAGAAUCUGUUUUAUACUAAAUUGAGUACAGAAUUAAAUUAAAAAUAAAAGUAUAUGAUCAGAUCACUUUACCUAAAUAAUAAAGAUUGAUGAAUCAUUUGUUAAACCACCAAAUCAGCCUUCAAAAAGCUCAACCACCUCAGCCCGGUUGUUGCAAAUCAAAGUUGUCCAAGGAAUCCUUGUGCAGUCUCUAAUGGUGAUCUACACCAAUGAAAGAGAAAAUCUUUCUUUAAGCAUUGGGAGUGUUAUGCCUUGAUAGUGUGCUAGCAAAGAUGAGUUUCAUAAACUCAUAAUCCACACAAAAUUGUGGGGCUGAACACACAAAGGGAAGUGAAUGAAAAAACUAUUUUUCUUCACACAAGGAAUGGCAAGACAAAAGAAUUUCUAAUGUGCCGUUCAUUCCUUUUUUUUUUUCAGCCGUUUUCUACUCUUGUUUGGAGGCUAUAGCAAGGUAUUUUAUACCUUGGAUUAAUUUUAAACCCUAAUUACAAAACUAUUUUGUAAUUGCCAAUUAAUCCAAUAAUUUGAUUAAAUAAUUUAAUUAAAUAAUUUAAUUAAGUUCUUAAGAAGUCCAAUUAACUUAAUUGUUUAAUUUAAUUGAUUAGGCCCAAUAACUUAAUUAAACAAUUUAAUUAAUUAAGCCCAAUAAUUUAAUUAAAUAAUUUUAAUCAAUUAGGCCCAAUGACUUAAUUAAACAAAUUUAAUCAAUUAAGUCCAAUAACUUAAUUGUUUAAUUUAAUUAAUUAGGCUCAAUGACUUAAUUAAAUAAUUUAAUUAAUUAGGCACAACUUAAUUAAACAAUUUUAAUCAAGUGCUUGAGAAGCGCAUAACUUCUAAUUUGAUUAAGUCCAACUUAAUCACCUCUCCCAUUUUAUUUUCAACAUUCAUUUUAGGUGUGUGACCCAUUAAACUUCUAAUAUGUUGGCAAUGAACUCAACAUAUAAUUCUUAAGUUAAACUUAGAAUUAGAUAAAUUUAAACUACUUUAAAUUUAUGAUUAAUCAAGUUAACUACCUAAAGUUCAUAGACCAAGAUUAGGAUCUAGCAAUCCAUCAUGGCCACCCAAAUGUUAGAAGAGUCCAGAUGGUUUGACUCAACCUUUUAGUGAUCAGCCAUUCAGUGUAAUUCAUUCCCUCAUCAGAUAUCUCCAAUAUGAUAAGAGCAUGGUGUAGUGUCUACUCUUAUUGAUCUCCAUAUUCGUUCUUAAAAGUUUGAUCAUCAGCUUUAUAAAGACUUAUGAAAUUCCUUUCACAAUCUUCAAGUCGCCUUGGCCAAGGACUUCAAUAAGCUAAUAUUAACUAAGAACAGCUAGGAUAUGUCCGUUGCAUCACUUGGGGUGAUGAUUCCUAUCUUGACCACUCAUUUGCCUUCACAUGCUUCAUGCUAUACCCAAAAGCAUCCUGUUUUGGCAUCCUUGGUUAGGCACCCGUAGUUAUGAAAUCAAAGCAUAGCAUUCCACACAUAAGACAACCUGGUGUCUCAAGUCUAGGGAGUAUUUACACAACUGACACAUGAGAAGUAUUGCAUAGACACUUGAGUCAAAUACCAAAUGCAGUUCUCAUGGCAGGCCAUGUUCAGUGAACUUGCUCUCUUAGGCAAGUAUCUACAUUUUACUUCCAAGUAUCUCCAUACUUCAACCUAUGAGAUCGGUUGCUUACUUCUCAAGUAAGGAACAUAGAAUGUACCAGUCUCUAAGUAUCAUUGAUGUCUAGUCUCAAUGAUACAUUAACCAGGAACAUUUUGAGAUUACGCUUUGAUGCAUAAGGAUCUCAUAACUGUAACCCAUUACAGUUUCCUUGCAAGGCAUAUUAAUCUCAUGGACUUCAUCCAAUUAGACUAUAACUUGUUAUAAUUGAUGUCUUAUUGAUGAAAGAAAACCUUUAAUCAUUCAACAUGAAUGAUGUUGUUACGUGAUUGGAAUCAAGCCUUAACCAAUCCCAAUUGGCUGCAAGGCUCAUCCCCACAAUUAAAAUGUGGAAUUAGGAAACAUAAACAGAAUCCAAAUACGAGACAUUUCAUGUUCUUGAGCUCCUUUAGACAAAGUACAACUUACUAAAUCUCCAAGUGAUCAAAUUUCAGACCCGUAACAUAGAUCAAAAUCUAAUUUUGAGUUUGCAUUUCAGCGUAACAUAAAUUGGGUUGAAUGCAAGUUUGCUUUUGGCAAGGUACUUCACUCUAGAAGUUUCCUAGAAAAGAAAAGCAACUUCUUCAAGAAGCAAAAAAUGUGAAAAGAGAAAAAAAGAACCAUAGAUCAACGUACAUCACAAAAAGCAAACAAAGAUCUAGAUUUGACUAAAUGGAUUAUUAGAAGUCUUAAAGAAUAGAACUUUAACAAAAGCAAAUUACAAUGACAGCUAACAAAUGAAGGAUGCUAACCUGAUUGAGAGGAAUUCAGAGAGAGUUUUUGGGUGGUUUUUAAUGGUGAAAUACAGCUGGAAUAUAUGAAAGGAAAUAAGAGGGAUUUUCUAUGGAGGUUUGAGGCUACCAAUCGGUGGAAAAAAAGAAAGGAGAUCCUUCGAUUUAAGAAUGCCAAGGAUGAACCAUGUAUCGAGACAUGCAAAAGAGUAUCGAGACCUUAGUCAAAUAAAGUUUCAAGGUAUCAAGACAUGCUUCGAAGGACAUGUAUAACAGUAACUUUUUCAAACACAAAUCCCUAAAUGGUUAUUUUAGGACACAUACAUAUAAAUAAAGGUCUAGGGAACAUUUUCCAAGGUUGAGAACAAUAAACGCAAGAUUUUCAAGCUAAAGUGCAAGAUCAAACUCAAGAUUCUUCAAGAAUCACUCUAAAAAUACAAGUGUUCUUUUUUUAAGCUACUUGAGCCUUAAGCUUCUUCAUCUAUUUCAAAAGCCUUUAUUCUUUCUUUGUAAUAACUAUUUUAUUCAGCCUUUUUAGAGGCAUUUGAGCUAGUUUCUCAUCAUCCUUGUAUUGCUUUGUAUAAUUCUUUCUUAAUCUUCAACUCUGAGCUGUCAACAACCUAUCACGAAUCAAUUGAAUCUUGUUGGUGGCUUCUUGAACCAUCUUUGAUCCGAGCAGUUUCCACUCACCAACCUCAAAUCAAGUGAUAUGUGAUCUACACUUACGCUCAUACAGUGUCUCAUAAGGUUCCAUUUUAAUGUUAACUUGAUAACUAUUAUUGUGGGCAAACUCUAUUAAAGGUAAGUGUCGAUCCCAAGUAACUCUACAAUCAAACACUCAAGCUCGUAACAUAUCCUCCAAAGUCCCUCUUAGACUGUUUAUUGGUUUAAUGAUGAAAACCAAUGCUAAAUUUACUCUUAGUCUGCAAAGCUUCUUGGAACUUACCUUAAAUCUGACUAAUGAACUAGGUUCUUUUGUCUGAAACUUUAGUUACCAUAAUUCCAUGCUAUUGCAUAAUCUCUUCAAUGUACAAUUUGGCAUACUAUGCCACUCCAUAGGUGGUCUUCACUAAUAGGAAGUGUGUGGACUUAGUCAAACUAUCAAUUAUCGCCCAUAUGGAAUCACACCCUUUUGUUGUGUGAGGUAAUCCAAUUACAAAAUCCAUAGAUAUAUGUUUCCAUUUUCACUUAGGAAUGGGUAAAGGAUAAAACAAGCUUGCAGGCCUUUGAUGCGUCGCCUUAACAUAUUGGCAUACUAAUCACUUAGCCAUAAACUUGGCUACAUCUUUUUUUUAAACCUUCCCACCCAUAUACCUUUAUCAAGUCAUGGUACAUCUUGGUGGAUUCAAGAUGUACUGCAUAUGCCAACAAAUAUGCCUCUUCAAGAAUCUCCCUUCUGAGAUCAUCCAUAUACGGUAAAUACACUCUUGCUCCAUAAUGGAGUAAACUGUCAGAAUCUCCAUCAAAGUGUUGCCUCUUUCUCCUUUGGGCAACAUCUAAGGCCUUGAUCACCCAUUGAUCCUUACCUUAGGCUUCCUUAAUGUGAUCAAGUAGCAUAGGCUUAACUUGAAAAUGUGCUAUCAAAGCAUCAAUCUCACUAACCUUAACAUGCAAACCCAUGUCUCCCAAACCAUGGAUAUCCCUUGCCAAAGGUCUCAUACCAAUGGUUAAAUAAGCCAAUAUUCUUAUAGACUUUUGGCUUAAAGCAUCGACUACCAUGUUCACUUUGCUGAGGUGAUAUAAAAUAGUACAAUCAUAGUCUUUAAGUAACUCCAUCCAUCGAUGUUGCCUAAAGUUGAGAUCUCUUUACUCAAAAAUGUAUUUGAUGAGACUUUUAUGAUCUGUUUAGAUUUCACAUGUCUCCCCAUAAAGGUAAUUCUUCAAAUCUUAACUGCAAACGCAAUGGCUGCUAUCUCUAGAUCAUGUUCAAGAUAAUUUUGCUCUUGCCUUUUUAACUGUCUUGAGGCAUAAGUUAUGACCUCAUCGUGUUGUGUCAACAUGUAACCUAAACCAACACAUGAGGCAUCACAAUAAAUCAUAUAUCCAUCGACACCUUGUGGUAGGCUAAGUAUGGGAGCUAAAGUAAGACAACUCUUAAGCUUUCCAAAGCUCUCUUCUUAAACUUUGUUCCAUUGAAACUUCACAUUUUGAGUCAAUCUAGUCAACAAAGUUGUAGGUUUAGAGAAGUCCUUGGCAAACCAUCUAUAAUAUUCAACCAAACCUAAAAAACUACGAAUCUCCAUCACAAAGGUUGGCCUUAGCCAUUUUUCUAUGGCCUCUAUCUUCUUAAGGUUUACCUUAACACCAUAUUUGGAAACUACAUAAUUUAAGAAGCUAACAUUAUCAAGCCAAAUCUCACACUUGGAGAACUUGGCAUAUAAUCGACGAUCUCUCAACACUUGAAGCACAAUCCUAAGAUUUUGUUCAUGUUCCUCCUUAUUCCUUGACUAUACCAAAAUAUCAUCAAUAUAUACCACAACAAAGUUGUCCAAAUAUGGUUUGAACACUUGAUUAAUCAUAUCUAUAAAAGUUGUGGGGUCAUUUGUAAGAACAAAGAACAUAACCAGAAACUCAUAGUGUUUGUACUCGUCCAAAAUACAGUCUUAAGCACAUCUUCUUACCUAAGUUUGAGUUAGUGGUAACCAUAGUAAAGAUUAAUCUUGGAUAAACAUUGUGCUCCUUGCAACUAGUCAAAUAAAUAAUCAAUACAAGGAAUAGGGUAGUUAUUCUUUAUUGUUACCUUAUUAAGUUGUUAGUAAUUGAUGUACAACUUGAGUGAACCAACCUUUUUCCUCACAAGCAACAUUAGCGCACCCCAUGGUGACAUGCUUGGGCAUAUGAAACCCUUAUCCAACAAAUCCUCUAAUUGAUCCUUGAGCUCCUUGAGCUUUACCCAUACUUUGUUGUAAUUUGAAAUGGAUAUUGAGGGCCCUGAUGUUUACAGUCAUAAACUAUUUGUUUUCACACAUAUCAUUCAAUAUUUUUUCCUUUUUAUGAAUUCCUUGAUUUCCUCACCUUUUUUUGGCUCUUGAACAUAAGGUCAUUGAUUUCCAAUAAUAGACAUGCUUAUUUCCAUGUCAUGUGCACAAGUAGCUAACUCUUCAAAGGUUUAAGGCUUAAUGCCUUGAAGAAUGUAGCGUAAUCCCUAAUUCAUCCUUUAGAUACACAAGGGUUGAUGACUCAAACAAUCGCUCUUUGCAAUUGAGACUUAGAUUUCUCCACCUGUGAUGUAAUCAAUCAUGGAUUCAUGCUUCCAUUGGUGUGAAGUUAUGAGUUCAAUCAUGCUCACAACAAGCUGAGUGUUGUAGAAGCGAUUAAGGAACUCACACUCUAGUUGUUCCCAACUGUUAAUUAUCCUAGGCUCUAACUUAGUGUAGUAGUCAAAGGCAUUGCCCUUUAUAGAGCGAAUGAACUACCUCACCAUAAGAUCUCUUUAGAUGCUGACAUUGUUGCAAGUUUCCACAAAGUGGGCAACAUGUUGCUUGUGAUUUCCUUUACAAUCGAAUUGUUGGAACUUUGGUGCUUGAUAAUUCUCUAGCAUCUUCAUGCAAUCAAUCUUUUGGGAGUAUGUUUUCACUUAAGUAUAAAAAGGCUAGGUGAUGUAUUCCACUUGUUCCUUAAUGGCUUCUUUAAUGAAUUCCUUCAAUUAGUUAGGAGUGACCACUUCAUUGGCUUUUUGGUGGGGAUUUGUUUCCAUUUUCAUAGUGGAAUUCUCAUAAUUUUCUUGAAGAUUUUGGUGCUCAUUUUGACCAAGAUCACUUGGUGCUUUUCCAAUAAGGCUGUUAAGUUUUACCAUUAUUGAGGGAAUUUAAUCAACCUUUUCUUUGAUAUUCGUUGUUAGAGAUUCCACAGUUUUCACCAAAAGUGCUCAACUUGUUCUUUUAGAGAUGUCAUGCUAGUAGUCAUGAUAGCCAUCAUUUUAGAAUUUUCUUUCGAAGAGGCACUAUGGAAAGGGGAUGAUGGAACAGACCUGCACCUUGAAUAGCCAUUUUGUUCCUUGGUUAAGAGUUGGCAAAUUAUACUUGAUUCUUUAGAAGAAGUAACUUGCCAUGUAGAAACUUCUUCUAACUUUGGGAAAGAAGUAUCAUACAAAGGAUUUUGGUUUAACACUGGGAAACUCAUGUCAUAGAAUUCAUUCACCUAGUGCCAUAUGGAUGAGUUAGAACAUCUGUGCUUGAUGAUGAAUUUGACAAGACUGCAAGAUUUGCUCGAGCAAACUUAAGAGUUAAUUUGUUGGUAAAGUUAUUCUUUGGCACCAUUGUAAUUUGGAAAUUUGUUUAAGGAAAAUAAAUGAAAGGUAAAGAUUGUCCCAUUAGUCGUACUAAAAAUUUAUACACAUAAAUUUUGAGUCAAAUAUUUUAAAUUUAAAAAUUAAGAGAAAAAUAUAAAAAUUUAUUUAUUAGACACGGAGUUUACAAUCUAUGAUUUUUUUUACAAUAAAAAUUGUCCUCAAAUUAAUUUCUUCAAUCUUCGCUUCAAGGGUCAUGACUUCACUUCAAAGGUCUUAUGACUUGAUCCUAAAUUCGCUUCAUGGGUUUUAGGGUUUAGGAUCUUGAAUUCACUUCAAGAAUUUAUGGUCAGAUCUUGCUAUUUGGAUUUGUGGAACUUUGGAGAGGCUUUGGUUCUUUAGACAUUAUUUCUUGGACUUUGGAUUUUUAGAACUCUAGAGGGGCUUAGAUUCUAAAAAUCUUCUUUCUUGAAAUUUUAGAACACUAGAAAGACAUUGAUUCUUUAGAUUUUCUUUCUUGAACUUAAGGAACUUUAUAGAGGCUUUGAUUCUUUAUAUCUCCAUUCUUGGACUUAGACUUGUGGAAAUCUGGAGAGGAUUUUAUCUUUAGAUCUUCUUUCUUGGAUUUGUUUGUGGAACUUAAGAGUCUUUGAUCUUUUCUUCCUUCUGGAAGCUUUGAUCUUUAGAAUUUUCCUUAUAGAGGCCUUUGACGUGUGGGAGUUUUGGAGAGGCUUUGAUCUUCAGAAUCUUUUUCUCCUCCCAAUUGCCUUCAUUCUCCCUUAUUCCCUUUCUUUACUGUCAUCAAAUGGCUUGGAGGAGCACUCUAUUUAUAGUGCUAGAUGAGAGAUUUUUACGAGAAUUUAGUCUCUUUAAAUUAUCCUAAAUUAUUUUAAUUUGAUUAAAGAUAAAUCAUGAUGACUCAUAAAUGAUCUUUUGAUUAGUCAAACUGUGUCUUCUAGUUUUGUUUGGCCAAAUUUGACUAUUAUCUCUAAAUUAUAAUAAUUUUUUUGAGAUAACUUGAAUGAUCAAAUUUGGAUCUUAUCUCUAAAUUGGAUAACUAAUAAAUAAAUCUUAAUUGGUUUAAUUAAGACAUUAUCUUUAAAUUAUCUCAAGAGAUAAAUACAUGACACAUAGGAAAAUUUUAAUUGGUCCAACUAUGUGCCUUUAAAAUAAUUAACCUAUAAAUUAAUUAUUUUAUAAUUAAGUAUAAGGUGAUAUUAAAUGAUUGCUUCAAAUCCACAUGGCAGUGUUGGUCUCAAGUAAAUGUGCUAGAGGGGGGUGAAUAGCACUUUUUGGCUCUUACUAAAAUUGACUUCUAAUUGGGGACAAAUGCAAGAUAAAAGAAAGAUUUAAAGAUGAAUGAAAAACUAAAAACAAAGUAGACAAUCACACAAGAAUUUAUAGUGGUUCAGUCCAAGACUUACAUCAAUUACCUUGAUUGUUCAACCAAGGAUUUUUUGAAUCAAUCACUAUGAACAGUGAAAUUCACAAGCUUUCACCAAUCUUUUACAAUGGCUUUUACCAGGCUCGGCUAAAACCUUUCACAAUGGUUUUUACCGAGAUCAACCAAAACCCAAACUAACUUUUCUAGGCUAAGUUAGAACCUAUCCACCCAAUCAAGCAAUCCAAACUUGAAUAAAUCUCUUAGAGUGCCUCGCACACACUAAGUAUUCAAGGAGUAGAGAAAUAAAUGUGUACCUAUGAUCACUUACUUGAUCUAAGUGAUACAAAGUGAAGUGCUUAUCUCAAAUACAAAGAUAGGAGUGAAGUGCAGUAAGGGUGCUGAAGGUUUUUGUAAUUUUUGAGCUCUUUUUGGACUUGGAAGCCUUAAUUGCUUUUCUAAUAGUUGGAAGCCUUUUAAAUACUCGAAAAAUCAGCUCUGAUAGGUGUUAGGCAGUUUUUGACCGUUGAAAAUAGUUUGGUGGUAGUUCUGGUCGUUAAUUUGUCUUCUAGUGCUCAAUUCAAAUUUUUUGACAAAAUGAUCUUAGUUGACUAACUGCACUCUUAGUCGACUAAGUCGUUUCUGUUUUCUAAUCCCAGUUUCUAGCAGUGAGCACUUAGUCGACUAACUUCCUUCUUAGUCGAUUAAGUUGUUUCUGUCUUGAAGUCUAGAUUUCAAGUAGUAGGCUUUUAGUCGACUAAUUUACUUCUUGGUAGAUUAAGUUGGUUCUGUCUUGAAGUCCAGGUUUUUGGUAGUAGACUCUUAGUCGACUGACCCAUUUCUUGGUCGACUAAGUCUUUUCUGUUCUCAAUACUCUUGAGCCCGCCAGCUUCUAAUUUGAAUUUUGGCUGACUAACCCUUUAUUAUUCAACUAAGGAGCUUCUGUUUUGUUGAUCAAUUGUGGCUUCUUAUACAUAUAAUUUUUGAUAUGUCCAUUGGAAUAAUUUAUUUAUCAUUGGCAUAAAGUUCUUGUCUUGCACACUCAUGUAGAAAUAUUAGACACAAAUGAAUGGGAAUGUUUUAUUAUAAUCAAAAACUAACAAUCUCCCCUUUUUUGAUGAUGACAGAACAUUCCUUGAUUAAUAGUACAGUGUCCAUUUAAUCUUUUUAGUUCUACACAAAAAAUGAGGAUUUCUCCCCCUAAGUGUGUGCUCCCUCUUAGUAUGUGCUCCCCCUUAAUGUGUACUUAUUUUACUUAUUCAUUUCAGCAAAUUUUUAUUUAUGUCUUACAGACAAUGACAUUAAGCAUUCAGAAUAUAUUUAUGCUGACAUAUAAAGUAAUCAACAAUAGGUGACUGGUUGAUAGAAUAUCAUUAAUAUUUCAGCUGUGUCUGUCGACAGCAUAUUGUUACCAGAUUUUAUCUAUGCCAUUUAUCAUCCAACAAAUAUAGUAUAAUUAACAUCCAUAUACAUUCACAAACACAAUCGAUUCACAUUCCAUUCACAAUAUCAUUGACAGAAAUUGGUUAUCAUCGACAGAAAAUGGUUAUCAUCAUAACAACCCAAUGUCAGUACCAAAUCUCAAAACAGUAGUAAACAAACUCAAGAACAGAUUUAACCAUCAACAAACAAAUAAUAUAAGUAGCUUAACAACAUCCUAUUUUCAACACAAUAACACAAACCACAAAGUUAAAUUUAGAUAUUCAACUGUCAACAGAACAAAAAAUAGCAGAAAAAGUAGUCAAUAUUUUGUUCCUAAACUACCCCUAGUUCUCCCCUAAACUUUCUACCAUAAUUCUCCCCUAAACUUUCUACCUUAAUUCUCCCCCUUUUUGUCAUCAUCAAAUCCUAAAGACGCUCAAUCAUCUUCUAAGGAGGGUGAAAGGGUAGACUUAUCAGUGCCAUAGAAAACAUUUUUAUGGUGAGGGUUCAGGGGAUGAUUUAUUAGAAAUUUCAAGGGGGCUUUAAGGAGAAGAGAUGGUUGAUGGUCCAACUUCUUUAGCUAUUCUAGAGGAUUUUCGUCUCUUGAGGAAUUUGGUCUUGGUUACCAUUGUCUUUUUACCUUUACUAGAUGGUUUAGACUUGGCUUAUGGAGUAGCAGCAACAUUUUCUUUUUCUUUCCCAGAUUGUUCGUCUGUAACUGAAGCUGGUUUAAGGGACUCUCUUGGAGAUACUGACUUUUGUGCUUUCCCUUUAGCUACUUCCUUUUCAGCUUGUUCUUCUCUAACCAUUUGGUGGAAGACAUCCAUUAUUGAGACUUCUUUUGAAUUGGGGGGAGAUGGUUGAUCUUGCUACGGUUCAUGAUGAGAUGGAGGAUUUUCAUCAUAUGAGCCAAGCACCUCAGUACCUUGUUCUGAUUCAGCUUUCUUUUAUGGCUCAAGUGAAGGGGAUUUUCUUGGUUGAUCAAUUUCAGGCUCAUGACCCUCAACCUAAAAGGCAGAACCUUUAGCAUCCUGUCUUGCUAGUGCAGGGUUUAAAGUGGCAAAGGUGUUUGCAACUGUAGGUUCAUAAGGCAUUUUUCCUUUUUCCUUCAACACAUUUUCCAAUUUUGCUAAUUUUUCUUCAAUUUUUUGCAUCCUCAUAGCCUGGCCAGUAAGCUUUCUAUCAAUUCGCAUGAGCAAAUUAAAAACCAUUUCAUUUGAGUACUGUGAAGGGGCUACCUUUGAUUGAUCAGGGAGAGAAGACUCUCCUCUUGGAGUGACCUUAGGGGUUUUAACAAAUUUUUCUCCAUCAAGCUUAUACCACAUCUUAGGCAGACUCCCAAGGUAAAUAGCUUGGUCCCUACUCUUCACUUUAUCCAAUUCAUACCUAGAGCUCCAAAUUCCCUUUUGUCGUACUAAUGAUGUAAUGAUAUUUCCAUAAGGACGAUUUUUUUCUAGUCGACUGAUUCCUCUCAUUUUCUCAAUCAUGAAUCUGCCUAAAUUAAGUGGAGCACCAUUGAAGGCAUGCUCCAUUAGCCAUAAGUCUUGAAGACUAAUGUAGCUAAAAUUGCCACCUCUUCAAUGAAUAUUCGCAGUAAUAAAGUAAUGCAAAAUUCUAAUAUGUGGACUUUUAAUCAGACCAACAUUACUCUUUGAUGAAUAUUUUUCUUUCUUCCCGGUAAUUAUCUCCCACAAAGAAAUGGGAUCAUAGUUUUCAGGCAUCUCACAGUCACCAUUUUCACUUUCAAUUUUAAGUAGAUUUCCUAAAUCGGCAACAGUCACAAUAAAUUUCUUUCCAUUUAAAAAGACAUUCAGAUCAUCAUCAAUAUAAUCAUCAGAAUCCUCAAGUUCAUCCUUAUAUAAUGCUAUACUUGCAUAAAAUUCUUUCACCAAACUAGCACUAUAGGUUUGAUUCUUAAAAGAUCUAAAAUCAUUCAAUUUCAUUUCUUCAAAAUAAUCUGAUAAAACAACCUGAAUUUCAGGGGCUUCAUCAAAGCUGUUCCAAUCUAGGAAUUUUUCAUAUGUAAUUAGAGCAUUUUCUAUUUUCUUGAAUCUAUCUUCAUGGGCUUUAUUCCUAAAUUUGGAGGACGAAAUAUUACAUUUCUUGGAGGAUUUACCCUUCUAUUUCUUAUUCUCUAUUUUGUAUUCCUUCAAGGCUGUUUUUUCCCAAAUUUCUCUAUCUUAGAGGCAGACAUACUCUUCUUUUUCUUCUUCUGAGAUUCAACUUGUCCACUUUCCUCCACUAGUCGUUUACCCUUUUUUUUUCCAGAAUUUCUUUAGUUUGUGAUGAUUUUGCCAUCUAGUUUGAGAGAUUUAUGACUUCUGUUUUGUGGGUUUGAGAAAUAGGAAUUUUUGUUUCAUUAGGGUCGGUUUUAGAUGAGAGAAAAUGAAGUGAGAAUGUGUUAAGAGAGGUUGAAUUCUAUCAAAACCGUCUAUCUCCCCCUCUUUAAAUACAUCCAGUAACCUCCUCUUUUAAAAUUUAAAAAUUUCCCUCUUAAAUUUUAUUUUUGGUGAGGAGGUUUUUCUUUUCUGUUCCAUCACCCGGUAGGCAGUUUCUUUUCAUUAUUUAAUUCCUCAUUUCUUUAACUGACUGAGUCUUAUUAUUUAAAGAGACAGAAUGCUCUUAGUUGAUUAAGUGACUCUCUUAGUCAACUAAAUGCCUACUGUCAUUUGAGAAAAUUUCAGAAUUUUUCCUAAAGCUCCUGAAUACUGACCAUUCUUAAAUUUCUCCUAAUCUCAUAAAAUCUUUCUUCAUUUAGAGGCUUCAUGAAUAUGUCAGCUAAUUGUUGUAGAGUAUUAACAAACUCAAUUUUAGUAUCACCUUUCACUACAUGAUCUCUAACAAAGUGAUGCCUAAUCUCAAUAUGCUUAAUCCUAGAAUGUUGUACAGGAUUUUUUGAAAUGUUGAUUGCACUUGUAUUAUCACAAUAUAUUGGUAUGUUAUCCAUUGUUACUCCAAAGUCUUUUAAUUAUUGUUUAAUCCAUAAGAUUUGAGCACAACAACUACCUAGAGAAAUAUAUACUGCUUUAGCUGUAGAGAGAACAAUGAAAUUCUGUAUUUUACUUAACUAUGACAUAAGCAUACUACCUAAAAUUUGGCAGGUUCCACUUGUGCUCUUUCUAUCAGUCUUGCUUCCAACAAAAUCAGCAUCUAAAUAUCCAACUAGAUUAAGGGAUGAUUCUCUAAGAUACCAUAUCCCUAAAGUUUAUGUACCUAAGAGGUAUCUAAAAAUUCUUUUAACAGUAGUCAAGUGUGAUUCCUUGGGUUGACAUUGAAAACGAGCACACAAACAUACACUGAAUUGGUUAUCAGGCCUACUUGCUGUUAAAUAAAAUAGUGCUCUGAUCAUACCUCUAUAGAGCUUUUGAUUAACAUCCUUUCCCUUUUCAUCAACCUCAAGUUUGGUGGAUGGACUCAUUGGUGUGCUAAUUGAUUUCAGCUUCAGCAUGUCAAACUUUUUGAACAUGUCUUGAAUGUAUUUUUCUUGGCUGAUGAAUAUUCCUUCCUCACUUUGUUUGAUUUAGAGCCCAAGAAAGAAUUUCAGCUCUCCCAUCAUGUUCAUCUCAAAUUCACCUUGCGCUCUUCAGCAAAGUUCUUCCAUAAAGCCUCAUUAGUUGCAUCAAAAAAAAUAUCAUCCACAUAGAUUUGAACAACAAUUAAAUCAUUUAAGUAUCUUUUAAUAAAUAAUGUUAUAUCAACACUCCCUCUAAGAUAACCUUUUUCAACUAAGAAUUUUGAAAGCCUCUUAUACCAAGCUAUAGGAGCUUGUUUCAAUCCAUACAAGGCGUUAUGAAGUUUGAAAACAUGAUUUAGUGUUUCAAAGUCUUCAAAUCCAAGAGGUUGUUCAACAUAAACUUGCUCUUGGAUGAAACCAUUUAGAAAGGUAUUUUUUACAUCCAUUUGGAAUAAUUUAAAGUUCAUAAAACAAGCAAAUGUAAGCAACAACCUUAUAGUUUCUAUCCUAGCAACCAGUGCAAAGGUUUCAUCAUAGUCAAUUAUUUCCUCUUGGUUGUACCCAUGUGCUACUAGCCUAACUUUAUUUCUAAUUACAUUGCCUUGCUCAUCUACCUUAUUCCUAAACACCCAUUUUGUCCCAACAAUAGGGUGAUUUAAAGGCCUAGAGACUAAUUACCACAUACGGUUUCUUUUGAAUUGAUCAAGUUUCUCUUGCAUAGCCAUUAUCCAGCUUUCCUCAUUUUCUACUUCUUCAAAGCUCUUAGGCUCAAUUUGAGAGAUGAAAGCUGAAAACUCACAUGUCUCUCUAACUUCUUUCCUAGUUUUGACACCUUGUGUAAUAUCUCCUAUCAUCAGCUCUUGUGGAUGGUCUUUUACAUAUCUCUAACUUCUUGGAAGGUCAUUAUGUUGACUUUCAAUUCUUUGUAAGGUUUCUAUGGGUGGAGGUUCUAUUUCUCUUCUUAAGGAAAUUUCUUCAUUGUUUUUCUUGUCAUCUAAGCUCAUUCCUUCCAUUUGUUUUUCAAGGUCAUCCGUAUCAUUUUUAUCAAUAGGAAUUUCCUUUUGUAAGGCAUUAGAUUCAUUAAAAACUACAUGGAUCGAUUCUUUAACAGUUAAAGUCCUUUUGUUAAUAACUCUAUAAGCCUUUGAGUUUAAUGCAUAUCCUAAAAAUAUUGCCUUAUCACUUUUUGCAUCAAACUUUCCUAGAGAGUAUUUUCUAUUGUUCAAUACAAAACACUUACAACCAAAACUCCUAAGGUGAAAGAUAUUUGGUUUUCUACCCUUGUAAAGUUCAUAUGGAGUCUUUGACAUCAUGGCUCUAAUUGAGACUCUAUUAAGGAUAUAUGCUGUUGUGUUGAUAGCUUCUGCCCAAAAAUAUUUUGGUAGAUUGUUUUCACAAAGCAUAGUUCGAGCCAUCUCUUUUAAGGUUCAGUUUUUCCUUUCUACAACUUCAUUUUGCUGGGGUGUUCUAGGUGCAAAAAAAUUGUGAUCCAACCGCUUUUCAUCGCAAAAGUUUUCAAACUCAUCUCCUUCAAACUCACCACCAUGAUCACUCCUAAUACUAACUAUGGCAAGUCCUUUUUCAUAUUCAACUUUCCUAUAAUGAUUUAUAAAUGCGAGUAGUGCAUCGUUCUUAUGAGCAAGGAAGUAGACCAAAGUAUACCUAGAGUAGUCAUCAACUAUCACAAAGCCAUAUGACUUCCCUCCUAGACUAGUUGUGCUAAUGGGUCCAAAUAAAUCAAUGUGCAGCAGUUCAAGAGGUCUAAAGGUGGAGACAACCUUAUUGGCUUUGAAAGAUGUUCUAAUUUGUUUACCUAGUUGACAUGCAUCACAAAUUUGAUCACAUUCAAAUUUAAGUUCAGGCAAUCCUAUAACCAAAUUUUUUCUUAUCAAUGUUUAGAUGGUGUGCAUGCUCACAUGUCUAAGUCUCCUAUGCCACAACCGGCCAUCAGUUUCAACAUUUGCUAUAAAACAUGUUUCACAAUUCAUCUCAAGAUCUUCAAGAAAUUAACAUACAUAUUCUUAAUUCAUUUUCCUAUAAAUGAAACUUUGUUAGUACUUAUAUAUAUCAUUUCACAUUUAUUUGAGUCAAAGCAUACCUUAAAAUCUUUAUCACAUAAUUGGCUAAUACUUAAUAAAUUAUGUUUCAAACCUUUAACCAGCAACACAUGACUAAUUCGAGCUUGAGAGUUCUUACUAAUGGUUCCAAUACCACAAAUUCUACCUUUUGAAUCAUCACCAAAGGAAACAGUAACUCCCUUUUUCUUGUCCAACUGAGCAAACAACAUUUUGUUUCAAGUCAUGUGCCUUGAGCAACCACUGUCCAUAAACCAUGGUUCUUUCUCCUUUAGUUGAGCUCUUGAACAUGUGUCUUUUAGAUUCAACUCAACCUGCAAAACAGAUUUUCAAUUUUUCUUAAUAAGUACCCAUACUUUGAUGGGUCCUUGAAGGUUAGCUGCAAUAUAGGAUCUUUUUAGAACCCAAAUUUUUCUUGUUUUCUGCAUGCUUCUAUUUCUAUAACAUUCAUAAGGUAAAUGUCCAAAAUUUCCGCAAUUAUAACAUCUAGAUGAAGCAUUGUCAGAAGUUUUGUUAAGGUAUAUGUUCCUUCUUGAUGUUUCUUUCCUCAAAUUUUAAAAUUAACAUUUUCUUCAACUACCUUUUGCAAGGCUUCUGUUCUAUUUUCCAAUUGCAAUUUUAGAGUUUCGAAAUCUAUUUUUUAAUGAUCUAAUUCAAUUUGCAGAAAAUUUCUUUGCUCAAAAACAGAAUUGAAGUCAUGUUUUAUCUUGUACAAAUCAGUCUCAAGAGAUGUAGCUUUUCUUUUCAAAGUUUUAUAUUUUGAUGCAAGUUUCUCAAAUUCAUCAUAAAGACAUUCAUACUCCUCUUACAGUUCAUCAAUUGGAAUAUCACAAGGGGAUGAAGAUACCUCAAAUUCAUCAUCCCUUGCCGUAAGACACAGAUUAGCUCUUCCUUCCACCUUUUCUUCUUCAUCAUCAAAACUUGAGGUAUAACUAUCUGACCAGGUUGCAGCCACCAUUGCUUUCUUAGAUUUUUUGUUUUUCCUUGGCAUUUCUUCCUUCAGCAAAGAGCAUUCUGACCUGAAGUGUCCUGGCUUCUUGCAUUCAAAACAUAUAAGUUUUUUCUUCUUAUUGGACUUGUUUUUGUUUUCUGUUUUCCAUGAAGAGCCUUGAUCUCUUUUAUACCCUCUUUUAGCCAAUCUCCAGUUUCUUUGGCCCAUAGGCUUUCUAAACCUUCUUGUAACCAUAGCUAGUUCCUUAUCAUCAUCACAAGAUAGACUGUCCAAUUCUUCUUUAAGGAUGCUUGCUUUUAAGGUAAUAAUUUUCUUCUUUUCCAUUACUUCCCUCUUAUCUUCUUCUUUCUCUUCCUUGAGUUUCAGCUCGUGAGUAAGAAGAGAACCACAAAUUUCAUCUAGAGUUAUAACAUUUAAGUCCUUGGCUUCACGGAUGGCAGUCACCUUUGGCUUUCAAUUUUUGGGUAGGCUUCUAAGAAGUCUUUUACUGAUUUCAUGCUCAGGAAUUGGUUUGCCUAGCUAACUUAAUUUGUUUGUGAUGUUUGUGAAUCUAUCUAGUAUGCUGGUGAUAUCUUCACCAAGUUCCAUUUUAAACAUCUCAUAAUUGUGGGUUAAGAGGGCUAUCUUGGACUCCUUAACUUGUGAAGUCCCUCAAUGAGUAAUCCUAAGUUUAUCCCAUACUUGUUUAGUUGUGGUACAGCUUGACACUUUAUUGAAUUUAGUGGGAGUUAAAGCACAAUGCAGUGUAUUGAUUGCCUUCAAGUUGGUUUAGACUCUUUUGGUUUCAGCUUUGGUCCAUUCAGACCUUGGCUUAGGAAUCAUCUCAUUGGUUACAACAUUUAAGGUUGAAGGAAUAAAGGGACCAUCAAUUAUGACAUCCCACAUCUCAUAAUCUAUUACUCUAAUGUAUAUUGACAUCUUAGUACUCUAAUAUGGGUAAUUUGAGCCAUCAAACAGAGGUGGUCUAUUUGUUAAUUGUCCCUUAGCCACUACUAAUUUUUGAAGAGCCAUUUGGAUCUUCCCAAGGGUGUUAAACCUUAAGAACAUGGAACCUGCUCUGAUACCACUUGUUGGUCCUAAGUAAAUGUGCUUCAAGAGGGGUGAAUAACACUUUUUGGCUCUUACUAAAAUUGACUUCUAAUUGGGGACAAAUGCAAGAUAAAAGAAAAUUUUAAAGAUGAAUGAAAAACUAAAAACAGAUCAGACAAUCACACAAGAAUUUAUAGUGGUUUGGUCCAAGACUUGCAUCCACUACCUUGAUUGUUCAACCAAGGAUUUUCCAAAUCAAUCACUAUGAAUGGUGAAAUUCACAAGCUUUCACCAAGCUUUAACAAUGGCUUUUACCAGGCUCAGCCAAAACCUUUCACAAUGGUUUUUACCGGGAUCAACCAAAACCCAAACUAACUUUUCUAAGCUAAGUUAGAACUUAUAGACCAAAUCAAGCAAUCCAAGCUUGAAUAAAUCCUUUAGAGUGUCUAGCACACUCUAAGUAUACAAGGAAUAGAGAAAUAAACGUGUACCUAUGAUCACUUACUUGAUCUAAGUGGUACAAAGUGAAGUGUUUAUCUCAAAUACAAAGAUAGGAGUGAAGUGUAGUAAGAGUGUUGAAGGUUUUUGCAAUUUUUGAGCACUUUUUGGACUUGGAAGCCUUAAUUGCUUUUCUAGUCAUUGGAAGCCUCUUAAAUACUUGAAAAAUUAGCUUUGAUAGGUGUUAGGCAGUUUUUGACUGUUGGAAACAAUUUGGUGGCAGUUCUGGCCGUUAAUCUGUCUUUUGGUGCUUAAUUCAAAUUUUUUGACAAAAUGAUCUUAGUUGACUAAUUGUGCUCUUAGUCAACUAAGUCGUUUUUGUUUUCUGAUCCUAGCUUUUGGCAGUGAGCACUUAGCCGACUAACUUCCUUCUUAGUCGAUUAAGUUGUUUCUAUCUUGAAGUCCAGAUUUCUGGCAGUAGGCUCUUAGUCGACUAAUUUACUUCUUGGUCGAUUAAGUUGGUUCUGUCUUGAAGUCCAGAUUUUUGUUAGGAGACUCUUAGUCGACUGACCCAUUUCUUGGUCGACUAAGUCUUUUCUAUUUCUGAAUACUCUUGAGUCCUCCAACUUUUGAUUUGAAUUUUAGCUGACUAACCUUUUAUUAUUCAACUAAGGAGCUUCUGUUUUGUUGAUCAAUUGUGGCUUUUUAUACAUAUAAUUUUUUAUAUGUCCCUUGGAGUAAUUUAUUUAUCAUUGGCAUACAAUUCUUGUCUUGCACACUUAAGUAGAAAAAUUAGACACAAAUAAAUGGGAAUGUUUUAUUAUCAUCAAAAACUAAGAGAGCCAAUAAGCAGCACAUGAUUUAUCUUUGAAAAGUUUUCUUCAAUGCACUAAUUUCAGACAUGUGGCAUCUUGUAAUUGGAUAACAAUUCUUCUCCUUGUAAACUGCCAUUACAUUCUUUUAACAAGACCUUUGCCCACUUUUCUUCCCCUUUUGCCUUCUAUUCCAUAGUCUUGUACCCUAUGUUACCUUUGAACAUGGAUUUGAAAUUCGAAUAUUGUUUUGUUUCCUUCCUUUCUUAUUCUGUCCAACUUGUUUUUUCUCUCCAAUUAACCAUUACCACCUCAUCUUUUUAUGCCAUGUCAUCAAGACUCACCAUGUCAUCAUCUUCCUCCUUUCCUCUUACACUGCUUCCUUUUUUGUCAGCCUUUAUCACUGCCACCCCUAGCUCUCAUACUUUUCCAUUUCUUCACCUAUAUUUUCCCAUCCUUUUUUUCUUCUUUCUUUCUCCUUCUCUUUAUCCAUUUCUUGGUUGAAGUCCCUUGUUUUCUCAAUCUCCACCACUCUCAUCUUGUACUUAUUUCUUGCCACCUUUAAAUUUACGAACUUUUCAAUUUUGUCUUCUUUUUUUGCUGAGAUUAACAUGCUAUGUACAUCAAACCCGCUACAUUCUAGUGUUUUCUCCUCAACUUUUAAUAAUUCUCUCCAACACUUUGCUAAAUUUUUGAAAGUACCAUAACUCUAAGCAUGAAUUAAGAUGCCCUUUACUACCACCCAUUUAUACUGCACCAACGUCAUAUAUGUUUCAAUCCACUCCUCUAUUGUCAAAACACAUUUUUUCAGUUGCACCCUUCUAUCUAUAUUAGUUUCCUUGUGGUCUUCAUCAAAAGAGGUUAUUGAAAAGUUUCUUGGUGCCAAACUUCUGACCUUUAUUUGCCAUGUCACACCCCUUCAAGGUAUUUUUGCAUCUCCACCACCUUCAUUUGGUAUUUUGUCAUGGUGAUGAGGCUUAUUAAUAACUUUAUUUUAUAGAGUUAUUUGGUCAUGAUUUUUGGUAAUUUUGUCUAAGUUCUUAAGAUUUAAUUUAAUUUAAUUAUAUUGGCUUUAAUGUUGUUAACUUCUUUAAUGAUGUUUUAUAUUAUGUUUAGUUAUUAUUUAACUUAGUUUAUUUUUUGUAGGUGUGCUUUGAAAAGAAAAAGGCCAAUUUUGUGAAAAAGAUACAUUUUAGGUGUAGACUUCAACUACACAUGUUUCAGUUUUUCAAGUAUAUCUUUCAUUAAAAAAGUCCAAUUGAUGUGAUUGUUGAACCAUUGAAAAGUUAACAGAAGGUAGAGCUACAACUUUUAUGUUUACCAUUUUUCCCUAUUCAACUUGGAAGGGAGUCAAAAAUCAUUUGAAAGUCAUAGUAGUGUAGCAGAAUAAGGUGAACAAAGUAGAGCUUUGGGCACCGCGGCCUUCACCAAGGUAGUACCGCAGCACUUUAAUCCACAAAGAUGCAUUAGACUCGAAAAAGCUUCUACACCAUGGUGACCAAGUGCCUAGUGUUGUGACAUUCGCAGAGGAAUUCUAAACAAAAAUAAACAGCAGCAUUUGUAAAGAAAAAAGUGUUCUAGUGCCAUCAAACUUCUAUUUUGACAAGAACACAUGCCCUAUUUAAUAUCUCAUUUAGAAGCAUGGAAAAAUGGGCAAUUUAAGAGGACAAAAAGGCAACAAUUAAGAAGGUUUUUAGAGAAAAAAAAAAGGCACUGAAGCUAGCAUGAAAGUGAAGAAAGCAAGGAUGAUUGCAGAUCGGAAGAUUUGAUAAGCAUUAGAGUUCUUUCUUUUUUUGUUAGUUUUAUUCUUUCUUGUUUAGUUUUGAUGGUUAAAUUUCUUUUUUGGAUGAUGCUUUUAAGAAUUAACUUGAACUAAGUUUUUAAUCUAGAAUCAAGAUUGAACCCACUGCGUAGUUUGAAUUUUUAAAAUUCUUUAUGGCUUAUGAUUGAUAGUGUUUGAGUUGUUUAUUUCAAUCUUAUUCUUAAUGCGUCUGAUUGUUAGGCCACCAAUUAGAUUGAAUUAAAAACUUAAACGGAAUUGGAAGAGGGACUUUAGAGUAAGACAUGGAUGAAAUAGCAUAUGUUCAACAUCAAUUGUAUGAGAUGAUUGAUUUGAUUCACGUGUAAAGUAAGAAUGCACUUACAAAUUAGAGUUUAAGCAUAAUGACUAUUUCUUGAUUUCAAUUUGCAUAGGAAUAUAGUUAAUUGGUGAAGGAAAACAUUUUUAUAAGAGAAUUAAAAGAGACUUAAAAAUAAAUUAGAACUCUAGGUUAACAACUUAGGCCUUUCAAGUAAGUAAAGAAGGAAUGGAAAAGAUUCAUAUGAAACAUUGAGGAGAUAUUGUGGUUCUAGAAAUUUGCUUAAUCAAUUCUAGUUAUUUUUGUUGUAGUUCUUGCUUUUAGUUUUAGUUGAAUUUUAGUUUUUAUUUUAAUAUUCAUUAUCUUUCACUUUGGUUGUUUGAAUAAGAUUAGGUUGUGUCAAUUUUAGUACUUGGCAAGAAUAUAGUAGAUUAAGUACAAUUCUUUGUGGGAACGAACUUUACUUUCAUUAUAUUACUUGUUAACGAUAUGUACACUUGCGUGGUUUAAUCAACAAACACUCAUCCUGAGCUCGUGUAGACUUUCAUCCUUUAUGACACCUAUACAAACCUUUCUUUCGUAUCUCUCCUCCCUUCCUUCAAUUUUUUAGUUGUUUAAAUGUUCCCAUUUCCUUACUACAACUUGGGCAUACGUUUCUUUUUAUCCUUAAUUCUUUUUUCCCUUGGGUUUAUAUUUGUUCUCUUUUGCCCAUGGCCAUUCGAUUAAGGUUUUCAUUCCCCAUAACAUGCCAUAGUGAUUACCAUUCUCUAUUGUAGUAGCCAUGCACUAUCCAACUAGUCCACUUAUCUUCUUGUUUCAUAUACUUAUCUACAAAGGCAAAGCUAGAGCAUUUUUAAGGGAAGGCCAAGCAGAAAUAGACACUUAAUAGUUAAUGAAAACUUUAUAUGUCAUCCAAUUCUGACUUAAAUAAAAGAUUAAAUAAAAUUCAUAAGAUAUUGAACAUAUGGAAACUGUACAUUAGUAGUAAUAACGGUGUCAUAUAUGUAUAAGAACAAGCCACAACAAUUUGAAGCAGAUUCUGUUGGUCCCAAAUAAAUGUGCUAGAGUGGGUGAAUAGCACUUUUUGGUUCUUGGUAAGAUGAGGAAUGUCACGACCCAAAUUUUGAGCCAUGACCGACGCAUGGGCUCAAUGGACGUAGUCCACUAAGCCUAAGCAAUCCUAUUAAUCUGACGUAUUCAUCAUUCUAUCAUAAACUGCUAAGUCAUAUUUCAUAACUUAGAAUCAAAAUAUUAUUAAACAUUGCCACCUCAUACUAGCAUAUCGAACAAGCGCAUAUAUAGUAUCUACAACAUGUAUCUUAAUAAUUACAUUAGGUUUGUCUAUACACAACAAAAGAAUACUCGACUUCCAACGGAGUAACUCGGUCGAAUGUACAACUACUAAAUACUGAGACACCUACUAAAAGACGGAUACAAGUCUACAAGGACACCUCAUCCUAGUUACCGGCUGCCUCGUGAUCUAAAAACAUGAAGUUGAAAACGGUGAGUAUAAACCUAGUGAGUGAACAAGAAAGGGAACAAGCAUAGCAUAAGGAAUGUUUAACGAAAUCAUGAUGCAUUCUUUUUCAAAACAAUGUAAUUUGUUUUUGAUCUUAUUAAGCCCCUCAUGUAAACCCCACAUGAGAAAAUAACUUUAUGAAAGGGUCUAUAUUCAGCAAAGGAUUUGGAGAGUGAAAACUUUAAUAGCGUUCAUGCGAAUCAAGUCAAAUAGACGACGGGUCCUCGCUGCAGUGGAAAGACAUUCUCGCUGCAGCAUAGCUACAGCGAGAAUGAAUUUUUGCUGUAGCGACACUUGAUUUCAAUUAUCAACUAACCAAGGGUUUCUUGACUGGCCGAGGGUUUCUCACCAAACCUCCUCAUAUUAAGCUUAAUUCAUUUAUUCCUUAAUGUUGGAAAUCCAUGCUUAAAUAUGGUAGCAAAGAAGUGGAAAAUAGGGCAACAAUUGAUCAAAAUGAGGUGAAAAACAGAAAGUUUUUUGCUGCAGCGAGAUUUUGGUCAUAAAACAGAAAGUUUCUCGCUGCAGCGAGAAGCUACUGUACCUUCCUCGUUGCAGCGAAAAUGGAUUCUCGUUGCAGCGAGUUUUCGGCCAGCUUACCUUUUCAAAACCUGAGAGUUUCUCGCUGCAGUGAGAAUGAAUCUCACUGCAGCAAGAAUCAGAACAUCAAGAAAAAGGUUUCCUUUUCCCUUAAAACAAAGCCAUCCUGCUAAAUAACAAAAGCAACAUGUAACACAUGCAAACUCUCAAAUUUCAACAAAUCAAAUGCUCACAUUUUUGCAUUUACAACCAUAUACCAUAUAUGUAUAUAUAUAUAUAUAUAGAUAUCAAUCAUCAUAUGCACCCUCCCAUCAUCAUCAUCUCAUAUGCAACGGCUUAUGCGCACUCCCACUCGCACAUAGUCGGGUUAGCAAUGGUUAAUGUGCACUCCUACUCGCACAUAACCGGGUCCACAUCAACAUACAAAGAAGCACCCAACUUUGAAAAUGUACCUUUGGAGCAAGCUUUUGGUGAAGUGAUUUUAUAUUGCAAAAAUGUGCUAUACAAUGGGUUAUGUGUUAUCAAAAUAUGAUAAUAUGCAUAUCAUGCAUAUUAUCAUAUUUUGAUAACACAUAACCCAUUGUAUAGCACAUUUUCGCAAUAUAAAAUCACUUCACCAAAAGCUUGCUCCAAAGGUACAUUUUCAAAGUCAAGUUAGAUAAAAUCAUUCACAUUCCCCAAAACAAGUUUGAAAUGCAAGUCCACUCAUCGGUAUAUUGUUGAGCCUUUCAUUGGCUCUAAUUUCCCCUAAUUGUCCAAAUGGGAUGAUAGGGCUUCCUUGGAACCUACCAUCACAUUAACAUCACCAUUAUGUUAAUUCACAUACUAUAAACCCUAAAAGCUAUCUCUUAACUAGCUUUCAAUUGUCACUUUAAAGGGCUAUCUAUGUUCACUAUCUUAAUCACUAUAAAAUGAAUGAACAUACUCAACAAUAAAAUAGCUCAUAAUCCCAAUUACUAGCCAUUAUUCACAACUAUAAAUCAAGCUUAGUUCAUCACUUACCCUAGGGCUCAUUUGUAGUCGAAUUAUCUUCUAAUAGCUUCCAAAUCAAUAGGGUAAUUCUCUUUUUAUCUCUCUAGAAUGCCCAACUAAUGAGAGAAAGUAUGGAAAUAAGAUUUAUCAAGGGUUUUGAAGUGAGAGAGUGAAAGAAUACAAGGGUUCUAGUCAAAAGGGCUCAAAGGUAUGAAAAUUAGAGCUAGAGAGAGAAAAUUAUGCAAGCUCCAUAUCAAGCUUCCAUGGAGGUUGGAAGCAACGUGAGAUGGAAGAAGAAGAAGAAGACAAGCUGCUAGAAAAUGGGAGAAGAAGUUGCUGGAAGAAAGAUAUUUAUAGCCAAUCUUAUUAAUUCCCUUGAAAUUACCAAAUUACCCCUCCACAAAUUAGCUUAUUCUUCUCUAAUCUUUUAUGCAAUCUUUUUACUCUUUUGACACUGGGACAAGGUCCAUAAUGGUCUAGACGUGCUCGGGUUCAUGAAAACUUAAAAUUCUAACCCGAGGUGAAAAAUGACCAUUUUGCCCCUAUUGUGAAAAUCACCAAAAUUUUUGUUUCCUUGUCAUUUUUCCCAUAAUUUCACCAUCCAUUUAUGCCUUAGGCCUACUUAAGCCAUAAUAUUGUUUAAAAAUCUUACUUUUAUGGGCUUACUAAGGAAAUGACAAAAUUACCCCUAAUUAGGGAUAUCGCGUAUACUUCCCUUUACGAGUAUAUAAAGGUCAAGGUCUCACAAGGAACUAAUUUGAAAAGCAAUGAAAAUGAAAACAAAGUAGACAAUGCACAGUAAUUUAGAGUGGUUCGGUCCAAGACCUAUAUCCACUAUCUUGAUUAUUCAAGCAAGGAUUUUUUAAAUCAAUCCACUAUAAAAGUUGAAAUUCACAAGCUUUCACCAAGCUUUACAAUGGCUUUUACCAAGCUCAGUCAAAAACUUUCACAAUAGUUUUUCUCGAGAUCAAUUAAAACCCAACACCUAACUUUUCAAGGCUAAGUUAGAACCUAUAACCAAUCAAGCAAUCCAAGCUUGAAUCAAUCCCUUAGAGUGACUUCCUCACUCUAAGAAUACAAAGAAAGAAGUAAUGAAAGUGUACCUAUGAUCACACGGUUGAUCUAAGUGGUACAAGUGAAGUGCAUAUCACAAUUACAAGGAUAGGAGUUAUGUGCAGUAAAUGAACAGUAAGUAUUUACAGGUUUUUCAACUCUUUUUGUGUUCUUGGAAGCCUUCAAUACAUUUCUAGCUAUUGAACCCUCUUUUAUACUUGAAAAAUCACCUCUGAUGUGAGUUAAAUAGUUUUUGAUCGUUAGGAAUAGUUUGGUAGCAAUUCUAGCUGUUAAUAUGUCUUCUAAUGCACAAUUCUAAAUUUCUAGCAACAUGCUCUUAGUCGACUAACCGAUAUCUUAAUCGACUACGUCGUCUCUAUCUCCUGAUCCCAAUUUCUUGCAAUGUGCACUUAGGCAACUAACUUAUUUCUUGGUCGACUACGUUGGUUCUGUUUCUCAAUACUCUUCAGGUCGUCAACUUCUGAUUUAAAUCUUAGCUGACUAACUCUUCAUUAAUCAACUAAGGGCCUUCUAUCUUGUUGAUCAAUUGUGGCUUCCUUAUUCUUAUGCUCUUUGAUAUGUUCAUUUGAAUGAUUGAUUAAUUAUUUUCAUGCAAAUUUUAUCCUGCACACUCAAGUAGAAAUAUUAGACAUAAAUGAAUGGGAAUGUUUUAUUAUCAUAAAAAACUAAUAGAGCCAACAAUCUCUCCCUUUUUGAUGAUGACAAAAUAUUCCUUGAUUAACAGCACAGUGUCCUUUUAUUCUUUUUCAGUUCUGCACAAAGAUGAGGAUUUCUUCCUCUAUGUGUAUGCUUAGUGUGUGCUUCUUUAACUUGUCUAUUCCAUCAAAUUUUGAUUCUUGUCAUUUAGAAAAUGACAUUAUUCAAUUCAGCAUGUUUUUGUUCUUCUCAUAUAGAAAAUACCAUGUGAAAGUUUAAAUUUUUGACAGAAUAUAUUUGCACAGCCUUGUGGAAUAAUAAGCAGGAAGUGACAGGAUGAUAGAACAUUAUUACUACUUCAACUUCCUACCUGUCAUAUUGUUUCCAGACUUAAUUCAUUCCAAAGCUAAAUGCCAUAAAACAUCCAGUCAAAAUAUCAGCAUUCAUAUUUAUUUAAUCCAAAUUUCACUCACAAUAUCAUAUCAACAAUUAAUUAUCAGCAUAUCAUCUCAAUGUCAGCACCAAAGCAUCAGCAGAAACUCAAUAACAUCUUUAAAUAUUCAAUCAUUAGCUUAUCAGCAUUGCAUUCAAUCACAAUCCAACCAGAAUAUCAUAAGUUUUCAGUACAUUAACAGAAUAAGUUCGCAACAUACUUUCAGCAUCAGUCAUCAAUAGUAUAACAAAAAAAAUAAAUAGAAAAAAAUAAAUAAACAGUGUCUUAGCAUAAUGAUCAGUAUCCAAUUUUCAGCAAACUACCAUAGACCAUCUACCAAAGACAACCUAGUCAUAUUCAACACCCUGAAUUUCACCUAGAUUUCUGGUACCUCUACCUUAACAUUUUUUUUUUAAUUGCCCUUUCCCUUAGCUUUCCACUUCUCCCCCUUUUUGGCAUCAUCAAAUCCAAAGGGGGGUCAAUCUUUUGAAGAGGCUGAAGGAGUGGACUCAUCAGUACCAUAGGAAACAUUCAAAGGUUCAGGUGAGGGUUUUGGUCGUGAUUUUUGUGGAAAAGGUUCAAGUGAGGAUUUGUCAAAAACUUCUAGGGGUUUUUGAGGAGAAGAGACAGGUGCUGGUUUAGCCUUUCCAUCAAUUUUUAAGGAUUUUCUCCUUUUGAGAAAUUUGGUCUUGGUUGCCAUUCUCUUGAUACCUUUACCAAGUGGUUUUGGUUUCGUUUGUGGAGCUGCAGUAGUUUUCUCUUUUUCUUUCCCAAUCUACUUCUUUGUUGUGUGUGCUGGUGCAGAUGUGCUUGCUGUGUUUUUGCUUGAGCUGCUUAUUUCUCAACUUACUCCUCAUGAACCAUUUGAUGAAAAAAACCCAUGAUUGAAACCUCUUCAGAAUGUGAAGGAGAUGGUAGAGGUUCUGGUUAUGGAUCUUGAAUAGGUGGAGAGGUGCCAUCAAGAGAUCCAAGAACUUCAGUUCCCUUAUCUAAUCUUUCUCCCUUCUUAAGCUCAACUUCAAGGUUAAUCAUUUAUUCAGCAUCUUUAUCUUGAAAGGCAGGGCCUCCAAAGCUCUCAGCUAGGAAGGCAUGCCCUUCAGCAGCUUCCCUUGUUGGUGUUGGGCUUGGAGUUGCUGAAGUGUCCUCAGUUACAGGCUCAGCAAUAGAUUUCCCUUUUUCCUUUAUCAUAUUUUCAAUCUCUAUAAGUUUUUCUUCCAUUUUCAUAAUUUUUGCAGAUUGCUCUAUAAGCUUCCCAUCCAUUCUCAUUAACAGAUUGAAAAUCAUUUCACUGGAAAAUAGUGAGGGUGUUGUUUCUAUCUGUGCUGGUAUUGCAGAUACCUUGGGUGUUUUAACAAAAGUUUCUGCAUCUAACUUGUAACCCAUCUUUGGCAGACUACAUAAGUUGAUAGCUUGGUCUCUACUCUUCAUUAGGUCCAUUUCAUAUCUUUUAGUCCAAAUUCUUUUCUUCUGCACUAGAGAAGUGAUGAUAUUCCCAUAUGGUAGAUUUAUUUUGUCUCCUGUACAGGCUCUUCUCAUUCUUCAAACUAUAAAUCUACCUAGAUUUAGGGGAGUAGCAUUGAAUGCAUGCUCCAUUAGCCAUAAGUCUUGAAGGCUAAUGUAGCUAAAACUGCCACUUCUGCCAUGAAUGUUUGCUACUAUAAAGUAAUGCAAAAUCCUAAUUUAAGGAUUGGUAAUUAGGCCAGCAUUACUUUUUGAGGAGUAUUUUUCUUUCCUCCCUGUAACUAUUUCCCACAAUGAAGAUGGGUCAUAAUUUUCAGGAAAUUCAAAUUCUCCUUCCUCACAUUCAAAUUUAAGUCAACUCCCUAAAUCAGCAGCAGUUAUAGUAAACUCUCUUCCAUUUAAAAACACAUUCAGGCCAUUAUUAAGAUAAUCAUUAAAAUCUUCAAGUUCCUCAUUUCCUAGUGCAAUACUUGCACAAAACUCUUUAACUAAACAGGUACUGUAGGAUCGAUUCUUAAAAGUACUAUACUGCUUUAGUUUUAAUUCCUCAAAAUAAUCAGAUAAACUUGUCUGAAGUUUUGAGGUUUCAUUGAAACUAUCCCAAUCAAUGUAUUUUCCACAAGUGAUGGGGGCAUUCUCUAAUUUUUUGUAUCUAUUUUCAUGUGCAUUAUUCUUAAACUUAGUUACCUUUCUUAGAUGAUUGUCCCUUUUCUUUCUUCUUCUCUGUUUUCUGUUCCUUUUCCUUCUACGAUUUUUUAGAUUUUUCAGUUUUCGAUGCAGACCCAAUUUUUUAUUUUUUUUUCUGUAUUUUUGAUUGCAUGCCUUCUUCUAGUGGCCAUUUUCCUUUCUUAUUCUCAGCAAUUUCUUUGGUCAAAGAGAUUUUUGCCAUUUUGGAUUUGAGAGAAUUUUGAUUGAGAGUUUUGAGAAUCUAAGUGGAGAGGGUUUUAGGUUUGAGUGGGUCGAUUUCAGAGGAGAGAAAAUGUAGGGGAAAUGAGUUAAUGGAUAGUUUGAUUUUCCCAAAAAUUGUCUAUCUCCCCCUUAAAUACUAUCAGUUUUUCUCCUGUUUAAAAUUCAAACUUUGCCUCCUAUUUUGUUUUUCAUGAAGACAGUAUUUUCUACCCAUUCUUUUCACCCGGUAUACUGCUCCUGUUCACUAUUUUAUUCUUUUUAUCUUCUAACUAACUAAGUUCUAUUAUUUAAAGAGACAGAAUGCUCUUAGUUGACUAAGUGCCUCUCUUAGUCGACUAAGUGCCUACUGUCCUUUGAGAAAAUUUUAGAAUUUUUCCUAAAGCUCCUGCAUAUUAACCAUUCCUAAAUAUCUUCUAAUCUCACAAAAUCUAUCCUCAUUUAAGGGUUUUGUGAAGAUGUCAGCUAAUUGAUGUAAAGUAUUUACAAACUCAAUUUUAAUGUCACCUUUGACUACCUGAUCUCUAACAAAGUGGUGCCUUAUCUCAAUAUGCUUAGUCCUAGAAUACUGCACAGGAUUUUUUGAAAUGUUGAUUGCACUUGUAUUGUCACAAUAUAUUGGUAUGUUAUUCAUUGACAUUCCAUAAUCUUUUAGUUGUUGUUUAAUCCACAAGAUUCGAGCACAAUAGCUGCUUAGAGAUACAUAUUCUGCUUCAACUAUAGAUAGAGCUAUUGAAUUCUAUUUUUUGCUUGACCAUGACACAAGCAUACUACCUAUAAACUGGCAGGUUCCACUAGUGCUCUUUCUAUCUAUUUUGCUGCCAGCAAAAUCAACAUCUGAAUAUCUAACUAAGCUAAAAUAUGAUUCUCUAGGGUACCAUAUACCUAAAGUUGAUGUGUCUAUGAGGUAUCUAAAAAUUCUUUUAACAACAGUCAUGUGUGAUUCUUUGAGUUAAGAUUCAAAACAAGCACAUAAACACACACUAAAUUGUAUAUAAAGCCUGUUGGCUAUUAAAUAAAAAAGUGAUCUGAUCAUACCUCUAUAGAGCUUUUGAUCAACAUCUUUUCCUUUUUCAUCUAAAUCAAGUCUGGUGGAUGGACUCAUUGGUGUACAAAUUGAUUUUAGUUUUAGCAUAUCAAACCUUUUAAGCAUCUCUUGAGUGUAUCUUUCUUGGUUGAUGAAGAUUCCUUUCUCACUUUGUUUGAUUUGAAGUCCAAGAAAGUACUUCAGCUCACCCAUCAUGCUCAUCUCAAAUUCACCCUGCAUUUCUUUAGCAAAGUUCUUGCAUAAAGCCUCAUUAGUUGCACCAAAUACAAUGUCAUCCACAUAAAUUUGAACAACAAUUAAAUCACUUGAGUAUCUUUUGAUAAAGAAUAUUGUGUCGAUACUACCUCUAACAUAACCUUUUUCAACUAGAAAUUUGAAAGCCUUUCAUACCAAGCUUAAGGAGCUUGCUCCAAUCCAUACAAGGCUUUAUGAAGUUUGAAAACAUGAUUUGGUUUAUCAAAGUCCUCAAAACCGAGGGGUUGCUCAACAUAAACUUUUUCUUGGAUGAAACCAUUUAAAAAUGCAUUAUUUACAUCCAUUUGAAAUAAUUUAAAGUUUAUAAAGCAAGCAAAUUCAAGUAGUAAUCUUAUAGCUUCUAUCCUAGCAACCUAUGCAAAGGUUUCAUCAUAGUCUAUUCUUUCCUCUUGGUUAUAUCCUUGGGCUACCAACCUAGCUUUAUUUCUAGCUAUAUUCCCUUGCUCAUCUACUUUAUUUCUAAAGACCCAUUUUGUUCCAACAAUAAGGUGGUUUAUAGGCCUUAAGACUAAUGACCAUAUAGGGCUUCUUUUAAAUUGAUCAAGUUCCUCUUGCAUGGCCAAUAUCUAACUUUCCUCUUUUUCUACUUCCUCAAAUGUUUUAGGCUCAAUUUGAGAUACGAAAGCUGAAAACUCACAAGUCUCUCUUGUUACUCUCUUAGUUUUAACACCUUGUGAAAUAUCACCUUUGAUUAGUUCUUGUGGGUGGUCUUUUGCAUAUCUCCAACUCCUUGGAAGGUCAUUAUGCUGAUUUUUAGUUCUUUGCAGGGUUUCUAUGGGUGGAGGUUCUGUUUCUCUCCCUAGCGAAUUUUCUUCAAUAUUUUCUUAUCAUCUAAACUCAUUUCUUCCAUUUGUUUUUCAAGAUCAUCCGUAUCAUGUUCAUCAUCUGAAAUUUCCUUUUGUAAGGUAUUGGAUUCUUCAAAAACUACAUGGAUGGAUUCUUCAACCGUUAAGGAUCUUUUGUUGAAGACUCUAUAGGCUUUUGAGUUUAAUGCAUAUCCUAAAAAUAUAGCUUCAUCACUUUUUGCAUCAAACUUUCCUAAAGGCUGUUUACCAUUGUUCAAUACAAAACACUUAUAGCCAAAGCUCCUAAGGUGAGAGAUAUUUGGUUUUCUACCUUUGUACAGUUUGUAUGGCGUCUUUGAUAUCAUGGCUCUUACAGACACUCUAUUAAGGAUAUAAGCUGCUAUAUUAACAACUUCUACCCAAAAGUUUUUAGGUAGAUUAUUCUCACAUAGCAUAGUUCGAGCCAUUUCUUUUAAGGUUUGGUUUUUCUUCUCUACAACUCCAUUUUGCUGGGAUGUUCUAGGUGCAGAAAAAUUAAGAUCCAGCCCCUUUUCAUUACAAAAAUUCUCAAAUUCAUCUCCUUCAAACUCACCUCCUUGAUCACUCAUAAUACUAACUAUAGCUAGUUUUUUUUUUUUUAACCUUCCUAUAAUGACUUAUGAAUGCUAGUAGAGCAUCAUUUUUAUGAGCAAGAAAAUAUACCCAAGUGUGCCUAGAGUAGUCAUCAACUAUUACAAAGCCAUAAGAUUUUCCUCCUAGACUAGUUGUACUUAUUGGACCAAAUAGAUCAAUGUGCAGCAAUUCAAGAGGUUUAGAUGUGAAGACAACUUUCUUGGUCUUAAAAGAUGUUCUAACUUUUUUUCCUAGUUGACAAGCAUCACAUAUCUUAUCAUUUUCAAACUAAAGAUCCCGCAAUCCAACAACUAAAUUUUUUCUAAUCAACUUUGACAUGGUAUGCAUGCUCACAUGUGCUAAGCUCCUAUGCCAUAACCAACUAUCAUUUUCAGCAUUUGCUACAAGACAUAUUUCAUAAUCCAUUUCAAGAUCCCAAAGAAAUACUACAUAUUCUUUAAUUUUCUUCCUACAAAUGAAAUUUUAUUAGUGCUUAUGUUUAUCACUUCACAUUUGGUUGAGCCAAAACAUACCUUAAAUCCUUUAUCACUAAAUUGACUAAUACUUAAUAAAUUAUGUUUCAAACCUUUAACCAACAACACUUGACUAAUUUGAGUUUGAGAGUUCUUACCAACCGUUCCUAUGCCAUGAAUUCUACCUUUUGAAUCAUCACCAAAGGAUAUGGUUCCUCCCUUUUUCUUGUCUAGCUGUGCAAAUAGUAUUUCAUUUCCUACCAUGUGCCUUGAUCAGCCACUGUCCAUAUACCAAGGUUGCUUCUUCUUGAGUUGAGCUCUUGAACAUGUAAAUUUUGAGAGCAGCUUAACCUAUAAGACAAAUUUUCAGUUUUUCUUUAUAGGUACCCAUACCUUGAUGGGUCCUUGAUUGUUAGUUGCAAUAUAAGAUCCUUUUGGAACCCAUAUUUUUCUUAUUUUCUACGUGCAUCUUUUCUUAAAACAAUCAUAUGAUAAAAGACCAAUUUUAUUACAAAUAUAGCAUCUAGAUAAUGCAUUAGCAGAAUUUUUCUUGUAGUAGACAUUUUAUUUUGAAGUUUCAUUUUUCAAACUUUUAAGAGCUGUGUUUUCAUCAAGUGUUUUUUUGCAAAGCUUCAAAUUUAUUGUCCAGCUCUAAUUUUAAAACUUCAAAAUAUGUUUUGAAUCUUCUAACUCAACUUGCAGAAAAUUUCUUUGCUCAAAAACAGAAUUGAACUCUUCUCUUAUCUUUUCCAAAUCAUUUUCAAGAGCUGCAGUCUAUUUCUUAAAAUCUUGUAUUUUGAAAAGAGUUUUUCAAAUUCAUCAUAAAGGCACUCAUACUCAUCUUGUAAAUCAUCAACAGAAAUAUCAUAAGAGGAUGAGGAUACCUCAGAUUCAUUAUCCAGUGCCAUCAAACACAGGUUUACUCUUUCCUCAGCUUUUUCUUCCUCACUUUUAGAACUUGAUGUGUCAUUGUCUGACCAUGCAGCUGCUACCAUUGCCUUCGUUGAUUUCUUGUUUUUCUUUAGAGUCUCAUCUUUCAGCAAUGGGCAUUCGGACUUGAAAUGUCCAAGCUUCUUGCAUUCGAAGCAGGUUAGCUCAUCAUUUUCGUUGGAGUCAUUUUUGUUUCUAGUUCUCCAUGAAGAACCUUUAUCUUUUCUAAACCCUUUUCUAGCCAAUCUCUGGUUUCUUUUGGCCACAAGCUUUCUGAAUUUCCUUGCAACCAGUGCCAACUCUUCAUCAUCAUCAUAGGAUAGCUCUUCCAACUCUUCUUCAAGAAUGCUGGCUUUUAAUGCAAUGCUCUUUUUCUUUUCUUUUGCUUCCCUUUUAUCUUUUUCUUCCUCUUCCUUGAGUUCUAGCUCAUGAGUAAGGAGAGAACCACAAAUAUCAUCUAAAGUAAUAACAUCUAGGUCCUUGGCUUCUCGAAUUGCAACCACUCUAGGCUUUCAAUUUUUUGGUAGGCUUCUAAGAAGUUUUUUAACAAUCUCAUGCUGGAGUAUUGGUUUUCCUAGCUAACUAAGUUUGUUUAUGAUGUUUGUGAAUCUAUCUAACAUGCUGGUGAUAUCUUCAUCAGGCUCCAUCUUAAACAUUUCAUAAUUAUGGGUCAAGAGGGCUAUUUUGGACUCUUUGACUUUAGAAGUCCCUUUAUGGAUAAUCCUAAGCUUAUCCAACACUUGUUUAAUUGUUGUACAGCUUGAUACUUUGUUGAAUUCGGUGGCAGUCAAGGCACAAUGCAAUGUAUUGAUAGCCUUAAAAUUUGUUUGGAUUCUCUUAGUUUUAGCCUCGGUCCAUUCAGACCUUGGCUUAAGCAUCAUCUCAUUGGUUACUACAUUUAAGAUUGAGGGAAUGAAGGGUCCAUCAGUUAUGACAUCUCACAUUUCAUAAUCAAUUGCUCUAAUGUAUAUUGACAUCCUAGCACUCUGAUAAAGAUAGUUAAAGCCAUCAAACAAAGGUGGUCUGUUUAUUGAUUGUCCCUUAGCAGUUAUGGAUUUUUUAAGAGCCAUUUAGAUCUUCCAAAGGUUGUUAGACCUUAAUAACAGGGGUUAGGCUCUGAUACCACAUGUUGGUCCCAAAUAAAUGUGCUAGAGAGGGGGUGAAUAGCACUUUUUGGCUCUUGGCAAGAUGAGGAACUAAUUUGAAAAGCAAUGAAAAUAAAAACAGUGUAGACAAUGUGCAGGAAUUUAGAGUGGUUCGGUCCAAGACCUACAUCCACUACCUUGAUUAUUUAACCAAGGAUUUUUCAAAUCAAUCCACUAUAAAGGUGAAAUUCACAAGCUUUCACCAAGCUUUACAAUGGCUUUUACUAGGCUCAGCCAAAACCUUUCACAAUAGUUUUUACCAAGAUCAAUUAAAACCCAACACCUAACUUUUCAGGGCUAAGUUGGAACCUAUACCCAAUCAAGCAAUCCAAGCAUGAAUCAAUCCCUUAGAGUGACUUUCUCACUCUAAGAAUACAAAGAGAGAAGUAAUGAGAGUAUACCUAUGAUCACACGGUUGAUCUAAGUGGUACAAGUGAAGUGCAGAUCACAAUUACAAGGAUAGGAGUUAAGUGCAGUAAAUGAGUAAUAAGUAUUUACAGGUUUUUCAGCUCUUUUUGUGUUCUUGGAAGCCUUCAAUACAUUUCUAACCAUUAGAACCCUCUUUUAUACUUGGAAAAUCAGCUUUGAUGUGAGUUAAACAGUUUUUUACCUUUAGAAACAGUUUGGUAGCAAUUCUGACCGUUAAUCUAUCUUCUAGUGCACAAUUCAAAAUUUAUGGCAGAAUGCUCUUUGUUGACUAACCGAUAUCUUAGUCGACUAAGUCGUUUCUAUCUCUUGAUCUCAGUUUCUGGCAAUGUGAAAUUAGUCGACUAACUUAUUCUUGGUCGACUGAGUUGGUUCUAUUUCUCAAUACUCUUUAGCCCACCACCAACUUUUAAUUUAAAUCUUAGUUGACUAACUCUUCAUUAAUCAACUAAAGGGCUUCUAUCUUGUUGAUCAAUUGUGGCUUCCUUAUUCUUAUGCUCUUUGAUAUGUGCAUUUGAAUGAUUGAUUAUUAUUAUCAAAGACUAAUGGAGCCAAUAGAUUCAAAAUAGACUCUAAUGUGAUCAUAAUUUCCUACCAUUAUCAAAACUUUUUCUACAUACAUUACACCAUAAUAGACAAUGUAUUCUUAUGAAUAAUCAGUAAACACAACAUAUGUGUGUUCCCUUAUGUAAGGUAAAAGAAUAAAUACCACAACAUAAAGUACCAAAACAUAAUUAACUUUCAUAAAUAAAUACCAUUUACAAUUGUCUUCCAAGAGAGUUGUGUUUAAUUCUUUUUCAUAGAUUCAAGUUAUCUAUUAUUGAAAUUGUACCAAAAGGAGUAACUAUUUCUUUCCCAAUGUAAAUAACUAAAUUAUCUACAAGAAACUCAUCAUCUAUUUACUUCGAAGUCUUAUUUUGACAAUUUUCAUUGCUAGUAUGGUUCACUUUGUUGUUGCUGUAGACAUUCGAAAGGUCAAGACAAUGCAUAUCAAUCUAUCAACCAAGUGAAAAGUUCUUGACUUCCUUGUUUCUUUCAAUUUUUGACAUAACUCAAAAAGUGUGCCAUUAUCUUUGAAAUGCACUAGUAUGUCAAGCCCAUAAUGUUGCAAUUGGGACUUUAAAAGAAAUUUUUCUUGUCCAAUAAAAUCAUUGGGAUAAAACUUCUCAACUAACUUGCAUAUAUCUUCAACUUUAAAUGAUUGGAAAUUAUCCUUAAGAUCCAAUGCAAAGCUUAAUGUGAACAACUCCAUUGUUUACUCAUUAAAUCUACUAUUUAACUCUUAUAUUUGAGAAUUGAUUACUACCAAAAGUACAUCUACUCAAUAAUGAUGCCCAACAGUUAUAGUUGGCUGAUGAAAAUGACCUUUUCUUAAGAUGUAUCAUGCACCCAUAUCAGGGACCUCAAUCUCAUGUUUCUAUAAAAUUCUUUCACAUUCUCAAGUAAAUUAUAUUGUCCACCAUCUCUCAAUUGUUGAAGAAGUGAUUUUGAUGUAAAAAUAAUACACAUUGCAUUUAAAAUAUCAUGAGAUUGUUGCUGUAGUGCUUGGCAAAGAACAUUACUAAUUCCCAUAAUUUCCUUCAUCAAAUGCAAGGUGAAGACAAAUUCAAAUGAUAAUAAUACUUUGCUAACACCGUAAACAUAUCUCUUUGUGCAUAAGUAGCUCCUUCAUCAAUGAUAUUAUUAAGAAUAGUAUAGGUUGUAGAAACAUUCUUAUCAAGCUACAAAUAGAAUCAAAGUGAGAGCACCAGUGUAUAUUUGCUGCUCUUCACAAAGUCCCAACUUGAUUUGCCCCUCUACUUGUUUUAAUACAUCAAGGGUGAUGAUCUUUUCAAUUUCAAUCACUUGAGUUGCUUGUAAUUGAUCAUGUUGUUUUGCAAGAAGAACCAACAAUAUUGACAAUAGAAGUAAAUUGUGGGACAAAUUCAUGAACUUGAAUUACUACACUUGAAGGUGUAACCAUUACUAAUUGUAAUAUAUGAGUGAAACAAUGCACAUAGUAUGCUUAUGCACAAUCAUCAAGAAGCAAAGCUUGCAAACCAUUCUAUUCACCUCACAUAUUGCUAGCAUCAUCAUAUCCUUGACCUCGAAUAUUUUCAAUUUGGAGAUUGAAACGAGAAAGGACAAACACCAAUUCUUUUUUCAAAGUUAUUACACUAGUGUCACUAACAUGCACAAGAUCAGUGAAUCUCUCUUGAACAAAUCCAUCCAUACUAAGAAAUCUCAAAACAAUAGCCAUUUGCUCAUUUUUAGAUUCAUCUCAAGCUUUAUUUAUAAUGAUACAAAAUUUGGAAUUUUUUAUCUUUUUUGUAAUUAAAUUCCUUGCCUUAUUUGCAAGAAUAUGUAGAAUUUCCUUUUGGACAUCAUUGGAUGUACACUUGGCAAACCUUGGAGCAUUUUCCAAAAUAAUCUUUUCAACUUUUUGAUUAUAUGAUCCCAAAAACUUCAACAUUUUAAGAAAGUUUCCUUGAUUCUUUGAACUUCGGCUUUCAUCAUGCCCUUUAUAUGCACAAGCUUGAAAUGUCAACCAUCUAAUACAAUCUAUGGAAGCCCUAAGUCUAAGUCAAUUAUUCUCAAUAUUUUCUAAUGCUUGUCUUUUCAUAAGCCUAUCAGUAUGCUGUGAUUUCUUUAGCAAAUCAUCACAUGAUUUCACUACAUUAUGAUGGAGUCAAUUGGGAUUGUUGACGACAAGAUUCAAGAGAGGACAAUAUUUUCAACUAUUACUAUCUUCCAAUUCUUGAAACCAUUCUCAAUGAAUGCAAUUGAACCUAAGUGGUUUGACGAUUCUUUACCAAAAAGGUAGCAUGGCAAACAAUAUAUAGCAUCAUCUUCUUUAGAAUACUUAAACCAAGAGGGAUACAAUUCAAACCAAGAAGAUUGAAAGCAAUGGUGAUGAUUCUUAUGACUAAAUGGAUAAUGAUCAAGCAAUGGUUGAUAUGGCCCAACUUUGAGAUGAGUGGGCGCACUCCAAGAUUGUUUUCUAAAUAACAAGCAUCCAUUUGUUCAAGACUAAGUCUUGGGCAUUUUAAGCUACCUUGUUCAGAAGUUGAAGCAUUGAUAUUUGAUUGCUUAAGUGCUGAAUGAGUUGGGAUUGAUGUAGUAGUUGUAAAAAGAUCUUAAUGCUAUAAUGUUUCUUUUAAAGAAUGUGUUGAUGGUUUUCAACUUUCCCUUAGUUCAAAAGAGCUCUUGUAAUUAGUAAUAAAGUGAUAUACGAAUAUUUCAAAUUGGUUUGAAAUGCUCACCUAAAAUGACACGUCAAAAGACUUCAGUAAAAAAUUCUUACCUAUUAGUUUGGAUUUGGAUAUUACUAUUAAAAAAUAAACUCUUAUAUAAUUAUAUUAUUUAGAUGAAAAAUACAUUACUAAAUCAAUAAAUUUGUAAAUGGCAUAUUCUAUUAAAAGCAAAAGAAAAAAGCUAAUAUAAAUAAUAACAUUCAAUAAAUUUGUAAACAUUCAAGAAUAUUGAAGUAUAGUAAUUGUUUGGAUCACAAAAAUAACUAUACAGUCUAACAUAAUUAAUUUUUUUUUUAGAAUUUUACUAUUUUGCAAAAAAAAAUGCUAUAAUCAGUAGCCAAUGACUUUAGAAGAUUACAUUUUACAGGUAAUACACAAAAGCACAACUCACAUAGAAGAUGGAAUGGUGUUUGACAACCUGCUUCUUGUUUUCUUGAUGUCCAAAUAAAAAUAUAAAAGGAGUCUCUCUCUCACUCUUUGUGCGCAAGAGUAGAAGAGAAAGAAAAUUUUCAAAUUCAAAUGAAAUGUCUUUUGACCUUAUGCGUUCUGCAUGAAAUAGGUAGCUUUUUGAGGAAGCUCUCCUCUUAUUUUCAAUUUUGCCUCUUCAAUUGCUAAUUAGCAUAUUGGGCUAUUGAGUUGGACUGUUGAGAUAUAACAUGUUAUGAUAAACUUAGAUUUAUAUUAAGAUUUAAUGGGUUAGGUUUAGUAAACUCACACUUAUUUUUUAAAAUCUAAUAGGCUCUGGAUAUUGGGUUAAAUUUUAUAUGCUAGGCUUAGCUAGUAAGUAUAAAUUUCACAAUAUUUUAAAAGGUGGUUGCAAGUUAAGAAAAUUAAAAAAAAUUAAUUGCAUGUAAAACUAAAAUAUUUGAAGGGGGUCAAGAAAAGCUGCCCCUACUUCAUUUUAUCUCAUGAAGCCAAAACUUUUACCAUUUUUACUCCUCUGUUCUGUUAUGUAUAUGCCUCUUGCUUCACCAACUCUCUCGAAGAGUGUCUAUAGCGAACUCCCAUUUACCUUCUCCAAAAUGUUAUCGAUAAACACUAAGAUAAGCCAUCUCCUAAAUCUAUCAUCAUAGAUUCUAAUGGUAUUGCAUCAAAUCAUUAACUCUCAAGAUCUCUGUAUCAGGUUUUUUAAACUCGAUGUUAAAAGUAAUGGAGUUGAUUUGCACUAAUCGGGGUGAUGCAUAUUUCCCUUCAAAGUUAAUUAGUAGUAACAAAUUUUAACUUUAUCAAUGAUAAAAACUUGUUUUUGCUUGUGGUUUUCUUGGUUUUUGUUUCUAUUGUGAAUAUAGGAUCCUAAUGUUUUCUUCAUUUGUAUUCUACUGAGGAUUGGAUUUAGUUUUCUACUCAGGUUGAGAUAUUGUCUUUGGAAAUCUCUAAUGGAUAAUGGAUGUGUGUUGCUUCUUUUUUUGGGUUGGUUUUCUUGGUGGGUAAACUGCAUGAUCUUUUGUUAUGUUAUUUUUUCAUCUGUGGGUUGUUUGUGUCCCUAGUGCUCUACUAGUUUUUUGUCACGACCCAUUCUCGAGCCAUGACUGAUACAAAGACCUAUGUGGGUAUGGCCACUAAGCCUAAUCAAGCCUCUUAUGUAUCAUGCAUAUACGGCUCAUUUACAUAAUCAUAUAAUUUAUUUCACAUUCAAUGCAUGCACUAUCACACAAAUAUGAAAUUCUUCAUCAUAAAUUAUGGAAAAGCUUUCACUCAUAUAUCAACAUUUGUAUAACAUAAACUCAUGUAACAUCUCAUAUCAUCAUGAUUAUGCACUCUUUAAGCGCUCUUAUAGGCUCUUAAGUCGUCUCAUUACUUAAUUUGUAUAAACCAUGUAAUUAUAAUGCCAACUCUUGGCUACAUAGUCAUAAAAAUGUUCAAGUGCAUAUAACAUAAAUAUAAAAACAGACUCAUCAACAAAACAUGACCUGACCCUUUAAGCUUCAAGUUGGCUUUUAGAAACACUUAACAAAGAAAGACGAGGAGCUUUCUCUGCAACAAGGGUUGUUAGCUAAUCACAAAUCUACAAAACAAUUAUAUCUUACGUGUAAGAGUAAUAUAAACUUUGUGAGUAGAUACAAGGAAGGGAAAAAGUAUUGUUCAAUUUUUUACCCACACAAGUAUACGUAUCACAAAGAUAAUAUAAUGAUAAGUAAAGUGUUGAUCCCAUAGCAAAUUGAAUUAAUUCUUACUAUUAAUUGUUAAAAUUACACACCUUAACUUUAUCCAAACACUAAAAUUUUGAAUUAAAAAACAAAAUAAAAUUAAACUUAAAAACUAAAACUAAUCUAAAUUUACUCAGUAAAAUUACUUUUUUAGAUUUAAUUGACUUUUAGACCUAAGAUUAUGAUGUCUCUCAAUACUUCAUCUGAUUAUUGUCUCUCUUUCUUUACUUAGCUUCAUAGACUAAGUUGCUAAACUAGAGUCAUCAAUUAUUUACAAGUCUCUGUUAAGUUUCUCAUAAAAAUAUCUCUCUUAAUUAAUUUACUAUAUGUCUAUGCAAAUUAAAUUAAAGAUAGAUUCAUUAAGUUCAUUCUCUAAUUUUGGCUAAAUGUGGCUUAUAGAUGUAUAUCUACCUUAAAUGCAAAUCAAACCACCUAAUCAACUAAGUGUAUUUGAUCAUACGUUAUUCUAUGCAAGGUCUACCUAAAUCUCCUUCGUCAAGGUUUAACCUAGGUUUCCAAUUCAAUCUAAUUAUUGAUCAGGCAAUUAGAAGCAUCAAGAACUGAAUAAAAGAAACAACUUAAAUCCUUCAAACAAAAGCAAAAGAGAGAUAAAUAAAUCAGACUAGGUUUUGAGUUCAAUCAUAAUCUUAGAUAAAUUAUUUAGUUCCUCAUUAAGUCACGCAUCAUCAUCUAAUUAAGUUUAAAUAAUAAAGUCAAACUAAGAAAUAAAAGAAUAACAAAAAGAUAAUAGAAUCGAAGAGUUGUAAUCAUGAUCUUCCAAAUCUUCUUGACUCUUUCAAAUUCUUCUCAACUUCAAUGACUUUGUGGCUUGAUUCUCAGUUAUCAAUCUGGUGUUUCGUUCUAUUUUUUUAAAAUCCUUCGAAAUGUUGUUUUUAUAGGGCUUUGAAGUUAGGCCAAGUUAGGUGAAGUAAGAAUUCAAUUUCAAUCAAGAUUUCUUCAUUAGACUACAUGGGCCAUGGCCUACCCCUACCAAGGCCGCGACCUCAACCAAUUAAUUAGCGAAAAUCAUAAUUGCUCGUGGACUGUUGCAGUGCUUGAACUUCAAUAAGAUUUUUUAUUAUGUUUCAGACCAAAAUGGGAAAAGUGUAAACAUGAAGUAUCUUUUUAUCUUAGCUUUGCAAUGGUCGAAGAAUCAUCUCAUUUGGAGUUUCAUAGAGAGUGUUAUGGUUGUAAUACCAAAAUAUGGGCAUUGAAAGUCUGCACUUCAAAAUUCAUCUCCUUCUGCCAUUAAAAUUCUUCCUUCAUCAAACACCUACAAAAGCACAACUAAAUCAAUAACAACCUAUCUUAAUCACAGUAAUAGCAAAUUAAGUAUAAAAUUAACUAAAAUUAGAUUGACUUACCUAAAUUAAUUGAAUUAAAAUAAUUUAAAUAAAACCUACUAAAUUCUAUGUAUUACAGCAAGAACUAAGUAAAUUACUAUCAAAAUUAGGUCCAAAUAACUCUAUAUCAUAGAGUUAUCACAAAGCAAAAAGGGAAGAGCUUUUACAUAAACCACAAUUUAAUAUAAACAUGGAUUUAAUGAUGAUUAUACAUAUCCUUUCAAAUCGUUGAGUUAUUUUAUUUUCAAAGUUCAAGCAAAUGAUUGUAGUUGAAAUCAAAAUCACAUAAGAGAUUUAAUUAAAAAGGAAAGUAAAAAGCUAGCGAAAGAAAAUUUUAAAAGGGAAAAUAGGUUGUUUUGUACCUAAGGUAUCAAUACCUCCUUGUGGGGUUUCAAUACUUUUCAACCAGAGGUUUUUUUGGACUGAAGAUAUCAGUAUUUGUUCUUCAAGUAUUGAUGGUAUUCAUUAAAACCCAGAAAUUGGGAAAUUUCUCACUAAGAAUCAAUUCUAACUUCUUUCUUAACCUUGUGUACAAUCUUUUAACAUAAGAUUCUCUAAAAUUUCAAUGGGAAAACACCUUUAUCUAUCAAUAAGCUUCAAUCAAACUUGUAACUUAGAAUUUAACAUGUACAUCUAUCUAUUAUUCGAUCAUGCAAUCUUUAUCACAAUCAUCAUAUCACAAUGACAAUGGUAUAGUGCCCACUAUUUAGGACGAUUCUCAAAUAAUGGUAUAGUUGUCACAGCCCAAAUACCGGGCCAUGAUAGGCGUAUGGGCCCAAUGGGCAUAGCCCACUAAGCCCAAGCAAGCCUUUUUAUGCAAACUCGAUCAUCAUUCUAAAACCACAUAUUUCAACUCUCAAUUAUAAAUAUUUCAAUAACAUUUUAUAGUAACCCAAUAUUCACAUUCGUAUUAUGUUAAAAUAAUGUUACUUGUUUGCCAGCCUAUAAUGGCAUCAGUAAUCAAAUAUACAUAUUUGAUUUUUCUAACACGAAUCUGAGUGGUCUACAUUACUUAUAUGUAUACACAAGUAUACGACUAUUGACCAUCAGCGGAGUGAUCAUGGGUGAAGGUAUAGCUAUUGAGAUGCCAUCGUACCUACCAAGAAGGCGAGCAUAUGUGCGCAACUCAAUCUAGGUCCCAACUGCCUUCGAAUUUGAAAACAUGAAGUUUAAAAACCUGAGUAUAAAACUUAGUGAGUAAACAUAAGAAGGGAACAAGCAAUCAAUAGGAAGAAUUUGGAAAUCAUGAUGCACUUGUUUGAAAAACAAUGCAAUUGAUUUAGUUUCUUACUAAAAACCCCUCAUUCCAAACUUUGAUUAAUAACCUCAUAGUGUUGCAAAAAUCCAAGAUCAACCCAUGAGAUUAAAUGGGUGAAAACUAUGUCAAAAUCAAGCAAGGUAGCAAGUAUGUCAGCAAGUUUCUUGCUGCAGUGAAUUCAUUCUCGCUGCAGCGAGAUUCGGGCGACCAAAACAGAAAGCUUCUAAUUGCAGCGAGAAAUAGUGUCAGUUUGCAUGUAUUUUAGUUUUUCUAUCAUAUCUCCAGCUACAGAAGUCCAAUUGACCUGAUUUUUAAACCAUUAGAAAGCUAAGAGGCAGGGCUACAACUUUAAUGUUUACAAUAUUUCCAGUUCGGACGAGAAGGUGGUCAAAAUCUUCAUCAAAAUGAAGGCACUAAAUCAGAACCCCAGAGUUUCUCACUGCAGCGAGAUUUAUUUUCGCUGCAGCGAAUUUCUAGCUGCCAAAACAGAAUGUUUCUCGCUGCAGCGAUAAUGCAUUCUCGCUGUAGCAAGUAGCAAGGCACCUAAGUGUAAAAAAGACCCCCUUUGCACUAAAAAUCCAUUUGGUGAUGCAAUAAACUCAAUUUGCAAGAAAAUGGGACAUUCUCAAGAUUCAUCAUGCCAAUUUCAACAUGAAAUACUCAAAAAUUUCCAAAGUUCAACAUUCCAAAUUUCACAUGCAUUACAACCAUAUGCCAUAUUAUGAACUUUAUAUAACACUCAUUUUCAUAUACAUACAUCAUCACCAUGUGUGCACUCCCUACUCGCACACCUCAACUUCAUCACCCAACAUCAUUCAUCAAUACACAACACAUAUUCAUAAGAUAUAUACAUACAUACCAACAUAAUAAUAAACACAUGGAUUCAUCCUUAUACACGUCUCCCAUUUCACAAUAUCAAAAAUAUUUAAUCAAGGCUUGUCCCCUGGCACACAUUUCAAAGACAAGUUGGAUAAAAUCAUUCACAUUCCCCAAAACAAGUUUAAAAUGCAAGUCCACUCACCAGUCUUCUUAAUUCUUUAAUCGAUUUUAACUUUAAUUAUUGCUUCAAACGGACAUGUGAGGCCUUGUUGGAACCUACACACACACAACAUCACAACCAACCCAAAUUGGCAUUAAUAUAAUUCCAAAAGCUCUUUCUGAAAUCAAGUUCCACUAGUUAUUCCUAACUAGCUUCCAAUUGCCAUUAAAUGGCUAUCUAUUCUUUCUACUCCAGUAACUCUAGAAAUAAAUAAUCAAACCUCAAUAAUAAAAGAACUCACAACUCCAAUUACUAGCCAUUAUCAACAACCUAAAAUCAAUCCUCAUUCAUCACUCACCUUGGUGGAUUUGUAGUUGAAUUCUUUCUCAAGAAUACUCAAGCUAUCAUGGAAAAUCCCUCUUUUUCUCUCUCUAAAAUUUCCAACUAGUGAGAAAAAGUGUUUUACAAAGACUUUUUAAGGGUUUUAAAGUGAAAAAGUGAAAGAGCACAAGGGUUCUAGUCAAAAGGGCACAAAGGUAUGAAAAUUAGAGCUACAGAGAGAAAGUUGUGAAAGUUUCAUAUCAAGCUUCCAUGGAGGAUGGAAGCAACCUGAGAUGGAAGAAGAAGAAGAAAGAGAAAAAGCUAUUGGAGAAUAAAGAAGCUGCUAGAAGAAAAAGAUAUUUAUAGCUCAAGCUUAUCUAUUCCAUUUGAAAUUACGAAAAUGCCUUUAGCACAUUAACUUGUUCUCCUUCAAUCCUUGGUGCAAUCAUUUUACUCCUUUUAUACCAAGACAAGGUCCAUAAUAGUCUAAACAUGCUCGGGUCUGUGAAAACUUAAAAAUUUUGACUUAGGGUGUAAAAUGACCAUUUUACCUUUGUUGUGAAAAUUAUUGUCACUUCUAGUUUUCUUCGUGUUUUCAUCAUUACACAUCAUUUAUUCAUUCCUUAGGCCUAUUUAGACCUUAAUAACAUCAAAAACCCCACUCGUAAGAGCUCACCAAGAGAAAUUACAAAAUUACCCCUAGUCCGCAUUAUAGCGUCUACUUCUAGUUAUGUGCCUAUGGAGAUCGAGAUUUCACAAGUUCACUUCUGAAUUACCCUUUUAACUCAGUAAUCAACCUCAAUUGGCAUUCGUAAACUUUAUUAACUAGUGUAUCAAAAUACGAGGUACUAUAAUAGUCUCCGCUAUUUAGGACAUAUAUCUCAUGGUAAAGAGAAAAAGUCAUAUAUAAACCUAUAAAUACAAUGACUUAAUGAAGCUAUCUUUUACCUUAAAUCCAAGCUUUUAAAACUUGAUCUUAGAAAAAAAAUGGAGGAAAGUUGAAAGGAAGAGGAAAUAAGGGUUAGAGGAAAAAGAAAGGUGUAAAAGGAGGGUGAAAUGAAAAGUGGAGGCUCGAGUAAGGGUUUUAUUUUAUUUUUUCCACUCUAGGCUACAAGGAUUAAUUUUUUUUUUGAAAGAUCAAUCCUUUUGCUCUAGGGAUCGAUCCAUUUUCUCCAAGGGGCCUAUCCUUGAGUUCUAGAGAACAAAAAAUUGAUUUUUAACCUUCAAAGCUUGACCCUCUCUUGAUAGAGAUAUACCUUUCAUUCCUUAACUUGGAAAAAUUGGUUUUUCUUUUUAUUUCCUUUCUCUCCCAUUCUUCAAAUAUUCAUUCCUUUGUUUAAAAACCACAUAUGAAGAGCGAAAUUUAAGAAUAUUUUUGUUGGAAAACUCAUAAUAAUAACUCAAAAGAGACUCGUUAAAAUUUUGAAAGAAAUUUACCAAUCUACCUUUGGAUGGAAAGUUGAGGUUUCACAUUCUUCUUUGGGAUGGCUCUCUACUUCAUGUUGUUGAUCAGAAAUGCAUUUUGGCGAGUAUUCGAGUGUCAUCAUCUUCAUCUACUAUGUACUGAUUCAUCUUGUCUCCUUUCAAUUUGGUUUAUUCUUGAAAUGGAUGUUAAUAUUGAUUUGAUGUUUCUUUAUCCUUUGUUAAGAGUGGGGUUUUGUGUGAAAAGGUUUGCAUUGUUUCGAUGGAGUUUUGAGUGGUUUUUGUAUAGAGAUUUGUUAUAGGUUUGAUUGUACAAAUCUAUUGUGUCGUAGCUUGUAUUUCGGGCUACCAACCAUGUGAGACCUCAACCUUUAUAGAUUCGUAAUUAAAAGUAGACGUGAUAACAUGGACUAAGGGUAAUUUCAUCAUUUCCUCUAAUAAGCUUCCAGAAAAAGGUUUUCUAAUAUUUUAAGGUCUAAGUUGGCAUAAGGACCGAAUGAAUGAUGUAUAAUGAUGAAAACAUGAAGAAAACUAGAAGUGACAAAUAUUUUCACAAUAUGGGCAAAAUGGUCAUUUUACACAUCGAGUAAAAAAUUUUAAGUUUUUUUUACUCAAGUACUUUUAGACUAUUAUGGACCUUGUCUUGGUGUCAAAAGAGUAAAAGGAUUGCACAAAGGGUUGGAGGAGAACAAGCUAACUAGUUGAGGGCAUUUUUGUAAUUUAAAUGGAGUUGGAUAAGCUUGAGCUAUAAAUAUCUUUUUUCUUUCAGCAGCUUCUUCUUCUUCUUCUUCCUCUCAUCUCACGUUGCUUUCAUCCUCCAUGGAAGCUUGAUACGAAACCUCCAUAACCUCUGUCAAACUAGCUCCAAUUUUCAUGCUUUUGUGCACCCUUCCAUAAGAACCUUUGUGCUUUUUCACUCUCUCUUUAAAACCCUUGAAAAGCCUUACUCUAAUACUUUCUCUCACUAGUUAGGUGUUCUAGAGAGAGAAAGAGAGAAAGAGAGAGAGAAAGACUUUCAACAUUUAUUUGGAAGCUAUUGAAAGAGAAUUCAGCUACAAAGAAACCCUAAGGUGAGUGAUGAACUAGGCUUGGUUUUAAGUUGUUGAUAAUGGCUAGUAAUUGGGAUUAUGAGCUGUUUUAUUAUUGAGGUUGUUUAUUUAUUUUUAGUAUGAUUAGAGUAGUGCAAGGAAUAGCCAUUUGAUAUAGUUAGAAGCCAAUUAGGAAUGACUAGUAGAACUUGAAUUAGAAACUAACUUUCGGAGUGAUAUUAAUGUAAAUUGGAUUAGUUGUGAUGUUUUUAUGUGUGAUAGGUUCCACCGAGGCCCAACAGCCCCAUUUGAACCAUUAGUGGAGGUUAGAGUCGAUUAGAGGUUCAACAAUACUGGUGAGUGAACUUGCAUUUCAAAAUUGUUUUGGAAAAUAGAUUUGUGUUAAGAUGAAUUAUUUGCAUGAUUUUAUCCAACUUUUCGUUAAAAAUGGGUGCUUGGGAACAAGCCCUUGAUAAAUGCUUUGAUGUUGUAAAAGGUGUGAAAUGUGUAAAGAGGAUGAAUUCAUGUGCUCCUAUAUUGUGUUGGUAUACAUAUUUGAAUGUAUGUUGUGCAAUGAUAAAUGAUGUUGUAUGAUGAUAAUGAGGUGUGCGAGUAGGGAGUGCACACAUGAUGACAUUGAAAUGUGAGAGUAGGGAGUGCACAUAUGGUGGUAUUGCCUUGUGCGUGUAGGGAGUGCACAAGAGAUGAAGAAGGUAGGGUGGUGUAGGUGUUAUAUAUGAUUAUAUCUAUAGAUAUGUGAUAGAAUGUGUGUGAUUGUAAAAUGUGAUUGUAUGGCAUGAUGAAUCUUGAGAAUUUCCUCUUUUCUUGCAAAUUGAUUUUAUUGCAGCACCAAAUGGAUUUUUAGUGCAAAGGAGGUCCUUUUUACAUGUAGGUGCCCUGUUUCUCACUGCAGCGAGAAACAUUCUGUUUUGGCUGCCAUAAACUCACUGUAGCUAGAAACUCUCAGGUUCUAGUGCAGUACUUUCACUUUGAUGAAGAUUUCAACUAUCUUUCCAUCAGAAUUGGGAAAAGUAAUAAACAUAAAAGUUGUAGCCCUGCUCUUAUCUUUCUAAUGGUACAAAAAUCAUGUCAAUUGGAUUCUUGUAAUGAGAGAUAUGCUAGAAAAACUGAAAUAUAUGCAAACUGACAUUGUUUCUCGCUGCAACAAGAAACUUGCUGCCAUGCUUGCUACCUUGCUUGAUUUUGACAUAUUUUUAACCCAUUUAACUUCAUGGAUUGAUUAUGGGCUUUUGCAACACUAUGAAAUUGUUAAUUAGGGAGUUUGAAGGGAGGGAUUUUUAGUAAGAAAUUAAAUCAAUUGCAUUGUUUUUGAAACAAAUGCAUCAUGAUUUCUUUAAACUUUCCUUAUCGUUUGCUUAUUCCCUUCUGAUGUUCACUCACUGAGUUUGUACUCACCAUUUUCAACUUCAUGUUUUCAAAUCAGGAGGCAGUUACUAGGUCGAGGUGUUCUCGUAGAUUCGACUCUUGGUAAGUGUCUCGGCAUUCAGUAGCUAUACUUUCGCCCUAGUCUCUCCGCUGGAAGUCGAGUACUCUUUUGUUUUGUAUAGACAAACUCCAUGUAAAUUAUUAAGACAUAUGUUUUAGACAAUACAUAUAUCUUUGAUUGGUAAUACCACUACGAGUUGGCAAUGCUUAGUAUUAUUUUGAUUCGAAGUUAUGAAAUGUGACUUAGCAACUUUUGAUGGAAUGAUAAACAGGUCAUAUAAGUAGGCUUGCGUGGGCUUAGUAGGCUAUGUCCAUUGGGCCCAUGCGCAGUUCAUGGUCCAGAAUUUGGGUCGUGACAACCCAACUGGUUUUUGAGUUAGUCUCAAUGUAUUGAAUGUGUUGUUAUGACUUGCAAUAGCAUAUCUCUUUUGCAUAUAUGAAUGAAUAUACAACUUUUUGCCUUUAAAAAAAAAACUAAAAACUACAAAAAAUUAUAAAAGAAAAUUACAUAUUUGGCCUCUUACUUAAGGUGGGAUACAAAAAAGUUUGCAAUUGAUCAAAAGUUUUAUUUAGUUUUUAUUUGUAGACAAGAAAUCUUGGGGUUAAGAGUGUUAAUAAGAAUUAAUUCAAUGUAAGAUAAUUUAGUGUAAGAGAAUGUUGGCAGUAGUUGAGAUUCUUAUAAAAAAAUAUGACCCGACCUAUUUUUAAUACAUGCCUUAAAAAGCUACAUUUUAAGAUUAUCUCAAUAUAAUUUAAAGUCUUUUUUAAAUAUUCAAAGAUCCAACACAUAAUGUACAAGUUUCGCAACUUCCCUUCCUUUCACAAAGAAGUUCUAAAUUUUGAAAAGAUUAUAUUUCUUCUGUUUCAUGUUUGUCUUUAAUUUCAACUUAACACAAAAUUUAAGAAAUUUAAAUGUGAAUUUUAACUUCAUUGAUUUUGAAUUUUCUUUCACAACCUAUCCUGACAUAAAAAAAAAUUAAUAGUUAUAAUUAAGGCUAAUAAGGAAAAAUAAGAAUGAUCUUUCUCUUUUUUUUUUUUUUUACUUUUCCAAAUAAGACAUUAAUUUUGGACAACUAACAAAUGUCAAUUAGGUACUAAAAACCUUGAAAACUUUUCCCUAUGGAAUCGGGACCCUCCCACUUUCCCCUGUUACCUCUCCCUCACAAGAUGGCUGCUGGCCAGCUGCCAGACCCUUCCACACUCUUUCUGCCAACUGGGCACCCCUCUCCCAUAUAAUCGGGACCCAUCUAUUCACCCAAGGAAACACAAAGUCUUGAGCCUCCAGUCAAUAAUGGUGGUUUACAAACCAUUGACCCUCAAAACCAAAGCCUCAUCUGGCAAAGAUCCCAAAAGAAAUCUUUUCUUUUUAUCGUGAUAGGAGAACGAUAACCCAUAAUCCCACCAUCCCGAGAGCCUUUCUGGUACAAAGACCGACUAACGACAUCCUUUUUUGAUGACGAGAUUACAACCCUUGCUUAGCCCUUGAAACAUUCCAUGAUCGAUUUUUAGUCAGAGAAUGAGUCUUCAUUGGUUCCGGUUUGGAUCUCGUUCCCAGGUUUACGUGCCCACGUGUUUGAGAAAUCGAAUAUCUUGAUGAUAGCCAAGACGGUGGCUAACCGUUGUUCGUUGAUGAAGCCACUGCAAAUGGAUCGCGAUCUAGCAUUGCAUGGGUCUGCGUUGAAACGUGGAGUUCUCUAAAUUGCUAGCAUAUUGCACUCACUGUAGCCAUGUGGGUCAUGACGUUGCGGCAUGCAUGGUACUGGGCAACAAGCCAGAGAGGAUGAGUGAAAUGAGACAGAAGCCAGAGCCAAACAUAAAUAAAGGGAACGAUUUGAUGCCGUCCAAGAGGUCAAUUGAUGUAGAAAAAAGGCGAGAAAUAAAGGAGAAGAUUGUGAGGUAUGAAGAAGGCAGUGGGCCGAUUCUAGAAAAAAGAAAAAAAAAUCCAAAAAAUAAACAGGUAAAACCGGCGACACAGAACCAAAGGUGGCAAGUAGUGGGCAAAACAUGUAGCAGUGGAGAAAAUGACAUGAUGGGUAAAGAAACAAAUCUGGAGAUGGCUCCCCAACAAACCAACGUCCCAGUUUUCAACAGAUUCCAAACAAUCAUGGAGGAUGAAAACGAAAAGCAGAAUCGGUUCGAAAAACAGGGGCAAACAGAGUACGUGAACAGUAAUCACACAAGAAAAAUUUUUUCAUUGGGUGUUCUGGUAGACGUGGAGGAACGGUGACAAACUCAAACAAGCAAGAUCAGUAGAAUCCAAGAGUGCCGGAGGAUGGGCAGUGAUACGUCUCAAGCUAAUCAACAGCAGCAGGUUAUGAGUGAGAAAGGUGUAGAAACACUUGCUAUGAAGCAAGUAGCUACAAUAGAUAAUAGGAACUCAAUGCAUGCAAGAGUGGCAGAGAGUUGGCAGACUGAUACAGACACCAAUGCAAGCGUAGAACAGGUUGGGGACUUUGACUGUGUUAAAUGGGCAAUGGAGGCAGGUCAUGUGACCCUCCGAAAAACCAAAAAGAAGAAAAAUCGUAAGCUGAAGGACAGGUUGUCUGUGGCGGCCAUGCAUGGUAAUGGUCUGAUGCGGUUGAAGGAUGGACAUUACUCGGAGAGUCAAAAACAACAAUUGGAUUGUGUAAACUUGGACAUCGAACAGGUGCAAGAUGGUGGUGAAAAUAGCUUCAAAGGGGCUGAGCAGCUAAGUCUACCCAUAAUUCCAGGAGAAGAAGACAUUUAAGGGAAUGAUGAGUAUCAUCCAGUAACCUCCCAUGCAUCCCAUGCAGGAAGUGAGGAACGUUCGAAGUGUUUAACGCAGUAGGGAUACCCCACGUACCAACCACAAAAAAUUCAUUAAAGAGUAGCAAGUGAGCAAGAGGGUAGGAGUAGGGAAUUUUUUCAUGCAGACCCAACCUUGGGACUAGAUGGUCACUCUUUUGAACAUCAUCCUUUGGCUUCCAGAAGGAGGACAUCAGACAGUGAGGUAUCCUAUAUUCCUGCUGAAGAUGUUUCUUCAGAAAAAGAAGAGAUCUCAGCUAUAGAUGGAUGCGAUGAAGCUUCUAUCUCUUGGUACUUCCCCAUAAACACAUACCCAUGAUAAGUUUAUUAAUCUGGAAUGCUCGGGGUGUUGCUGGAAAAAUCAUCCAAAGAAGAAUAAAAACAUUAAAGUUCAUGCACCAGAUAAAGAUAUUGGCUAUUCUAGAACCAAUGGUACAAGGCUCGCAGAUUGAAUCUUUUAGAAGGAAACUUGGCUUUGACGGUGCGGCUGCCAAUUGUUCACAGAAGAUUUGGCUUUUCUGGACUCAUGAAGUCUGCUGUUCCAUACGGUUUGAUCAUCCUCAAUGUCUUCAUGCUAGCUUUUCUUUACCGUGGCUUUCAUUCUCUUUUCAAUCUUCAUUUAUUUAUGCUAAAUGUACCCGAUUAGAAAGGCAAGAUUUAUGGGCUUUUUUGAGAAAUGUAACUGUUGGAAUAUAAGAGUCAUGGCUUGCUGGUGGUGAUUUCAAUGUAACCCUAAACAGGGAGGAAAGAUUUCUAAGUGCAGAACCACAUGCCGGGUCUAUGGAGGACUUUACAAUGACGUUUUUUGAUUGUGGAUUGUUAGAUGCAGGUUUUGAAGAUGCAGGUUUUGAAGGAAAUAAGUUUACUUGGACUAAUUCCCUCAUGUUUCAGAGGUUGGACAGAAUAGUUUACAAUAUGCAGUGGGGUACUCAGUUUGCAAAAAUGAGAGUCCAACACCUCAACAAAGAUGGUUCUGAUCACUACCCAUUACUAAUUUCCUGCUUAGAGUCCUCGGCUAAAAAUUCUUCUUCCUUUCAAUUUUUACAUGCUUGGUUAAAACAUCAUAGAUUUAUAAGUUUUGAUGACAGGAACUGGAAAUAACCAAUGCAUGGUAACGGGUUGAUGGCUUUUUGGCUCAAGCAACAAUGGUUGAAAAAGGCUUUGAAAUGCUAGAAUAAAAAUGUUUUUAGUGACAUAUUUAGUAAUAUUAAGGCUGCUGAACAGCAUGUGGUGGAGUGUGAAAAAUUAUUUGAACAGGAACAGUCUACUGUCAAUCGAACACAACUUAAUCAGUCUGGCAACACAACUAAACCAUUUACUUAGUAAUGAGGAAGCAUUCUGGCAACAAAAAUUCGGUGUCCGAUCGUUAGUGGAGGGAGAGCGCAACACAAAGUUCUUCCACAUGCGGUUGCAAAAAAAACGAGUGAAAAACUGCAUUUUUAAAACUAAAAUCGAGGACGGUACAAUAUUGGAGGACCAAGACUAGAUUGAGUUGUCUGUUGUUGAAUAUUCUAAUUUAUUAAAAGCUAAAGCAACGGAUUUGACCAGGUUCAAUGCUGAUUUAAUUCCUCAUUUGAUUUCUGAUUUGGAUAACCAAAUUUUAUGUGCAGAACCGACAAUGGAAGAAGUGAAGGAAGCUGUUUAUGCCAUUGACAAGGAUAGUGUGGCUGGUUCUGAUUAGUUUUCAUCAUUUUUCUAUCAACAGUGCUGGCAUAUAAUCGCGAAUGAUCUUUUGAUUGAUGUGAGAGAUUUUUUCACAUGCUCUACAAUGCCAAGGGGGGUAACUUCUACAACCUUAGUCCUCUUAGCUAAAAAAUCAGAUGCAGAAUCUUGGAGUUAUUUUUGCCCUAUCAGUCUAUGCACUAUUUUUAAUUAAAUAAUUAUUAAAUUAUUAGCGAACCGGUUAGCUAAAGUACUAUCAUCUUUAAUCUCGAAUAACCAAAGUGGCUUUGUAAGUGGUAGGUUAAUCAGUGAUAAUAUUCUUUUCGCCUAGAAAUUAGUUGGUAAAAUUGAUUAUAAAGCUAGAGGGGGCAAUGUAAUUUUGAAGCUUGACAUGAUGAAGGCCUAUGAUAGAUUAAAUUAGGAUUUUUGUUAUUUAAUAUUGGAGCAUUUUGGUUUCAGUUCUCAGUGGAUUGACAUGAUUAAAAGGUGCAUUUCCAAUUGCUGGUUUUCACUAUUAGUCAAUGGGCAUUUGGUUGGCUACUUUAAAUAUGAGAGAGGACUAUGUCAAGGUGAUUUUAUUUCGCCUUUAUUAUUUAUAUUGGCAGUAGAAUAUUUAUUGAGAGGUAUUAAUUCUGUCUUUGCCCAAUAUAAGUCACUGCAUUUUCUAUUCGGGACUCUCUUUAAAUAUUAGCCAUCUCACUUUUGCGGAUGAUAUAAUGAUUUUUACUAACAGAAGCAAAUCAGCUUUGGUGAAAGUGCUUGGUUUUUUACAGGAAUAUGAGCAAGUCUUGGGGCAAAAAAUAAGCCGACAGAAAAGUUGCUUCAUUACAACUCCUUCGAUGGCCAAUUCUAGACGGCAAAUUAUUUCACAAACCACAAGCUUUCAUCAUAAGACUCUUCCUGUUAAAUACCUUGGCGUACCUCUCUAUAAAGGACCCAAGAAAAUGUUGCUUUUUGACUCACUCAUAUUUAAGAUACGCGAUCGGAUCUCAGGUUGGGAAAACAAAGCCCUAGCACCUAGUGGCCGUAUCACACUACUACGGAGUGUCCUGUCUUCAUUGCCAAUUUAUCUACUACAAGUUCUUAAGCCCCCGGUGAGUGUCAUUGAAAAAAUAGAAAGACUAUUUAAUAGUUUCCUAUGGGGAGAUUCCUCAGACAGCAAACACAUACAUUGGACAUCUUGGAAUAAAGUCACAUUUUCGAGCUCAGAAUGCGGCCUGGAUAUCUGCAGUUUGCAAGACAUUUUCGGGGCUUUUUCUACAAAACUUUGGUGGCUUUUUCAGACAUGUAAUAAUUUAUGGACACAAUAUAUGAAAGCCAAGUAUUGUAUUGGGCAAAUCCCGCAGACAGUAACUCCUAAACCGCAUAAUUUGGCGACAUGGAAACGGAUGAUUCAUGGUAGAGACAUAUCCGAACAGCAUGUACAGUGGAAGGUUGGCAAGGGAGAACUUCUUUUUUGGCAUGAUUUAUGGCUAGGUGAUAGACCUCUGGUACAUUAUUUUCCCUCAUACUCGCACUCUAUGGUAAAAGUCAAUUAUUUCUUCGAUAAUAAUAUGUGGGAUGUCAACAAAUUGAAAUCUAUUUUACCCAAUGUGAUUAUUGAUGAGAUUUUGAAGAUUCCUAUUAGCAGAAAUAUAGCAGAUACGACAUAUUAGGCCUUAACUCAAAAUGCAGAAUUUAGUACUAAAAGUGCCUGGGAACUUUCUCGACAACGACAGCCUAUUUUUGCUUAGGGUCAACUGAUCUGGCAUAAGAGCAUUCCUUUAACAGUUUCCUUUUUUUUAUGGCCCCUAAUGCAAAAUUGGAUUUCGAUGGAAUUACGGAUGAAAUCCAAAGGCUUUCACUUAGCCUCUAAAUGCCUUUGUUGUCGUUCGGAGGAGUCCAUUCUACAUGUCAUUUAGGGAGGUGCAGUAGCACAGUAGGUUUGCAAUUAUUUUGCAAAAUUCUUUCAAAUUUAUGUUCAUAAUCCUCAGAAUGUUAUGCAUAUUCUUCAUUCAUGGUAUUAUUCUGGAGAUUAUAUGAAACCAGGUCAUAUUUGAAUUUUAUUGCCAUUACUUAUUAUGUGGUUCCUAUAGGUUGAACGUAAUGAUGCAAAACAUAAGGAAAUAAAAAUGUAUCCUGACAAAGUUAUAUGGAGAAUUAUGCGGAUGUUAAGGCACUUCUUUCAGGGGAACUUAUUAAGUAAAGGGCAAUGGAAAGGAGAUAUUGAUAUUGCAGUACACUGGGGAUUUCAGUAUGAACGUGAGAAUCACGGUCCUCCAAAAAUUGUGUAUUAGUCUUGACCUUUGUUGGGUUUUUUUAAGUUGAAUGUAGAUGGUAGCUCUAUGGAUGCUUUCUAGAAUGUUGCAGGCGGAGGAGUACUUCGGGAUCACACAGGUAUGAUUAUUUUUGGUUUUCUAAAAAUUUUAGACCUUAUAAUUCUGUACAGGUAGAACUAAUGGCAUUACAUCGAGGUCUACUUUUAUGUAUUAAACACAAUAUAUCUAGAGUUUGGAUCAAAAUGGAUGCAAAGGUAAUUGUGCAAAUGAUACUUGAAAGACAUAAAGGCUCCUCCCAGACUCGAUAUUUGUUGGCUUCUAUCCAUAACUGCUCGAGUGUCAUCUCUUAUCGGAUUUCACACAUUCAUAGAGAAGGAAACCAAGCUGUUGACUAUCUCUCUAAUCAGGGGCAUACACACUAGAAUCUACAUGUAUUUUCACAAGCUGAAGGUGAGCUUAGAGGAAUUAUUAGAUUAGAUAAAACUAAUUUACCUUAUAUUCAUUUUAAAUAAAUGUAAAGGAGUAAUACUCUUAAUUUAUUUUUGCUCUAUUUAUUAUAAUGAUAAUCUAGACUCUUGUAAUACGGAAGCAUUGGAAUUUUAUGUUUGCCUUCAUAAAUAUGCACAUAAAAUGAAACCUUCCUUUCUAGGUACUUUUCCACAUUCUUCUCAAUCUCAUGUAAUUCUGGAGGUUCGGUUUAUGUCCCCCUCCCUAAUGUACUUAAUUCUUUCGAUUAUUAAUAAAACGUUUAUAAGGUAGCUAGGCCUUGCACAAAUUUCCAGCAUAAAUAUAUAUAUAUAUAAUAAAUGUGAGAUAGAAUGAGUAAUUUCUAUCUCUGGUUAAAAAAUAAUUACAAAUUAAGGGCAAGCAUUUAUUUAAGCCAUUACUUAUACAAACAUCCUUAAAUUACUCAAACCAAGAACUUGAACUAAUAAACCAUUUAUGUUAUAUGUAAUAAUUUUUAUUUUACUCUUGAACUAUAUUUGUUUUUUUGCUCACCCAAUAAAAGAUUUUAUUGAAUAUACGAAGAAAGUGCAUAGUAGAUGUAGCCCUAAAUAGAGAGAAGAUAUCACUAGAAACAAAAGGAAAACAAUGUUGGCUCCAUUAGUUUUUGAUGAUAAUAAAACAUUCUCAGUCUUUUAUGUCUAACCAUACUACUUGAGUGUGCAGGAUGAAAAUGUAUGUCAAAAAUGAAUUAAUCACUAAAAAGCAAAUGUUAAAACUCAUAAGAAUAAGGAGCUACAAUUGAGCCACAAAACAGAAGCCUCUUAAUCAGAUAACCAAGGGAGUUAGUGAACUAAAACUCAAAAAUGGAGAUGAUCGGUUCAGAGAUAGAGACAACUUAAUCGACUAAGAAGCAUAGUUAGUCGACUAAGAGCUUACUGCUAGAAACUGAGUUCAGAGACAAAAAUGACUUAAUCGACUAAGAAGCAUAGUUAGUCGACUAAGAGCAUUCUGUCUGAAGAUUUGAAUUUGAAUACUAAAGACAUAUUAACAACUAGAACUGACUCCAAACUAUUUCCCAACAGUCAAAAACUGUCAAACAUCCAUUAGAGUUGGUUUUUCAAGAAUAUAAGGCACCCCCAAUGGCUAGGAACAAGAUUAAAUGCUUCCAAGAUCAAAAAGAGCUCAAAAAUAACAAAAACUCUCUGCAUACAUUUUGCACUUCACUCCAAUCCUUGUAAUAGAGUUAAGCAUUUCAUCUUGUACCAUUCAGAUCAGGUUAGUGAUCAUAGGUACUUCUUUAUUUUUGUUCUCUUUGAUUACUUAGAAUGUGUGAAUCACUCUAAGGGGAUUGAUCAAGCUUGGGUUAGCUUGAUUGGGUUUAUAGGUUCUAACUCAGCUUAGGAAAAGUUAGUUUUGGGUUUUGGUUUAUCCCGGGAAAAACCAUUGUUAAAGGUUGUAGCUGAGCCUAUGAAAAGUUAUUGUAAAAGCUUGGUGGGAGCUUGGGAAUUCCACCGUUUAUAGUUAUUUGGUUUGGAAAAUCCUUGGUUGAACAAUCAAGGUAGUGGAUGUAGAUCUUUCACCGAACCACUAUAAAUCUUUUUGUAUUGUCUACUUUGUUUUAUUUUUCAUUUUCAUUCUUUCUUAAAUCAUUCCUUCGUUUUGCAUCAAAUUUCUCAUCAUUGACCUUCAAUUUGCCUCUAAUUAAAAAUCAAGUUUAGUGAAAGACAAAAAGUGUUAUUCACCCCCCUUCAGCACAUUUAUUUGGGACCAAAAAGUGCUAUCAGAGCCUAUCCCUCUUUCUCAAGGUUUAAAAUCCUAAGGGAGAUCCUAAUGGCUUUUCAAAAAUUAGCAAUUGCUGAGGCAUAGUCCAUAAACAGACCACCUCUGUUUGAUGGCUCAAAUUACCCUUAUUGGAGCAUUAGAAUGUCAAUCUCUAUAAAGGCAGUAGAUUAUGAGAUGUGGGAUGUCAUCACGGAUGGGCCCUUCAUUCCCUCAACCAUAAAUGUACUGACCAAUGAAAUGAUUCCUAAGUCAAGGUCUGAAUGGACUGAAGCUAAAACCAAAAAAGGUCUAGAUAAAUUUUAAGGCAAUAAACACUUACAUUGUGCUUUAACUCCUACUAAGUUUAACAAAGUGCCAAGCUGUGCCACUGCUAAACAAAUGUAGGACAAACUUAGAGUUAUCCAUGAAGAGACUUCAGAAGUCCAAAAUAGCUCUUCUAACUCAUUAUUAUGAAGUGUUCAAAAAUGGAACUUGGUGAGGACAUCAUCAACAUGCUUGAUAGGUUCACAAACAUUACCAAUAAACUCAGUCAGUUAGGCAAGCCAUUCCCUGAACAUGAACUAGUAAAAAGACCUUUUAGGAGCCUACUUAAAACUUGGAAAUCAAAAGUGACUGCCAUUAAUCUAAGGAUUUAAAUGUCAUCACACUUGAUGAAAUAUGCAGGUCUCUUCUUACUCAUGAGUUGGACCUAAAAGAAGAAGAAGAAAAAGACAAUAGAGAAGCAAAAGAAAUGAAGAAAAGCAUUUCCUUAAAAGCAAGUACUCUUGAAGAAGAAUUGGAUAACUUAUCAUGUGAUGGUGAUGAAGAAUAAGCUAUGGUAGCAAGAAGAUUUAGAAAACUUAUGGGACAAAGAGAUAGGAGGCUGGCUAAGAAAGGUUAUAGAAGAGAACAAAGUUCUUCAUGGAAAAACAGAAGUAAAAAUGAAUCCAACAAAAAGGAAAAUGUCAUUUGUUAUGAAUGCAAGAAGCCUAGACACUUUAGAUCAAAAUGCCCCACGCUGAACAAUGAAAUUCCCAAGAAAAAUAGAAAAUCAAAGAAAGCUAUGGUGGCUGCAACUUCGUCAGAUAAUGAUGUUUCAAGUUCAGAUGUUGAAGAAGAGAAAGUAAAAGAAAGAGCAAACUUAUGUUUGAUGGCCAGAGAUGAUGAAUCCGAGGUAUCUUCUGCCCCUUGUGAUAUUUCAAUUGAUCAAAUUCAAGAAGAAUAAGAAUGCCUCUAUGAUGAAUUUGAAAAGUUGGCAUCAAAAUAUAAGGCUUUAAAAAGAAAGACUACAUCUUUGGAAAAUGAUUUAAAAAAGAUAAGACAUGAGUUCAACUCUGUUUUUGAACAAAGAAAUUUUCUUCAAACUAAAUUAAAAUAUUCAAAAACAGAUUUUGAAGUUCAGAAAUUGGAAUUGGAUAAUAGAACUGAAGCUUAACAAAAAGCAAUUGAUGAAAAUACUGCUCUUAAGAGUUUGAAAAAAGAAACAUCAAGAAGAAACACAUGUUUUAAGAAAAAUUUUGAUAAUUUCUCAUCUAGAUGUUACGUUUGUGACAAACUUGGUCAUCUAUCUUAUGACUAUUAUAGAAGAAGAAGCACAUAGAAAACAAAAAAGAUUUGGGUUUCCAAAAGGAUCUUAUGUAGCAGCUAACCUUCAAGGACCCAUCGAAGUAUGGGUACCGAUUAAGAAAAACUGAAAAUCUAUCUUGUAGGUUGAGCAAAACCGAGAACACAUAUGUUCAAGAGCUCAACUGAAGGAGAAGCAACCAUGGUUCAUGGAUAGUGGCUACUCAAGACAUAUGACUGGAAAUGAAAUGUUGUUGGCUCAGCUGGACAAGAAAAGGGGAGGUAUUUUAUCUUUUAGAGAUGAUUCAAAAGGUAGAAUUCAUGGUAUAGGAACUAUUGGUAAGAAUUCUCAUGCACAUAUUAGUCAUGUGUUGCUUGUUAAAGGUUUAAAACACAAUUUAUUAAGUAUCAUCCAAUUGUGUGAUAAAGGCUUCAAGGUAUGUUUUGAUUCAUAUAAAUGUGAAGUGAUAGACAUUAGCACCAACAAAAUUUCAUUCAUAGGAAAAAGAAUCAAGAAUAUGUAUGUUAUAUUUCUUGAAGAUCUUGAGCUUAAUUGUGAAACAUGUCUUAUGGAAAAUGAUGGAAAUGAUAGUUGGUUAUGGCAUAGGAGGCUUGGGCAUGUAAGCAUGCAUACCAUCUCAAAAUUGAUGAGACAAAAUCUAAUUGUUGGAUUGCUUGAACUUAAAUUUGAGAAUGAUCAGAUUUGUGAUGCUUGUCAGCUAAGUAAACAAGUUAGAACAUCCUUCAAAACCAAGAAGAUUAUUUCAACCUUUAGACCUCUUGAAUUGCUGCAUAUUAAUUUAUUUGGACCAAUAAAUAUAACUAGUCUAGGGGGCAAAUCAUAUGGUUUUGUGAUAGUUGAUGACUACUCUAAGUACACUUGGGUCUACUUCCUUGCUCAUAAAAAUGAUGCAUUACUUGCAUUUGCAAAUCAUUGUAAGAAGAUUCAAAAUGGAAAUGGACUUGUCAUUGUUAGUAUUAGAAGUGAUCAUGGAGGUGAGUUUGAAGGAGAUGAUUUUGAAAAUUUUUGUAAUGAAAGGGGAUUAGAUCACAAUUUUUCUGCACCUAGAACACCUCAACAAAAUGGGGUUGUAGAAAGGAAGAAUCGAACUUUAAAAGAAAUUGCUAGAACCAUGCUUUGUGAAAACAACCUACCAAAGUACUUUUGGGCAGAAGCUAUCAACACAGCAGUCUACAUUUUUAAUAGAGUCUCAAUAAGGGCCAUGAUAUCAAAAAUCCAAUAUGAAUUGUACAAAGGUAGAAAACCAAAUAUUUCUCACUUUAGAAGUUUUGGUUGCAAAUUCUUUGUAUUGAACAAUGGAAAACACUCUCUUGGAAAGUUUGAUGCUAAGAGUGAUGAGACAAUAUUUCUAGGAUAUGCAUUGAACUCAAAAGCUUAUAACAUUUUUAACAAAAGAACUUUAACAAUUGAAGAGUCCAUCCAUGUAGUUUUUGAUGAAUCUAAUGGCUUGCAAAAGGAAGUUCUUGUUGAUGAAACUGAUGCAGAGGACUUUGAAAGACAAAUGGAAGAAAUGACUUUAGAAAACAAGAAAAACAAUGAAGAAAACUCCCUUGAAAGAGAAGUAGAACCUCCACCCUUAGAAAAUCUACAAAGAAUAGAAAGAUAACACAAUGACCUACUUAAGAGCUGGAAAUAUUCCAAAGAUCACCCAUAAGAAUUCAUUAUUGGUGAUCCUUCAGAGGGUGUUAAAAUCAGAAGAGGAAUUAGAGAAACAUGUGAAUUCUCUACCUUCAUCUCACAAAUCGAGCCUAAAAACUUUGAAGAGGCAGAAAAAGAAGAAAGCUGGAUAUUGGUCAUGCAAGAAGAACUUGAACAAUUUGAAAGAAACCGAAUGUGGACGUUAGUUUCUAGGCCAUCCAAUCACCCAAUUGUUGGUACAAAAAAGGUGUUCUGAAAUAAGGUAGAUGAGCAAAGUAAUGUCAUUAGAAAAAAACUAGGCUAAUGGCUCAAGGAUAUAAUAAAGAGGAAGGCAUUGACUAUGAUGAAACAUUUGCUCCUGUUACUAGGAUAGAAGCCAUAAGAUUAUUGCUUGCAUUUGCAUGUUUCAUGAACUUCAAAUUAUUUCAAAUGGAUGUGAAAAGUGCAUUUUUAAAUGGUCUCGUUCAAGAAUAAGUCUAUGUUAAACAAUCCCCCGAAUUUUGAGGACUUUGAAAACCUUGAUUAUGUUUUCAAAUUACAUAAGGCAUUAUACGGAUUAAAACAAGCUCCAAGAGCUUAGUAUGAAAGACUCUCAAAGUUUUUAGUUGAAAAAGGGUAUAUUAGAGGAAGUAUUGAUACAACAUUGUUCAUUAAGAAGUACUUGAAUGAUUUAAUUAUUGUUCAAAUAUAUGUGGAUGAUAUUGUGUUUGGUGCUACUAAUGAGGCUUUGUGUUAGAACUUUGUUGAAGAAAUGCAGGAUGAGUUUGAAAUGAGCAUGAUGGGUUAACUGAAAUUUUUUCUUGGCCUUCAAAUCAAGCAAUGCAAGGAUGGCAUCUUUAUCAACCAAGAAAGAUACACCCAAGACAUGCUGAAAAGGUUUGAUAUGUUGAAGCUAAAGUCAAUCAGCACUCUAAUGAGUCCCUCUACCAAGCUUGAUAAAGAUGAAAAAAGGAAGAGCAUUGAUCAAAAGCUUUAUAGAGGUAUGAUUGGAUCUUUGCUUUACUUAACUGCUAGCAGACCUGAUAUUCAAUUUUGUGUAUGCUUAUGUGCACGGUUUCAAUCACAACCUAAAGAGUCACACUCAACUACAGUAAAAAGAAUCUUUAGGUACCUAUUGGACACACAAAGUCUAGGACUAUGGUAUCCAAGAGGAUCAUCUUUUGAUCUUAUUGGAUAUUCUGAUGCUAAUUUUGCAAGAAGUAAAAUAGAUAGAAAAAGUACUAGUGGCAUUUGUUAACUUUUAGGAAACAUGCUUGUAUCUUGGUCAAGUAAGAAACAAAACUCUGUUGCACUUUCAACAGCAGAAGCUGAAUGCAUCUCCUUAGGUAGUUGUCGUGCUCAAAUUUUAUGGAUUAAACAACAAUUAAAAGACUUUGGAGUAACCAUGCACAUUGUACCAAUAUUCUGUGAUAACACAAGUGUCAUAAACAUCUCAAAGAAUCCAGUUUAGCACUCUAGGACCAAACAUAUUGAAAUUAGACAUCACUUUAUUCGAGACCAUGUGAUUAAAGAAGACAUUAAAAUUGAGUUUGUUAACUCUUAGCAACAAUUAGCUAAUAUAUUCACCAAGCCCCUGAAUGAGGAAAGAUUCUAUGAAAUUAGGAGAAAUCUAGGAAUGGUUAAUGCACAGGAGCUUUAGGAAAAUUUAUGAGCUUUUCAUUCAUAAGACAGUAGGUACUUAGUUGAUCAAGAGAAUCGCUUAACCAACUAAAAGCAUUUUGUCUCUUUUUGUUAAUAGACUUAGUUUGAUAAGUGCAAAACUUAGUUAGUUAAGAAACUAAAAUAAAAAUGAUAAAAUUUAAGGAUAAAGGACAAGCACACCUAGUGAAAGAGAAAAAGAAAAAUCGUUAAACUAAAAAUAAAAAGAGAGGUAAAUUUUUUAAUUUUGAAAAUAGGGGUAACUAACAGCAUUUAAAAAAGGGAGUUUGAUGAUUUUUAAAAAAGAAAAACCAUUAUUAACUUCUCACCCUCUCCCCUUAUUCUCUCACAUCAGAAGCCAUACCUCUCAAAACCAAAACCCCUUUCCUCUCAAACUCUCAAAACCCUAAGUCUGAAACUACUCAAAAUCGAUGGCCAAAUCCACAUUACCCAGUAAUGUUUUGGAAAUGAAGAAAAGAAAAUGACCCAUGAAAGAAAGUCCACCAUCCAAAAUCCAAAAGAAGAGGAAGAAGGAUGAGUCAACUUCAGUGAUAGAGAAAACUGGGAAGAAACAAAAAGAGAAAGAAUAGAAAUUAGUGCAAAAGAAAAAUCCAUCAGAAAAGGUAAUCCUCCAUCCACCAAAUUUAGAAAUAAAACUCAUGAGGAUAGAUUUGGGAAGAUAGAGAAUGCACCCAUUUCAUGUGGGAAAUAUAUUGACUAGGACAGCUUUAAUAAGGUUUCAAAAAUUAAAGAGGGUUUAUCAUAUUAUUUUGAAGAGAUAAAAUUGAAGAAAUUGAGCAUUUUUAAGAACAUAACCUAUAGUGCUACCUUUGUGAAGGAAUUCUAUGCUAGCAUUGCACUAGAUGAAAAUUAUGAGACCUUGACCUUUAUAGACUCGUAAAAGGAAGUAUACACGAUAUACCUGAUCAUGGGUAAUUUCAUCAUUUCCUUAGUAAGCCCAUAAAAGUAAGAUUUUUAAACAAUAUUAUGGUCUAAGUAGGCCUAAGGCAUAAAUGGAUGGUGAAAUUAGGGGUAAAAUGGAAAGGAAACUAAAAUUUCGAUGAUUUGCAUAGUAGGGGCAAAAUGGUUAUUUUUCACCUCGAGUUAAAUUUUAUGUUUUCAUGAACCUGAGUAUGUUUAGACCAUUAUGGACCUUGUCCUAGUGUCAAAAGAACAAAAAGAUUGAUGGAGAGUAAGUUAAUUGGUGGAAGGGCAAUUUGGUCAUUUUAAGGGAAUGGAUAAGUUUGGCCUAUAAAUACUUUCUUCCAACAACUUCUUUUCCCAUUUUUCAAGCAGCUUGUCUUCUUCUUCUUCUCUCUCACGUUUCUUCAAAACUUCCAUGGAAGCUUAAUAUGUAGCUUGCAAAAUUUUCUCUCUUUAGCUCUAGUUUUUAUACUUUUGAGCCCUUUUAACUAGAACCCUAGUAUUCUUUCACUCUCUCACUUCAAAACCCUUGGUAAAGUUUAUUUCCAUACUUUCUCUCACUAGUUGGGCAUUCUAGAAAGAGAAAGAGAUAAUUACCCCACUUAUUUGGAAGCUAUUGGAAAGAAAUUCAACUACAAAGAAACCCAAGGGUGAGUGAUGAACUAAGCUCGGUUUUAAGCUGUAGAAAAUGGCUAGUAAUUGGGAUUAUGAGUUGUUUUAAUGUUAAGUAUGUUCAUUACUUUUUUAGUGAUUAAGUUAGUGAACAUAGAUAGCCAUUUAAUGUGGCAAUUGAAAACUAGCUAAGAGAUAGCUUUUAGAGUUCAUAGUGUGUAAAUUGCCCUAUUGCUUAUGCUAAUGUGAUCCUAGGUUCUAAGGAAACCUCAUCAUCUCAUUUGGACAAUUAAGGGAAUUGGAGUCAUCUAAAGGCUCUACAAUCAAUUGGUGAGUGGACUUGCAUUUCAAACUUGUUUUGGGGAAUGUGAAUGAUUUUAUCUAACUUGACUUUGAAAAUGUGCCUUGGGAACAAGCCUUUGGUGAAGUGAUUUUAUAUUGUGGAAAUGUGCUAUACAAUAUGCUAUGUGUUAUCAAAAUAUGAUAGUAAGCAUGAUAUGCAUUGGGUACUUCUUUGUAUGUUAAUGUGGACCCAGUUAUGUGAGAGUAGGAGUGCACAUAAGUCGUUGCUGACUUGGCUAUGUGCGAGUGGGAGUGCACAUAAGUCGUUGCUGACCCGGCUAUGUGCGAGUGGGAGUGCGCAUAAGUCGUUGCAUAUGAGAUGAUGAUGAUGGGAGGGUGUAUAUGAUGAUUGAUAUCUAUAUAUAUAUAUACAUAUAUGGUAUAUGGUUGUAAAUGCAAAAAUGUGAGCAUUUAAUUUGUUGAAAUUUGGGAGUUUGCAUGUGUUACAUGUUGUUUUUGUUAUUUAGCAGGAUGGCUUUGUUUUAGGGGAAAAGGGAACCUUUUUUCUGGAUGUUCUGAUUCUCGCUGCAGUGAGAAACCCUAGGGUUUUGAAGGGGUAGGCUGGCCAAAAACUCGCUGCAGCGAGGAUGCAUUUUCGCUGCAACGAGAAUGACACAGUAGCUUCUCGCUACAGCGAAAUUCAUUCUCAUUGCAGCCAGAAACUUUCUGUUUCUGGGUUACAAUUUCACUGCAGCGAGAAACAUUCUAUUUCUGGGUCACAAUUUCGCUGCAGCGAGAUUCAAGCUAAAAACUUUAUGUUUUGGUCUCCUAUCUUGUCCAAUUGCUGCCCUAUCUUUCACUUCUUUGCUACCAUAUCGGAGUAUGGACUUCCAAUAUUAAGGAUUAAAUGAGUUAAGUUUAAAAUGAAGAGGUUUGGUGAGAAACCCUCGGUUAGUUCAUAAUUUAAAUCAAGUGUCACUGCAGCAAAUAUUCAUUAUAGCUGCAGCGACAAUGCCUUUCCACUGCAACGAGGACCCGUCGUUUAUUGACUUGAUUCGCAUGAAUGCUAUUAAAGUUUUCACUCUCCAAAUCCUUUGUUGCAUGGACUCCUUUCAAUAAGUGAUUUUUCUCAUGUGGGGUUUACAUGAGGGGUUUAAUAAGUUCAAAAACAAAUUGCAUUGUUUUGAAAAAGAAUGCAUCGUGAUUUCGUUAAACAUUCCUUAUGGUAUGCUUGUUCCCUUUCUUGUUCACUCACUGGGUUUAUACUCACCAUUUUCAACUUCAUGUUUUCAGAUCACGAGGCAGCCGGUAACUAGGACGAGGUGUCCUUGUAGAAUUGUAUCCAUUUUUGGUAGGUGUCUCGGCAUUCAGUAGCUGUACAUUCGUCCGAGUCCCUCCGCUGGAAGUUGAAUAUUAUUUUGUUGUGUAUAGACGAACCUAAUGUAAAUUGUUAAGAUACAUGUUGUAGACAAUGUAUAUACACUUGUUUGGUAUGCCAAUAUGAGAUGGUAAUGUGUAGUUUUAUUUUGAUUCUAAGUUAUGAAAUAUGACUUAGCAGUUAUGAUGGAAUGAUGAACACGUCAGAUUAAUAGGCUUGUUUGGGCUUAGUGGACUACGUCCAUUGGGUCCAUGCGCCGGUCAUAGCCUAGAAUUUGGGUCGUGACAAAAAUGAACCUGAAAAACCUGAGGAUUUUGUUGAUGAUGGUCUAAAUGUGUUCCAGAAUGGAAAGGAGUUUGUGGUCACUACCACUGAUUUGGGAAGUCUGCUCAAAGUUGAGUGUGAAGAAGGAGAAUAUGAAAUCCCUGAAGAUUAUGAUCCCUCAUCUCUAUGGGAAGUAAUCACAAGGAAAAAGGAAAGAUAUUCAUCAAAAAUAUGUGCUAGUUUCAUUAAAAGCUCUCAGAUUAGGAUCUUGCAUUAUUUCAUUGCCUUAACAAUUCAUGGAAGAAGUGAUAGCUUGAGCUACAUAAGCCUUCAAGACAUGUGGCUGAUGGAGCAUGCCUUUAAUGCUACUCCCCUUAAUUUAGGUAGAUUCAUGAUAGAAAGAAUGAAAGGAACAUGUCAAGUUGACAAGGUGAAUUUGCUUUAUGGAAACAUAAUCACCUUUUUGGUGAAGAAAAAAGAGAUAUGGAGUUCCAGAUAUGAAAUGGACCAAGUUAAAAGCAGGGAUCAAGCAGUCUAUCUAGGAAGUUUGCCAAAAAUGGGAUACAAGCUAGAAGGAGAAAAGUUUGUCAAGACCUCCAAAAUUACUCCAAGGGAUGAGCAUUCCAUCCCUACUCAUGUAGCUUCCUUCCAGAUUUCAAAAGAAAUGAUUCUGAAUUUGUUAAUGAGAAUUGAUGGGAAACUCACUGACCAGUUUGCAAGGAUACAGAAAAUUGAAGAAAAGUUGGAAGAGUUGGAAAAUGUGAUGAAAGAAAAAGGAAAAUCACCUUUUAGUCCUGCAACUGAAGACACUUCUGCAACACAAAGUCCAGCACCAGCAAGACAAGCUACUAAAAGCCCUACUUUUCAAGUUGAAAGUGAUGAACCAAAAUCUAGUCCAUCAAGAAAAUCACCUACCCUUGAACCUGAAAUCGAAAAAGAAGGCAGUGAUAACACAAAAGUGGUAGGAUUGUUUAAUGACAAUUCUCCACAGCAUGAUGAAGCACAAACAGAUAAACCAUCCCCUACAAACUCUGAGGAAAUUCUAAUCAUGGAUGUUUUUCACUAGAUGGUAAGGGAAGAAUAAGCUAAAAAAGAAGCAGCCAAGAGCAGAGUAGAGAAACCAGCAUCUGCAAAGCAUCCCCUGAAUCAAUUCAUACCACAGGGAAGAGUGAACAAACUGGUAAAGAAUAAUGGAAACCUGUUGCAUCUGCACAAAAUAAACCUAAGCCGACUGGAAAAGGCAAAAAGACGAUGGCAAUAAAGACCAAGUUCCUCAAGAGGAGAAAGUCUUCCAGAUUAGCUAACAAAGCCAAACCUUUAGUCAAGCCUUCUAUUCAGGAUCCACUCCAUGUUUCAAGCACAUCUUCUUUUGACUCAUCACCACAAAGAUCAUCACCUAUACCAUCUUCUAAACCCCUCAAUGUCCACCUUGGAACUGAUGAGUCUACCCCCUCUGAUUCCUCCUAAACUGGUGCAUCACCCUUGUUUUGCUGAUGACAAAAAAAAGGGAGAAAUAUGAUAGAAAGCUUAGGGGAGAUAAAAAGUAGAAGAAUUUUAGGGAGAAAGUAGAAGUGAUUUAGGGGUAAUUUAGGAAUCUAAAUCUGACUCUGACGAUAUUGGGCUGUUUUUGUUAUUUUGUAGGCUGAUGGUUGAAAAUUGGAUGCUGAUAACUUAUUUUUAUGGUUGUUCUGUUGAAUUGUGAAUGAAAUCUAUUUUUAAAAUGAAAAUGGAUGUUGGUUAUGUUUUCAUGAUAUAUAAUAUUUCUGUUGGAUGGUUAAUGGCAUUUAUUUUUGCAAUGGAUAUUAUUUGUUGAAAAUAUGCUAAUGAUAGUGAAGGAUAUUUCUGUCACCUAUAGUUGAUUGUUCUGUAAGGUUGUACAAAAAUAUUCUGUUAAAUGUCAAAAUCUAUACCUGUCAUUUUCUUUAAGAGAUACAUAAAAACUUGAUGAAUUGAAUAAUAAAAUCAUGCAGACAUUAAGGGGGAGCACACAUUUAGGGGGAAAACGUCCUCAUUUUGUGCAAAACAAAAAGGAAUUAAUAAACACUGUGCUGUUAAUCAAUGAAUGUUUUGUCAUCAUCAAAAAGGGGGAGAUUGUUGGCUUCAUUAGUUUUCGAUGAUAAUAAAACAUUCCCACUCAUUUAUAUCUAACCAUACUACUUGAGUGUACAAGAUGAAAAUGUAUGUCAAAAUGAAUUAAUCACUAAAAAGCAAAUGUUAAAACCCAUAAGAAUGAGACGCUACAAUUGAGCCACAAAAUAGAAGCCUCUUAAUCGGAUAACCAAGGGAGUUAGUCAAUUAAAACUUAAAAAUGGAGAUGGUCGGUUCAGAGACAGAGACGACUUAAUCGACUAAGAAGCAUAGUUAGUCGACUAAGAGCUUAUUGCCAGAAACUGGGUUCAGAGACAGAGACGACUUAAUCUACUAAGAAGCAUGUUAGUCAACUAAAAGCAUUCUAUUUGAAGACUUGAAUUUGAAUACUAGAAGUCAGAUUAACGGCUAGAACUAACUCCAAACUAUUUCCCAACGGUCAAAAACUAUCAAACAUCCAUCAAAGUUGGUUUUUCAAGUAUAUAAGACACCCUCAACAGCUAAGAAUAAGAUUAGAUGCUUCCAAGAUCAAAAGAACUCAAAAAUAGCAAAAACUCUCUACAUACUUUCUGGACUUCACUUCAAUCUUUGUAAUAGAGUUAAGCACUUCAUCUUGUAUCAUUCAGAUAAGGUUAGUGAUCAUAUGCACUUCUUUAUUUCUAUUCUCCUUGAGUACUUAGAGUGUACGAGUUACUCUAAGGGGAUUGAUCAAGCUUGGGUUAGCUUGAUUGGGUGUAUAGGUUAUAACUCAGCCUAGGAAAAGUUAGUUUUGGGUUUUGGUUGAUCCCGAGAAAAACCAUUGUUAAAGGUUGCGGCUGAGUAGGAGAAAAGCCAUUGUAAAAGCUUGGUGGGAUCUUGAGAAUUCCACCGUUUAUAGUUAUUUGGCUUGCAAAAUCCUUGGUUGAACAAUCAAGGUAGUGGAUGUAGGUUUUUUACCAAACCACUAUACAUCUUUGUGUAUUAUCUGCUCUGUUUUAUUUUUUAUUUUCAUUCUUUCUUAAAUCAUUCCUUCAUCUUGAGUCAAAUUUCUCAUCAUUGACCUUCAAUUUGCCUCCAAUUGGAAAUCAAGUUUAGUGAAAGCCAAAAAGUGCUAUUCACCUCCCCUCUAGCACAUUUAUUCGGGACCAACAAACAAUACAUGUAAAACAAACUCAAAGUAACUAAACCAAAUAGCUAAGCUUAACAACAAUAAGAUAAACAUUAAAAGACAAAAACAAUAACAAUUAAAAGGCAAGAAGCGCAUGACUGCAGUUAUUCUACAAAAGGAAUGUCUCCAAUUAUAAAUUGUCCAAUGGUAAGAAGGAUAACGAGAAAAGCAGCAGAAAAAGAGACGGAUGCCCAGGGACUAUUAAAAUAAUCCUGCUUUAAUUUCGCCUUCCAUGUGUUUCAACGUCUUGCACAAUGCCUCUUCAGGUCAACAAAUAUCUCCUCAUAGUAAAAGGUGUCGCCUUGAGCAAUAGCUCCAUCAUUACCCAAUAUUUUCGAGAAUUCCAUGGAAACGAAGCGAUUGCACAUCCUUGACUGAGUUAAUAAGGUUAUCCAUCAACGUCACAUAAUCAAUGACAUAAGUUGAACCUUCCUCAUAUAGUUCAUAGGCAAUGAGGUUACGAAAGAGACACUUGGUAUAGUCUUCAACCACAAAGGUUGGAAUCUUCAUUGUCUUGUCUGUAAAGCUUAUAUCAAACAAACUCUUCACAUCGCUCUCUUCGAAGCUAUUCAUGAAUUGGAUUCUUGCUUCUUCUAACUCUGUUGCACAACGUAAGGAUUGCCACUCCACUAGGCCUUUUCUUAAAUUUUCCUUUUCUCUUGAACAGCAUACCAAUUUCUUUUUGAAAGAGUUGUGGUCGGCGCCUUUAGUCACACCGCUUUCUUCGUCACCUUGGAAUUUCUUUUCUUUUGGCUUUUCUAGACCGCCUUCUUCUCCUACCUUUUCUUUUUCCUUUUUGGUUCUAUGGUAGUCUUGAUGGCGCCUUAUUCCAUGAGGAAAAGGAGACUAAUUAUCAUGCACUAAGCUUAGUAGGUGCUUGAUAUUUUCGGCAUCAUUGAUGGUAUGAGGGUUUCCUUCCCUGGCAAGAAAUCAAAAGAGAUGGAAAAUGCAUAGCAAGUGAAAUCUUUCCAUCUGUUGGAUCCUUGAUCAUGUGAUACAAGCCCACUAACACAAAGACAGGAAGUUGAUUUUCAAAUGGCAACAAGUCAUGAUAUAAGGCAUUUAGGACCCACUUUAGUUUGAAAAAAAGAUCAUCACUUGGUAUUUUCCCACUCAAUAGCUCAACAAUAAAGCAGCAAUCAAGUAGUAUCAUUCUUCCAAAUUUAUCUUCAAUAUCAUUUGAUAAGGAUGGGGAAUACCAUCUGCGAGCUCGUUCUAAGUUCAUGGCCUUCACACAUCUAUCCUUGCUUUGCUCACCUUUUCUCUCAAGAAUCUUUUGUAAACACCGAGUUUUGUACACUUCCAUCUCUUUCAAGUGCUACUAAUUGGCACCAUGGUAAUAUGAACCAAUUGAAAUUAGUUGGGGUUCACAGGCACUUUCAUUUACUUGCCGCAUAUGAUGAGGUACUUUCAAAAGAUAAGCCUUGUCGUUGAGUCCUGGACAUGGAGAUUCUUGUAUCAACAAUGCAAAAAUAUGUAAGAUACUUUGUUGAAAAGGAGACACAUUUCGAUAUAUGCAAAAGCCAUACCAGCUAAAAUGCGUUAGAAAAAGAAAGUUUUAGAAAGCUUUCUUUACCUCAUGCUCAGCUGAGCAAAAGAGUGAGUGGCAAAUGACAGACAGGUGUAAGAGAUUAUAGAUUCAUACUUUUCAUUAGAAGUUUAAUAUUGUCGCAACCACUAUUCAAGGGAAGUUAACUAAUUAAGUCUUCAGUCGAAUGUAAUAAACUAAUGGCCCGCCUUGUCCCAAAACAAUUUUUAAUAUAAUUUUAUUAAAAAAGCCCCUAAAAGACAAGGUAAGUGAUAAUUAAUAUAUAUUGUAAUUUAAAUAUUUAAAUAUUGUUAAAAAUGAUGACAAUUUUUUGUUUUUAAUCGUCAAUUAAAGCGAGGCAUGUCUAGGAAUAUCGAACGUGGAUUGCACAGUAUCACAUUUGGUGGACAGAAAGCCUUAUACUUGACCUUAAUUAACUAUUUUUUACAAUGAGAUGGGCUAAUCUAAACACUUAAUUUCAUGAUUACAAGUAAAUUUCCUAGACAUUUUUAAAAUUUUCAUUUACCUGAAUAGCAGGAGGUAUGGCAGAAGCUAGCAACUGCAAUGACAUCGAGUACAACUCAAUGGCCAGCUCCUUUUUCCACUCUUCUAGCAGUGGCUGCGACCAUGGCUUCACCUGUCCAAGAUCAAUGUAACUUUUUUCUUUUUUGCUUUUGCUAGGCCAAUGAUUUAAAUAUUAUUACUGAGUUCAAAAAUGAACAAUCAUAAACGGCAAACAUAAGCAGUGUCAUACAACUACUUAGUUGUCAACACCAAAACCAGAGCAUAGUUAUAACUUUCAUCCAUCUUCUACCAUAAUCUCUUUUAAGCUAGUGAUUUGUCCCUCUCACAUUAUAAUAGUGAACCACUAGUGUUCAAUCCCUCCUGCCAUAAAACAUUCACAUACUAGGAGAAAGAAAGACACCCAAACAUAAAGAACACACAAGAUAGUAAGACACUUCCUACCACAUACUAGGACCAUUGCUUAGGACAUAAAACCAUCCCCUUGGCCACUCAGACUUAAAAGAUAAAUGUAAGAUACAUUGCAGGGAAGGAGAAACUAUAGGAAACAUGCAAAAGCGAAUGACAUCAUUUUCAAUGCUAAAAGUUGGGAUAGCUUACAAUUUUUUGAUUUGAUUAAAAUUAGAAUAACUUGGUGGGUUAGAGCUAAGUGGAAGGAAGAUCAAUUUUUGGUGUUGAAUAUUUUCAGAUUUCCAAAUUUAAUGAAUUUAUCUCAAAUUAGUGAAUUUAUCUAUCAAAGAAAAGAAAACGCAAAAAAAUGUCAAAGGGUCAACUUAAAUUUAAUGUUGUCAAGAAUUGGUGGAGUGCUUAGAGAUUUCAAGGGAAGGAUGCUUAUUACUUUUUCAAAGGCAACAAGGAUUGGUGAUGCUAAUGGAGCUGAGUUCCUAGCUAUUAAGAAAGCAUCUCUUAUUUUCGUGGCUUCUAAAUGGGUUUAUUCUCAUUUUUUUCUUAUUGAAAGUGAUUCUGCUAUGACGUCAAAUGGGUUAAUCAGCCUCAAUUUGCUCUUUGGAAUUUCAUAUCACAAGCUUUGCUUAUCGACCAUCUCAAGAGAAGAAUUAAGAAUUGGGAGAUAUGUCAUGUGUUAAGAUCAGCAAAUAGUACUGUUGAUUCUCUGGCAAAGGAUGCUGUUGUCAGGAGAUAGGAGCUAGGGGUUAUUUAUAUUGUAUUAAAUUUUUGUUGAUGCUUUAUUUUUGUACUCAUAAAAUUCCUAGUUAAAUUAGUUAUGGUUCUCACCAAUAAAAUUGUAUAAUACUAAAAAAACCAAUUAAAUCAAAACAAAUGUAUUCUUUGUGAAAAUUAAACAUAUUUAUAUUUAUAUUAUCAAGAUAAAAGUAUUUAAUGGUUUAUAAAUUUUAAUUUAAAAAUGAAUAAUGAUAAGAAUAAAAUAAUUAUAGUGGAUAUUAGCGACUGAAAAAUCUUGACGUAAAUUAACUUGUAUGAAUUAAUGUAAAAAAUUAUAAAAGUCAGAUUUAAUGUAACAAGACAAUUAAGUUGAAAUAAAUAUAAUUUUAAAAAAAAUUAUAAAUCUAAAUUUAUAUUAUCGACGGAAAAGUAUUUAAUAGUUUACAAAUUUUAAUUUAUAAAUGAAUAAUAAUAAAGAUAACAAUAAUUACAGUGAAAAUGAACAAUUGAAAAACCUUGACGUAAACUUAUAAGAAUUAAUGAAAAAAUUAUAAAGGUGGAAUAAACAUUAUUAGAAUAUUAAUGUAAAUGUGUGAGAUUUAACAUAAAAAGUCAAUUAAGUUAAAAUAAAUAUAAUUUUUAUGAAAAUUAAAAAUUAAAAUUUAUAUUAUCGAGCUAAAAAUAUUUAAUGAUUUACAAAUUUACAAAGCCACAUGUUGAGGAUUUUUGUUGUUGUUUUUUUUUUUUUGUCUCUUAUACGCAAAAAAGGUUGUUCUUCCAUUUUCCAAUCAAAAUAUUAGCUUCUGUAUCUAAUGAUAUCCAAGAAAAGAGCUAUGCGCCCGAGUGCAAUAUUCAUAGAAAAUAAUAAGACAAUCAGAUUUAACUCCAACAAAUUAACCAAACGCAUCAGAAAAGCAUUAAAAAGUAUAAAGAAUGUGAAAAAUGAAAACAAAGACAAGAAAAGAAAGCAAUCGCAUAAAUCAUGAUAUGAUAGGAUAAAUGAUAGGAUAAAAAGUAAUAACUAUACAUAGAUAGCACUCCUUUCAUUUAUGGGGGGUGAGAAAGAAGUCAUGAAAGAAAGAUUUUGGACCUUAAUUCUAUACCUGGACUUGGUCUUCCACUGGAGAUGAUAAAUGAAUAUGGGAAGAUUGAAUUACAACAUCUCCUCCCUCCUCUUUUGAUGGAUUCGAUAAGAAAUGAGUCCGAGAAGAAAUUAUGUUGGCCUUGUUUCCGUUGUCCUCCAUCUGCUCCAUUGCUUCACUAUAGAAGCAAAGAAUUAAGAAGAAAAUUUUUUUUACUAAAUUGUCGUUGAGUGAAAGAGUUGUUCCCUCGUUGCUCUCUUUAGUUCAUGGAAGGAAUGGUUGGAGUUCAAUGGGGUUUUGGUUGGGUUAUAAAUGAAGUGGCUGCAAUACAAUUUUUGUUUCUUUUUAAAUUUUUAUUAUAGAAAGACUAUUAUAACAUAAUUAUAGAAAGUCAUAAAACAAAUAUACAGGAGUUGAUUGGAGAUGAUUCCUACAAACAAAUUUAGAGAGAAGUUAAUUUAUAACAUGCUGGUGAAACAAGUCACAUGGUAUGCCACUGGUCAUGGAGGAGAGAAGUUGUGCACGGUGGAGCUUUUUUUCUGCACUAUUUCUAUUUGUUUCUUGUACAUUCUUUGUUGGUGCCAAUGGGGUUUAGAUGGAACUCAAGGAAUCGGGAAAAUUGACUUCAAGGCGAGCCUUUCAAUAGACGUUAUCUUUAAGACUUAUUUCCCCCCCCACCAUUAGAUAUGCAAAAGGGAAUAAUGUGAAUAGUCUUUGGGAUACAAUGAAGCCAACGUCUAACUUCAUCUUGCACUUUAUUAGAGUAAACCACUAGAUACACCUGAGGGUUUGCAAAGUUGUUUGGCCUUAGAGCCUACUUUAUGCAGCAAGUAGAUUAUAGGAAUUUGGACACUUUUAUAGUUGAUGGUAACUUAAGUGUUUAUGUUAAUAGAACAUAACACUUUUCUUGCUCUUGAUUUUUCUGCUCUUGUUUUGUUUUUGAUUUGAUGUGUCAAAAAUGGUUGGUAACAAGCCCUUUAUAUAGGCUUGCAAGUGUCUCUUCUUCAAGGACACAACAUUUUCAUUAAGGCACCAUUUUGUCCAAAAGACAUCUUUACAUGUUGUCAGACACAACUUUUGGAUAAAAGUAUUGUUUCAAUAAUCAUCUUAUGAAAGGACAAUUAUUCAUUCCAUAAAACAUAAUCUUUGAGUUAUAAUUUGAAACAAUAGUUUCUCAUAUUUAAACUUUUGAGCUAUGGUGUUUUUUCAAUUUGUAUCAUAACUUUUGGAUGUUAUUUUACCAAGAGACAUAACCAUUCACAUGAAAACCUACCUACAAUCCAAUAGUCACACUUUGUCACUUUAUGUGACAUAACCUUUGAGCUAAGAUAGCUUUUCAUUAUGUGACAUAACCUUUGAUUUUGAAAAUACACCAACAAUCCCCCACCAUUGUCAAAAUUUCCAAAUACCAACAACUUUGGGAACCUUGUGCAUAAAUGAAGGUAUCCCGCAUAUUUGAACCUUUGCUUAGUGAAUGUGGUUGGUUUUAGUCUGAAUUGAGUGGUUGACCAAGCAUUGAACCAUCGAUUCUUCAUUUGACUAGUCGGGCCACUAAACACACACAAGCUUCCUUGCUCACUUUGUAUCUAGUUUUGCUAACAUGUUUUAUGGCCUUGUGUUUUGCAUCCAUUCAUGAGUGUUGUUAAAGUCAAGCCUUUAGCUCCUAGAAGUGGCCACUCACAUAAGUAGCUCUCAUCGAAAGUACUCCGAAAUUAUAGCACUUUUAACAUAUGCAUGUUAUGGGUCUAUUAAGAACUUUUGUUCAACCUUACCUUACACAUUACGUGAACCAAGCACUAUACACCUUGGGAUGGAAAAUAUAAAUUAGUGCUUGCAAUCAUCCAUGUGGUAGAAUGGUCAAUACUUAAGACUUGCAGGUCGGCCACAAGCAUCGAGGUGAGCUCCCACCAUUAGAGAUUUAGUUGAUAGGCUUGAAACCCAUCCAUCUUGAGGUCUUCAUUACCAAGUCCUUUUUAGACUUUUAGUAAACGGAUUCGCUAAAUUUUCACAAGACUUCAGAUAACUUAUAGUGACUAUGCCAUCACUAAUUUUUUGUCUUACAAUGCUAUGUCGAAGUCCAAUAUAUUGACUCUUUCUAUUGUAUGCUUGAUUAUAUGCCUUUGAUACAGUUGCUUCAUUAUCACAAUGUAUCAAGAUUGGUGCCAUUGGUUUAAGCCACAAUGGAAUUUCAUAGCGUAAAUCUCUCAACCAUUCUGCUUCUUGGGUGACAAAUGCUAAAGCUAUAAAUUGAGCUGCCAUAGUGGAGUCCGCUUGACAAGAUUAUUUCUUAGAACACCAAGAAAUAGAACCCCCACCAAUUGUAAAAAUCCAACCAAUCGUAGAAGUAUGAUCUGUUCUAUUUGAGUUUCAACUAGCAUUUGUAUACCCUUUUAAAACUGAAGGAAAACCUGAAUAACAAAUGCCAUAAUUCUUUGUACUCUUUAAGUAUCUUAGAACUCUAUGAAUAGCAUACCAAUGUUCUUUACUUGGAUUACUUGUAGAUCAACUUAGCAUCCCAAUCGCAAAAGCAAUAUCUGGCCUUGUAUAGACCAUAGCAUAUUUUAGGCAUUCAAUCACCUUUGUAUAUUCAUUUUUGUGAUAUUGGCUUGUCUUUGUUAGGUACAAGCUUUAGAUUAGAAUCAUAAUGCGUAGACAUUGGCAUACAAUCUGACAUACCAUAUUUCAUUACAAUCUUUUCAAUGAGAUUGAGACAAUGUUAGGCAAUUAUUGUCUCUCAUUAUUCUUAUGCCAAGAAUAACAGCCGCCACACCCAUAUUUUUCAUGUCAAAAUUCUUUGACAAUAACCUUUUUGUGUCUUCCAUCGGUUCCAAAAUUGGUACCAAAGAUUAACAUGUCAUCCACAUAUACACAAAUGAUGACACUUGGAACUUACUAUAGACACAUUUAUUAGAUUGAUAGAUCUUGUAGCCAUUAGCUAGCACAACCUUAUCAAACUUUGAUGCCAUAGUUUAAGUGCUUGUUCUAAUCCAUACAAGGACUUUACAAGUUCACACACAUUUCCUUUUUGUCUCAAUUGACAUCAUUGUAUCCUAAUGUAUAAUCGGAAUGUCAAAUUAGCACAUCAAGGUAUAUGUUUACAUAAGCAUCAUUGCACCUUUAUUGCACAAUAGGAAUGCCAUAUCAACGAUAUUAAAUAUCUAUAUUACACUAUUAUCCCUUCGAUGAUAAAAUGUGAUUGCACCAUAUAUCAAGAUGUUAAAUUUACAUAUUGGCACCAUUAUAUCUUCAUGUAUAAUAGGAAUAUUGCCUUGUGUCUUCCAUCACAUAGACCUUCAUCAACUCAAGAUGGCUUACUUUAGGAUAUUUAUCUUUCUCAUUUUGUUUGUAACUUCAUCUUGGUUGCAACAUUUUUUUUUUAUUUGAAGAUGAUUACCAAGGUCCUCGAAAGACAUCUUUUCUUUCUUAUACUUUUUCUUACUAUCUUUCCAUGAUGGGAUAAGUAUGUCAAUUGUAGAAAACACAACAAUAACCUUAUUCAUAUCAAGAUUAUAUAAGAAUAUAACAAAAUCUUUCUUUUCAACUGAUAUACGUUUUUCCAUGCAUAUCGAAUAUAAUAUCAUGCAUAUCAAGUAAGGAAAGAAAACUUAUCCUGUAAUCUGAUAAGGAACCAUUUUGUCACAUUCUUUGCCACCAUCAAAUCAAUCCAUCUUUUGCCAAUAAACAAAGUUUCCUUUUUCAAAGUGGUCUAGCUUGACGAUGGUGUUGUAUCACUUUUAAGAAACCCAUUGAAUUCCAACACCACAAAAAAUAAGUCUUAAAAUUGUUGUUGCAAAUGGGGUUUGAAUGGAACUCAAGGAACUAGCAAAAUUGACUUCAAGGGGAGCUUUUCAAUAGACUUUAUCUUUAAGACUUAUUUUGCCCCCACCACUUAGUAUGCAAAGGGGAAUAAUGCGAAUAGCCUUAGGGAUACAAUGAAGCUAACGUCUAAGUUUGUCUUGCACUUUACGAAAGUAGACUGCUAGAUACACCCGAGGGUUUGCAAAGUUGUUUGGCCUUGAAAUCUACUUUCUGUAGCAAGUAGAUUAUAAGGAAUUUGGACACUUUUGUAGUUGAUGGGAACUUAAGUGUUUAUGUUAAUAGAACACAACACUUUUCUUGCUCUUGUUUUGUUUUUGAUUUGAUGUGUCAAAAAUGGUUGGUAACAAACCCUCUAUAUAGGCUUGCAAGUGUCUUUUCUUCAAGGACACAACCCUUUCAUUAAGGCACCAUUUUGUCCCAAAGAUAUCUUCAAAUUUUGCCAGACACAACUUUUGGAUAAAGGUAUUGUUUCAAUCAUCAUCUUAUGAAAGGACAACUAUUCAUUCUGUAAAACAUAAUCUUUGAGUUAUAAUUUGAAACAAUAACUUUUCAUAUUUAAACUUUUGAGCCAUGGUGUUUUUUCAAUUUGUCUCAUAACUUUUUGACGUCAUUUUACCAAGAGACAUAACCAUUCACAUGAAAAUCUGCCUAUAAUCCAAUAGUCACACUAUGUCACUUUAUAUGGCAUAACCUUUGAGCUAAGAUAGGUUUUCAUUUUCAUUAUGUGACAUAACCUUUGAUUUUGAAAAUACACCAACAUUUUUUUCCCCGAUGCUCCCAUAGAUUUUGAAAAGGAUGCAUGAUGUGCUUGUAUAUCUUCAUUUUCGUUGCUACUAAUGUUAUUUUGUUACAAAUGGCUUUCUGUUGCUCAGGAACUUUUGUUUAUUAUAGUGGAUGUAUGUACCCCACUGGGUGGUGCUUUCAGGUAGAUACUUUAUUCUUUCACAAUUCAAAUAAUUUGAACUCUGAGGCUUUCUUGUACUUAAUUAUUUAUUAUUAAUGAAUUGGGCUUUGUUUGAGGAAAAAAAUAUUAUUUAACAACUCAAAUCCAUCACAAAAGCAUUAAAAAAAUACAAAAGAAUGAAAAAUAUAUAUGAAAAAAACAAGAAGAGAAAAAAAAGCAUGGCAUAAAUCUUAAUAUAAUAGGAUAAAACCCAUAGCAACCCCUUGUCUAUAAGGGGUGAGAAACAAGUCAGAAAAGAGAUAUUUUGGACCUUAAUUAUUUACCUAAUCUUCCAUUAGAGAUGAUAAAGGAAACCGGGAAGAUUGACGUAAAGUAUCUCCUCUCUCCUCUUCCAUCGGAGGAAUCACAAAAAAUUUUGUCGACCUUGUUUCCAUGUCCUCCAUAGUUUCGUUAUAGAAGUAAAGAAUUAAGAAUAAGACUUUUUACUAUUUUUUGGUUAUCGUUGAGUGGGAACUUUAUUUGUUUUGGUUGGGUUAUAAAUGAAGUAUCUGCUUUAAAUUCUUCCCGACCCUACUUAUAAAAUUCUCGAACUACAUGUACAUGUACAUGUUAAAUCUUACUCAAACAUAUUUACAAAUAAUAUAACAAUGGAAAUAAAUAGAAAUUGAUACUAACUUCUAAUUAAUAAAAUAAAAAACUUUUUUUAUGAGAUCUUCUGAGCCAGUGUAAUUCACUACGAUAGAUACAUGGUUAAUGAAUUGGUUGUGUCAAGGAAGUCAUAAGAUAUCUAUUAUUUUUUUGGUACAUCAUAAGAUAUAUAUUUAUAGACUUCCUCCCAUCAAGGAAAUCUAAUAUCUCCCAAACUUUAAGGGAUAUCUUUAUUUAGAAUUUAAAAUAGAUUUUAUCUAUAUCACUUAAACUAAUAUUGUCAUAUACUUAAAUGUGAAAGAUAAAUUUUUGCUAGAUAAUAACAAAUACGUGAUAGAACCAUAUUUGAAUUUUAAAUUUAAAUCAAAUCUAGAAUUCCAACAUUCUCCCACUUGAUCCAAACAUUUGUUAUUUUAAUAUCUACACAAUAAAUUAGUUUAAUUACCCAAAUGCUUAAAACAAAAAGAAUAAAUUACAAGAAUCAUGGUUGUAAGUCCUUUAAAAACAAGUAUUACCUUCCAUGUAUUACAAUGCAAAAAUCAUUUUUUGCAAAAAGCUCAAUAUGUGGUAUAUAAUUUUAUGAAUAAACCUCAAAUGUUUAUUCGAGGUUCUCAAAGGUAAUUGUUAUUCUCAAUUUGAAAAGAGAAAACAAUUAAAAAUUCAAAGUUUCACAAUAAAAUAUGCUAACGUCUUAAUUCAAACGAUAUGUGACAAGAUGCACCCAAGCAUCUGUCUCAUUGGUUGCAGCAUAAUCCCCUUGCCUAAAAAGCAGGGUUCGAAUCCUCCCUUCCCUAAUUAUAAAAAAAAAAAGACAUAACAAAGUUCCAUUUGUAAAACAUGAUCCUUAAACAACUUUGAUGGCAUGCCCUUUGUUAGAGGAUUUGCAAUCAUUAGCUUAGUGUGAAUAUGCUCAGUGAGCACUUUAUUUGCUUUUAUGUGCUUUCUAACAACUAAGUAUUUAAUGUCAAUGUUUACUUCUACUUUCACUCUUAUUAUUCUUAGCAAAGAACAUAGUUGAUGAAUUGUCUCAAUACAACUCUAAUGGCUUCGAGAUAGACUCAACAACUUGAAGCCCAUAAAUGAAACUCUUCAACCAAAUAUAUUGUGAUGUCACCUCAAAACAAGAAACAAACUCUACUUCCGUGAUAGAAGUAACAAUUAGAGAUUGCAUUGUACUUCUCCAAGAUAUAACUUUUCCAGCAAAUAUAAAGAUUUAUCCAAAUGUUGAUUUACGAAAGUCAACACAACCAGCAAAUUUGAAUCUGAGUAUCCAACUACCUCUAGAUUAUUGGAAAGACUAUAUGUAAGUAUGAAAUCUUUUGUUCCUUGAAGGUACCUCAUGACCUUAUUUGCAGCUUUCCAAUGGUCUAAUCCUUGGUUGCUUUGAUAACUUCACAACAUUCCAACUGCAAAUGUAAUGUUUAGUCUAAUACAAAACUAAGCAUACAUUAGGCUCCCAACAACUGAAGCAUAUGGAAUAUUUUUCAUCCCUUCCCUUUCAAGAUCAUUUUUGGAACAUUGUUUCAAGCUAAACCUAUCACCCUUCACAAUGGGUGCAACAUUGAGUGAACAAUCUUUCAUCCAAAAUCUCUUAAAAACUUUAUUGAUAUAGGCUUCGUGAGACAAUCCCAAAAGGCCCUGAGAUCUGACCCUAUGAAUCUUAAUGCCAAUGACAUAAGAUGCCUCACCCAUAUCUUUCAUAUCAAAAUGUUCGGAGAGAAAUUGUUUUACCUUAUGCAACAACCCCAAAUCAUUGGUUGCAAGUAAAAUAUCAUCCACAUAUAAAACCAAAAAGAUGAUUUUACUCCCACUAACCUUAUGGUAUAUACAUUGAUCCAUAACACUCUCUAUAAAACCAAAAGAAGUAAUUACAUUAUGGAAUUUUAAGUACCACUAACAAGAGGCCUGGUUAAGUCCAUAUAUAGACUUCUUAAGCUUGCAAACCAAAUAUUCACCAUGAUCAGAAAUAAACCUUUCAGGUUGUUUCAUGUGUACCUCUUCCUCUAAAUCUCCAUUGAGGAAUGCCGUUUUCACAUCCAUUUGAUGUAAUUCUAAGUCAGAAUGGGUAACCAAUGCUAUGAUAAUACAGAAAGAACCAUUUCCAGACAUAGGAGAAAAGGUCUCUUGAUAGUCAAUUUCUUCCUUUUCUGUGAAUCUUUUAGCAACAAGUCUUGCUUUGUAUCUCUCAAUGUUGCCUAAUGAGUUUUCUUAGUUUUGAAAAUCCAUUUACAACUAAUGGCCUUCGACCCAUUAGAUAACUUUAGAAUAUCCCAGACUUGAUUAUUCACCAUAGAAUUUAUUUCAUCAUUCAUGGUAUCAUACCACAAUUUAGAUUUAUUACAAUCCAUUGCUUCUGACUAUACAAGCAAUUUACAUGAAUAUACAAAAUUUACGAAAAAGACAAUUACAUUCUUGGGCUCUUACUUAGGGUGGGAUACAAAAUAGCUUGCAAUUUAUCAAAAGUUUUGUUUAGUUUUUGUUUGUAGAAAAGAAAUCUUCGGUUAAGAGUGUUAAUAAGAAUUAAUUUAGUGUACGAGAAUGUUGGCAGUAGUUGAGAUUAUUGUAAAAAAAUAUGACCGAACCUAUUAUUAACACAUGCCUUGAAAAGCUACAUUUUAAGAUUAUCCUAAUAAAAUUUAAACUUUUUUUAAAUAUUCAAAGAUCCAACACAUAAUGUACACAAAAUUUAAUUUAAUUUUAACACAUAAAAAAAUGUGCAACUCCCCUUCCUUUCAAAAAGAAGUUUUGAAUUUCGAGAAGAUUAUAAUUCUUUCGUUUCAUAUUUGUCUUUAAUUUUAACUUUAUACAAAAUUUAAAGAAUUUAAAGGUGGAUUUUUGACUUCAUUGAUUAUGAAUUUUCUUUCACAACUUAUCUUGACAAAAAAAAAAAGUGAAUAGUUAUAGUUAAAGCUAAUAAGGAAAAGUAAGAACGAUCUUUCUUUUUUUUUUUUUUACUUUUCCAAAUAAGAUAUUAAUUUAGAACAACUAAAAAUAUGCAAAUAUAACAUAUAUAUCAGACGGAAUGAGUAAUUUCUAUCUCUAGUUAGAAAUUAAAUUGCAAAUUAAGGGCAAGCAUUUAUUUAAGCAAUUACUUAUACAACCAUCCUUAUGAUAAACCAUUUAUAUUAUGUGUAAUAAUUUAACCCAUGAACUAUAGUUUUUGUUCUUUUGUUGCUGGCAAAUAAAAGACUUUAUUGAAUAUACGAAGAAAGUACAAAGUAGAUGUAUCACCAUAAACAUAACGAGAACAAUACAACUGAGACAAACUCAAAGGGAAAAACUGAAAGUAACUAAACCAAAUAGCUAAACUUAACAACAAUGAGAAAAACAUAAGGAGACAAAAACAAGAACAACUAAAAGGCAAGAAGCGCAUGAGCUUUAGUUUACCAUAUUUUACAACCACCAAGCCUCAAGCCUGCCUGCAAUCCAUUAUUUUACAAGAGGAAUGAGUGCAGUUAUAAACUGUCCGAUGGUAAGAAGGAUAGCGAGAAGAGCAGCAAUAAAGGAGAUGAGUGCCCAUGGACUGUUAAAAUAAUCAUGCCUUAAUUUCGCCUUCCAUGUGUUCCAACGUCUUGCGCAAUGCCUCUUCACGUCGACAAAUAUCUCCUCAUAAUAAAAGGUAUCACCGCAUAAGAUAACAUGGUCACGAAGUUUGUUAAUCAUUUUAGCAACAGCUUCAUCAUCACCCAACAUAUUUUCGAUUACUUCACUGAAACGAAGCAAUUGCACAUCCUUGCUUGAGUUGAUAAGGUUAUCCAUCAACGUGACAUAAUCAAUGACAUAAGUUGAACCUUCCUCAUAUAGUUCAUAGGCAAUGAGGUUACGAAAGAGACGCUCGGUAUCGUCGUUAACCACAAAGGUUGGAAUCUUCAUUGUCGCGUCUGUAAAGCUUAUAUGAAACAACUGUUCACACCGCUCUCUCCGGUGCUAUUCAUGAAUUGGAUUCCUGCUUCUUUCAGCUCUGUUGCACAACGUAAGGAUUGCCAUUCCAAUAGGCCUUUUCUUAAAUUUUCCUUUUCUCUUGCACAGCAUGUGAUAGUCACACCGCUCUCUACGUC
rnacentral:lncRNA from 1 species